UGUAGAUGAGUAAAAAUCAGACCAGAAAUAACAUUUUGAAAGCCUUCGAUUAGCCUUAUCUCCACAGCAUUGUCCAAAGCUAAAUGAAGAACUUCUGUCACUAAUGGAGAUAGCGAAUCUCCUUGACGAAGACCUCUACGGAAUCUGAAUUCAUUGGUAGUUGACCCAUUAAUGAUUACUUCUGCUCGCGUCGUAGAUAUGCAUUCCAUCACCCAACCUCUCCAUUUUUCAUCGAAUCCCAUCUGGAAUAACACCAACUCUAGAAAAUCCUAUUGAACGCAAUCAUAAGCUUUAGAAAAACCUAAUUUACAAAUCAAAUUGUCCUCUCUUCCAUCUUUCUUCUUGAUCGAGUGAAUUAUUUCAUUUUCUAUUAAAAUCCCAUCAAAUAUUUGUCUUCCUCUGAUGAAUGCACAUUGUGUCGCUCACCACCUCUCCGACUACCUCCCUUAUCCUUCGAGACAACACCUUUGACACAAUCUUGUACAAAGAGCUCACCAAACAAAUUGGCCUAAAAUCUAAUAUUUCAUUUGGAUUUUCUACCUUGGGAAUGAGUGUGAUAAAUGAUGAAUUGAUACUCUUCUCAAGCUUUCCCGAUAUGAAAAAAAUAUCAUGCAUCAAUCUAAAUAGAUCCUCCUUUAAAAUCUCCCAACUUUUUCUAAAAAAACACAAAUUAAAACCAUCCGGUCCAGGUGCUUUUGAUUCAUCGCAACUCCAAACAGCCUCUUUAAUCUCUUCCAUCAAAAAUGGUUCCUCCAAUCUUAAAUCCAUCUCCUCAUUAAGCAUUCUGAACUUCAGAUCCAAUUCCAUUCUCCACUUUCUUGCAGGGCAAUUAAAAUAAUUUUUGAAAAAAUUGUACAGUCCCUCUUUAAUCUCUUUAGGUUCCUUGUACCAAUGACCCCCAAUUUUCAAGCUAUACACCAUCUUUCUUUUAGCCUUGAUUUUAACUUCUCCAUGGAGAAAAGCACAAUUAGCAUCCCCUUCUUUUAACCAUGUCAUCCUUGAUUUUUGACGCCAAAUAGAUUCUUUAAAUUUUAUUGCUUCCCAAAGUUCAACGUUCAACUUUUUCAAUUCCUCCCUUUCCUGCUCGGUCAAUUUUAUGUGUUCGCUAGCUUCAUCAAUCUCCUUUAUCCUACUUCGCUUUCUGUAAUUUUUUUUUUCCAAAACAUUGCCAGCAUCCACAUUCUAUUUAUUGAGAGCUCCCUUGAGUUUUCACAAUUUUAUUGCCAUUUUCCCUUUUAAACUACCCAUUCCUAACCAUUCCUUCUUAAUUAAUCUCUUAUAGUCUUCCUUUUUAAACCAUGCAUUAACGAACUUGAAAGGUCUUGGUCCGUAGUCUAUUGUUUCAUUUACUUUAUGUUAUGUUAAGUAACUUAUUUUUUAGAAGUUUAAUAAAAGUAUAUAAUCAUAGUGAAAUAUUGCAGUUCACAUAAGAGGUGCUCAUGGGUCGGGCGGCCCGGCCUGCCGGCCCUCCCGAAAUAUGGGAGGGUUCGGGUAAAAAUAUAGACCCAAAAUAUGGGUUUGGGCAAAAAAAAUGAGGCCCGUUUAGAAAACGAGUCGUGCCUCGGAUACCACUUUUUUGGCCCAGACCCGGCCUGAAUAUAUAGUAAAUAUAUAUUUUUUAUUUUUUUAUUUUAAAAUAUUUUAAAAUACUUUUUUUAUUUUUUAUUUUUAAAAUAAAUUUUUGGUGUUUAUUAAAAAAAUAGGCCAGGCCGGGCUCGAGCUUAAGAAUUUUUUCCUGAGCCGAGCCUGGACAAAAUUUUAGGCCCAUAGUUUGGGCCGAGCUGGGCCCGAGCCUAGGACGCGGGCAGAAAUUUUUUCUGGACUCGACCCGAACCCGGUCUGGCCCAUGAGCACCUUUAGUUCACAUCAUCUUUCAAACAUUAAUCAUACAUUCAAAAACAAUGUAUUUCAUAAAAACUUUUAUAUAUAAAAUACUUACGAGUAGAUGUCAAGCUGAGCUAAUUUGAUUUUCCAUAGAAAAUUUUUAAAUAAUAAUUCACAACAACCAAUUAAUAAUAUAAAAAUCAUAAUACUUAUCUCAUCAUUCAAUUAUUAAUUAAGGGACAAAGGAAAUAAUGAAAUAUUAAAGAAUUCAUGAUUUGUUUUCUAUAUAUAGGGAGGGUUAUUGCAUAUUGAGACCAAAAGUGUAGUCGAAGUUGAUAUCCAACUAUCACUCUUUAGGUUUAUUGCAUUAAAUAAAUCAUGAAAUCUUUCCUUCCUUUCUUUGCAUUCCUCUCACUUCUCCUGGUAAGCUCUUGCAAUUUCGUAUGUAUUUGUACAUACAUAUAUUUAUUGUUAAUUUGUAUGGUUAAUUGCAUAUACUUUUAUAUGGAUUCAGUUUGUAGACACCAUUGCAGCAGCUAGGAAAGAUGCUGGAGAGUACUGGGGAGCUGUAAUGAAAGAUCAGCCUAUGCCUGAGGCACUCCAAGAGCUUGUUCGGAUUGAGGCUGCCGUUGCCAACCCCGAUGAGAAAACCAAGUGCCAUACAUCAGGUAACAUUGAGCUUAAGGAAGAGAAGAUUAUUGUUAAUGAGGAGUUCGAACCAAGGCCAAACAUUUCAGCUUACGGUGAUGACGCUAAUCUAAAAGGAGAUAAAUCAUCAUCUUUUGCAGAAGAUUUUGAACCGAGACCUAACAUUUCGGCUUACGGGGGCGAUGAUGCUGGUCUUAAAGGACAGAAAGAAUCAUUCACUAAAGAUUUUGAUCCACAGCCAAAUAUCUCCGCUUACAAUAACUAAUUAAAAGCGAAACCCAAGUACCAUUGGCUUAGACCCACAUCUUCCAUUAAUUUCGUCAUCAGAUUGUGUGUGAAGCUUUAUGUUUUAUAUUUGUGAAAAAAAUAAGUGGGUUGUUAUGAAUAUCUAUGAUUCUGUGACCACUAUCAUUACAGUAGAAUGGCAAAGGAACUGUGACCACUAUUGGGAUCUUUGUGAUGUUAACUCUUUGGAACAUCAAAUCAACUAUUAUUGCAACAAUUAUUCCAUGCUGAUUGUCAAUAGAGACAGAGAGAAUACUUUGCAGGUCUACAGGAUAUAUAAAAGAAUAAGUAUAAAAUAAUAAUAUUUACAAUACGAUAUUACAUGUGAUAAUUAACAUGGUAUAUUAUUAUAUGUUUCAACUACUAAAACUUAGGUGAACUCUAUCCAUUAUCGUUGUAUAUAAUGGUAAGUUAUAUUAUGCUCUCAAAAGAGAUUAUAAGUUCAAACUUUGGAGACAACAUUAUUAAGAAGGAUCAUAAACUCCGAAAUGAAAAAUAGUAAUAAAAAAAUUGAGGUUUACUCUACCAACUCUUGCAAUUAAUGCCAUCCUCUAGAAAUGGUCGGGCUAUCCGCUUAAAUCCAAAAGUUUGUUCAAAUUUUGGUAAAAAUAUUAGGUUAAAAAAUGUGUUUGAGCAAAAAAAUAAGCUCGUUUAAAAUACGUGGAGGCUCGAGUCCGGCCCGACCAGACCUAUUUUCUAAAUUUAUAUUAUAUAAUAUUAUUUUUAUAUAUUAAGUAAUUUCUACCACUUAAAAAUUAAAUUUAUAGUAAUAAACAAUACUAUAAUGUAAACAUGCUAAAAAUGUUAAAUUGCCUAUAUAUAUAAUUUUAAUUAAUAAAAAAUAAAUUAUUCAGUAUUAAAUUUAAAAUAACAUAAAUAUUUAUAAAAAAAAAUUAAAAAUAAUAUGGGUGGGCCUAAAAUAGGCUUGAGAUAAUCAUUUACAAAUAUAAAUAGCCUUGGUCAAAAUUUAAGUCCAUAUUUCGAGUUAGGCCAAGUUUGGACAAAUAUAAAAUAUGCUAAUAUUAUAUUCAAAAUGUAACACCCUAUACCCAACCCGAUCGUUAGGUCCGGGUACUAGAUGCUACACUAACCUGAAUGACUUAAUAAGUACUUCUGUUUCUAAUUUAAUUACAUACUUAAACAACUUAAAAUUCUAAAAUCUAACUACUAUUAAAACUCGUACAAAACUGGUGAAUAAUUCUUACGACCUUGGUUCCAACGUCUAUUUACAAUAUUUAGAUUAAGACUCGAAAAUGGAUAUAGUCAACUUAAACCCUAAGGCGUGGCCUUUACGAGUGCCCCUCUAUAUACUUGAACAGCUACCGCGCACCACUUAACUUUGGUGGAGUCUAACAUGGUCUCUCUUGAUUCUCAAGUCUUUUUCUAACAUGCAUUCAAGCAACAAUUUUACAAGUUCCGCAAAACUUAGUGAGAUUUGCACAUAACUUUAUGUAAAUCUAUAUCCUUAAUACUCAUAUUCAUUACUCAUGAUUGGCGAUGCUCAGUGUUUACCCAAAUAAUUGCCGUAAACGUGGGUCCUUACCCGAAUACGAUCUCUUUCUAAUAUUCUCUUUUCCUAGGGGAACGAGUACUUCCAAUGCAACCCCCAUAGCACCUGUUUUCUCAGUCUAUUAACCUUAAAGAGACUAUAUUAGAAUUACGGUUUCUACCUUUGGUAGAUCAACAAGAUCCUUACCAUUUAUCGUGGUCCUGAUGGACCUCUAUUUUUCAUUAUUAUCUGAUAGACUUUACUGGCCAUUCAGCCUUAAACGGGCAUUUUCUCCCACAUCGAUUCUUAUUGGCCUACCCAAUUUUUCGGUUGACCCUUUGUCGACUUACAAAUUAGGAUUUUAUUCUUUCCAUCCUCCUCUACAUUUGCUUAACCAAAAUGAAUUUUGUGACUUCAUGGGCAGACUCUUAUUAAAGAAAGUCAUGAUUACUAUCUCGUUUAAGGAAUUUCUCCCUCCUUUCACACGUGGCUAAGUUAGGACGCUUCUUAGGCUCCAUUCGUCAUUGCCCUUGGCGAAUCCCCUAGGUAUCCAGAUAUCUUGUGUUCCCAAAUACGCCAGUCCAUCUUGUUAAAUGUUUGGUCACUCAAGUCCCUUUGCGACUCAUCAUUUAUAUCCUGGUAAAUUUUUUGGUUAAUAAGUUGCGGACUUUACAUGUUGCCAUAACUGAGUUAUGUUCUUACUCAAGAAUUCCCAAGUCCAUCCUCUUAAAUGCUUGGUCACUCAAGUCUCGUAUUUUAUAUCUCGAUGGACUAUCUCGUGUUUAUUGUCCCGAUGGACUACCCCGUAUUUACUAUCCCAGUAGACUUUACUAGUCGCUAUAAUCGAACUAUGGUUUUACACCUUAUAAUUCUCGUGUUUAUUAUUUCAAAGGACUCUAUUGGUUGUCAUAGCCGAGCUAUGGUCUUACACUUUAAACCUCUUUGAGGUGUCACUCAAAAGACUUUACCGCCAUCGCGAUGUCACCCCAUAAAGCUUGUUGAUUAUCACCGCGGUGUUGCUCUAUAGAACCUAAUAACAGUUGUCACGGUGUCACCCCGAAAGACCAGUCGAUAUCAUUCCAUUCCUUAUUUAACCUUGAUGCUCGAACACCAUAGUGUCCACUCUGCAAGGCCAGGAGUUUCGCAUAUCACGACUUGCACCCAACAAUAGCGUAUGGUGGAAUCUUAACGGAAUUCCAUUUCCUUGUCCAUUUGCCCAUUCCUCCAGUUUUCCAUAACUACCUUAAUGCUUGAUCACCAAAGUGUCCCCUCUACAAAACCCAGAGCUUCACACAUUACAGUUUGCACCCAACAACACCCUAUAGCAGUAUACAGAGUGUCCAUUCCUAGUCCUAACUUCAUCUAACCCACCAAUAAUCUCUCCUUCAUACCCCACCGUUCAAAUAUGCAAUACAUGACAAUCAUGAACGUAUUAUCAUAGAGUAUGUUACUUUUCAAACAUAAAAUCUCAACAAUUUCAUACAUGCUGACACACUAACAGAUACUCAUAUACCUACUCAACCUUAUGCAUGCUUAGCAUUUACAACCAGCAGAAUUCAUACAUCAUCACAAUACUCAACACAUAAUCAUGCCAGCAUACAACAUUUCAUGGAUGGAGUACAAAUACUCGCCUUGCUUUAUUAUCCUUGACAGUUUAGCUUGUCCUGGCAGCUAAGCAUGACAACCAUUUACAGGUUAAACUAAAGGUGUUCAACCCUUAAAACCUAGAAUCCAUAAUUAUUCAAAAGCUUUUAAGAGUUCUUACUUUACUUCUCUUUUCAAUCUGCAAAUACAGAGAGGUAAGAAAACUUACUAGUUGUUUAAUUUCUAUACUACCAGACUUCAAUUCACACGACUACUAUGACAUACGGUGCUUUCUUUCAGUUAUAUCAUAUUCUUCUUCAGAGCGAUUGAAGAAGAUGAUGCUAUGUUGAGAUAAAUUGGUAGAUAGAAUUGAGAAGAUUAUGUCUCCACACACACCUAUUUAUAUACUCCUUUGGCACGAUUUUCAUUGACCGUCACAACAUUUCAUCCAUAAUAAUUUUGUCUCCCACUAUAGAACCAGACGGUUCUCAUCUAACUAAAUCAGAAUUGAAGUCCAACUAGUCACAAUUCAACCCUUAAAAAUUUUAAAUUUCUCAAUGGAGUUCAAAAAUUUACUAAUCCUUUCAAUUUAGUCUUAACCUUCCUUAAAUCUUGGGUUAAUAGUGUAACACCCCUUACCCGGUCCAAUCACCGAACCUGAGUAAUAAGAUGCUAUUAAAAACACCAAAUAAUUACAUACAAUUUGUAAUUUAAAAUCUCAAUUAAUUAUCAAACAAUUCAUAAAUAAUCAAGUUAACAUGUGAUUCAAACAAUUUCGGGUUAAUAUCGAACUUACAGAAGCUUAAAACCAACUCGAUAACAAACAGGGACCAUUUUGAAACUAAAACAAAAAGUUGGAAACAAUCUAUAAAUAAAGGUCACACGGUUGUGUCCUCUGGCUGUGUGGAAAUGCUAAUGCCGUGUAGGAUGAGACACAUGGCCGUGUAGACAAACCAUGUAACAAAUUGAUGUCAUGUGGAGUUAAAGUCACAUGGCCAUGUGAACAACCGUGUACUCUAACUAAGGCCGUGUGGGUCAAAAGUCCAAAUAUUCUAAAAUGUGUCACAUAGCCGUACCGUUGGGUCGUGUAUCAGACUGUGUCCAUGUGCACCAAAAUCACCUAAAAACUUAUAAACAACACGGUCGUGCCAUAGGUCCGUGUAUGGUACUCGGCCGUGUGUACUUGGAAUUACCUUUUAAUGCAAUAUUUCUACCUUAGCUCACUUAAGCAACAAGUAAUCAUUCUAAACCACAUUCAACCAAAUCAAAAGCAUCUAAAUCAAACCAAAAUUAUCAUUUAAAAUAACUACCCUGAGUGCCUAACCAAUAUGCCACAAUUGGCAACUCAAUUCACAAUUCAAAAUCAACCAAUUUAUCACAUUCAUCCAUACCAAUAUGCCUUCAAGGCACCUCAACAAGUUCGACCAAACGUAAGCCAUUAAACCCUUUUUAAUACAUAAUGAACCACUCAAGUUCAAUCACAAAUCAUACACCAAAAUUUACCAUUCAAUACAAGAUCAACAACAGCAUACCAUUAUUCAUCACUUUCAACUAAAUACCAAUCAACCACAUCACCUAACAUAUUAUCAAAUCAACCUUUAAACCAUGAAUCACAUAUACCAAAUUAAUUUAGCAAGACAUUAACAACAUAACCUUUCUCAUCAUAUACAUAAUCUCCAAUUACCAAUAAAAUACAAAAGGAUCAUUAUAGCCAUAAAACAUCCUAGGUACAUGCCAAAACCAAAAUGAACACAUCAGUAACACUUGAGUUCAAGAUUUCCGUUGGAUGCUAAGUCGAUGAUCAAAUCGUAAGGUACCUAACCUACGUACAAAAAAAAACCGAACAUUGAGUAUAACUUAGUGGUAUUUCUAUAAUCCAAACACUAUAACAUAACAUAAGACAUUUGAGUAGCAUAAGUUAAAAAUGCAUGAUGUUAUUCCAUUUAAUAUGUCAUCUAACCAUUUCUCAUAUUCUUGGAUCAAAAAAAUUAUAACUUAGCAAUAUCUAAGCAUGACCAACAACUUGAAAUACCACAAAUAUACAUUCAUUUUCACAUAUCACUUCAAAUUACUAACUAUUUGUCAUUUCAAUAUCAAUUUCAUAUUUCUAUUGAUCAUUCAAUCACUUGAAUUUUGAAUACUUAUCCAACAUCAACAUUCCAAUUAUAAACCUUUCAUUUUUAUCAUUUAUGCAAAUAUAUGAUAGCAUUGAUCAACUCAACAUGUAUUCAAUUUUUAUUUAUAUAAAUAUACACAUUUCUUCACAUAUGUUCAAUUUAGUCCACAUGAACAUAAAUCGAUUCAAAUUAAUCUAUUACAUCUCAUAAUCACAAAGUGUCUCACCUUAUGUUCUUACCAUACACAAAUAAUUCAAUAUGCACUAAUUUAGAUGUAGUUCGGGUUGUAGAAACACAAACUGUAAACUCCAAGCUAUUCGUUGACGACUUUGCCUUUUCCUUUCUUUUUCGAGAAAUCUGGGUCGAUGUUAAUAAAUUGAGGGACUAAGUAUUGAAACCCUAGGAAAAACUCUCCCACCCGUUGAAUUCCUUGAAGAAUUUAGUGAAGGAUAGAUUUUGAAGAAGAUAAUGCCUUUUCUUUCUCUUUCUUUCCACUUUCAACAUGUUUUACCUUAUUUUAACUUAUUUUAUUAUAAUUUUUUUAUAUUUUCUUCAAUUAUAAGAUACAUUAUUGUCCACUAUAAAUCCUACAAUGGUUUAAUUGCUUCAUAGGUCCCUUAGUCUUUUUCUAAUUAAAGAUUCCUUAAAAAUUACACUUUUGACACUUUUAUGAUUUAGUCCUUGUACCCUAAUUAAGCACUAAUUUGAUAAAGUUACUUGACCAAAAUUCAAUUAACUUCUAAUAUACCUCCGUAAAUAUUAAAUAAAAAUAUUUAAAGGUCUAAUUUAUGAAAACAGGGUCCCAAAGCCACACUUUCUGAUACCACUGACUUUUGAGUCGUUACACUUGUACCUUAAUUAACUAUCAAUUAAAAAAUUAUUAAACAAAAAUUUAAUAUAUUUCUAUUUUAGCCUUGUAAAUAUUAAAUCUACGAACAAGUUUACAAAAAUUACGUUUUGAAACUGGAGUUUCUGACACCACUAGAAAUGGGGUUGUUACAAAUAGAGAUAGUCGGGUGUUACACAAAACCCGAUUCAGUCUAACCCAUGAACAUCUUUACUUGGAAGUAAUAGUUAAGGCACCCAGUCACAAAAAAAAAGUUAGAUUGAAAGAGGGAGAUCCCUUUACCAAUUAUAUUGUAACAUCCGUGUUAUGCCUCGGAGUUAGGUACAAUGAUAUAUCGGGUUAGGAAAUAGUAGGAAAAUUUUGAAAUAGAUAAAAUAAGAAUUUUAAGUGUCAAUUUAGAAAACAGUUAGAGCCAAUAAGAAAUUAGGAAACGCUUAUUAGAUGAGAAAACUUGAUUUAGGACAUUGACUAAAUUGUAGGAAAAUAGAAAUUGAUGGGGCAAAAGUGAAAAAAUCAAAAGUUUGAAAUGAUUACAUGAAAUUGGUGGAAAAGGAAGAAGGACUAGGGGUGAAAUUUUACAAAAUAAGGUGUGAUUCACAUAUUAUGAAAAAAGGUAAAAGACAAAAUGGUAAUUAGCUAAAUUAGAUAAUUAUGGAAACAUAUGAUUAAAUGAUGAAAUUUUUUUGAAAUGGGAUUGGUGGAUUAAUUUAUAAAUUAAUAAAAAAUGAUUAUUAAAUUAAGAGAUAUUUUAGUGGAAUUGUGUAGAAAAUUGAAGAGAAAAGAUGAAAAUCAUUCAUCUUUCCCAUUCCCAUGCCACAACCAUUUUUCUCCACCUUUUAGACUUUUAUUUUUAUUACAUUUAGUUCCCUCUACCAUUUUUGAACCUUUCUAAGUUUAUUUCUUCAAGUUUCUUUCAUGUUUCCUUAGCAAAAUCAAUAUAGGAGUUUACUGGCUACCUUAAUUUCAUGAGAAGAGUCUUCAUAAAUGUAUUGAAGAGAGAGAAAGUAAGAAUUAAGUUGUGAUUUCAAGUGACUAAGGUAAGAGAUGAUGAAAUCUUCAUGACAUACAUGUUUAUUUCAAUAAAUUAGCAUAAUAAAGUUAUUUGAUUGUGGUUUUAACAUGAAUAUAUUAUAUGUUUUGAUAUGAAAUUGAAGAAAAAGAGAAGAAGUGUGAGGAUCAAAUUGAAGAAAAAGGAAAAAAGGUGAUCAAUGAAUAAGAAGAAAGGAAACCUUAUUAUCUAAGCUUUGGUUGUAAGUACUUUAAGAAUUUUGCCUUGUUUAGUUUUAAUUUAGCUAAAAAUUAUGCUAUUUAGACGUUUUAAUUACUCAUGUUAUAUGAAUUUAUGAAAUAAUUGUUGAUGGAAAUCUCUGUAAAUUAUGUAUAUUCUAUUUUAUGAUGUGAAAAUGAAGUAAUUCAUGCUACUGGUGAAAAAGAGACUAAAUUGAAAAGAAAGAAAAUAUGUCAUAAAAAUUUGAAAUGCUAAAAAUAGGGUUUAUAUGAAAAAUAUUAAAGUUAUGAUGUUAUGAAUAUUAAUUAUGUGAUGAAAUCUACAAGUUUGCAUAUAUAUGAUCGAGGACUAAAUGGUAAAAAGUGACAAAUUACAGUGUAUCUUUUGAAAUGUAUUAAAUGCUACAAUUCGUUGGAAGUAAAGCCCAUGUAGACGAGAUGUGAACUAUUAGGAUAUAGAUGACAUGCCAUUAAGGAUAUUUAGUGCGCCCUUUGUUCUAUUAGCAUUUCAGUGUCCUUUGUUUCGAUUGCGCUACGGUGCCCUCCGCUCUGACAUUACACUUCGAUGCACAUAUGUUCUGUUAAUGCACUUUGAUGCAACUUUGCAUUUAUUUCCAUAUGUUCUAAAUGUUCUAUUUAGUCUACAGUGGGUUAUUGAACAAAAUGUGGUCUAAACGAACAGAAAUGUAACACGGUAAGUUAUUGUAAAUGUUUGAAAGAAAAAGAUUGAAUUAAUGAUGGUGAUGAACAAAACUUAAUAUAUAUAAAUGCAAUGUGUAGUAAUUUAUAUAACUAUUUUUUUUUAAAUUCUUGAUGUACUUACUAAGCUUUCACCGACUUAACGCGUUUAUUUUUAACGCGUAGGUUGAAGAUAGAUUUGGAAAGUUAGAACUGAGGUCGUGAUCAGCUCAUCUCAUCACAUCGCCAAGCUUGGAGAAGAGUAUGACACUAAAUUUUGGUUUAGUUUGGCAUGUAAAUAGGCUAAAUAGUGUGUGAAUGUGAUAAGUGUCAAAAGUAACAUAUUUUAGCCUAAUUCUAUGUAUCUUUGGGUGAUUACGUGGUGUUAGUUGUGAAUUAUAUGCUCUUAAUCCUUUAAGUUCAUGUUUUGAAGCUUGAUAGAGCAUUUGGGAGCAAUAAGAGCAAAAAAGGAGUGAAAAUCAGAACAUUGGAGAAGUCCGGAAGUUGCACAUGGGCAAUAGAGUUUUACACGACCAUGUAGGCCACACAGGCGUGUAGAGCAUGUGGAUUUCGGGAACCAUGUGUGUUGAUAGCUAAAAGUUCUAUUUUUUAGGUUUUUGGCACUUUAAGAAGGUAUAAAUAAGAUAAUAAAAAGGAAAGGCAGCAGCCGUCAUAGAAUAGCACAAAAUUACCCAAAAGAACACCAUUGAAGGGGAUUUCCAAGCAGUUCGCCAUCAAGAUUCAAGAGUCUAAGUUGAUUUCUAAUAGAGUUACAUUGGUUGAUUUUAUUUUAGUGGUAAUAUUGUAUUUUUGGUGUUUCUUCUUGCAAGUAUGAACUAAAUUUCUAAAUACCUAAGGGAGAUGAAUCUUAGGAUGUAUUCUAUUGUUUGAUUUCUAGUUUUAUGCAAUAAAACAUUAGUUCUUUGUUUUCAAUUAUGAAUGCUUAAUUGUUCUUGGGUUGAUAAUUCUAGGGUAUUAAUCCAUGUUUUAUGUGCAUGAGUUUGAGGUUGAAUAGACUCUUUUUAUGAUUAGAUCUUGCAUAAUUGGAUGGAGUUGCAUGCAAUCCUAGAAAUAAGACGAGAUAAAUCUAUCGGAUUAGAGUCAAAUCUAAUAUAGAGAUCCAUAGAGCUAAUUAAUGCAAUAAUAAGGGUUUUAAUUAGAAAGAAAUUUCAAUUAAUCAAGCUAGAGUUAGUUGCUCUUAUGCUCGAAAAAGAUAUUAACAUAAAUUAGGGAUUUCUAUGGAUCAAAGAACUAAGAACAAAAGUUGUAUAAAUUAGAUAGAGAAUUAUAUAUGAAAUCUAGGUAGAUUCUUACCUAGGAAUUGUUUUGUCACUUGAUUGACAUUUAAUUAUUUUUGUGAUUUAUUUCUUUGACGCACUUGUUAGUUAAUUUAGUUAGUUAAGUUUAGUUUUAAUUAAUCUUUUGAAUUAUUAGGUUAAACGAUAGGAAGACGAUAAAUACUGGUAAUUGUAGUCCUUAAGGGAACAAUAUUUGUGCUCACCAUAACUAUACUAUUAAUUGAUAGGUGCACUUGCCUUAGUCGAUAUAUUAGUUAGUUUAGUGGACAUUAAAAUGGGUAUGAAGGACUAAAAUAAAAACUUUGCAAACUUUAUAAAUUCUGAGAACUUAAACAGAAACUCAAUAUGCUUGUGGUGUAUAAUAAUAAGUGAGUGAUAUGAAUAAUUUAUAUGCUUAAAUUUAAAUUGGUUUGGUUGCAUUUGAAAGUUGUAUGCAGGGACUUAGAGGUAAAAGUUAUAAAAUUGGCAAAGAAAACUUAAAUUUUCAAAUAAGGACAUGAUUCUCGAAAUUUACUCAGGCCAACCACACGGCAGUGUGGCAGACACGGGCUAUGACAUGGUCGUGUGAAUACUGGAAGCAAAUAUUUUUGGAACCACACGGUUCCCGAGAUCCACAUAGCCCGAGGACACAACUGUGUGCCCUAUUUUUCACAAUAAUCCUUAUCUAACCUUAGAAUAUUAUAUUAAAUGCAAAUAUGUUUUUAAAAGAAAUUAUUGAGCUCAUCCCUAAUCUUGGCAAUUAAUUAAAAAUAUUCAAUAACUGAUAAUUUCACUUUGAACAAAAAAUCAAAGUCUAUUAUUCUGACAAUCAAUGUAGCAUUCCUAUACUUGAUUCGAUUAUAGUGCCGAGUAUAAAGGUGUUAUAUAUAUGAUGAUUAAGAGAUGUUCAAUAAUCUUAAGAUAUCGUUCAAAGAGAAACUAUUGGGAUCCAUCGUUAUGUCACAGACAACAAAUGAUUCUUAUCAUUGUGAUUGGCGACACCAUAAAUAAGGUUAUUAGGAUUGAUUAUAAUAUUGAUAGUGGCUCUAGAGGCCAUUUUGCUCGAAUGGAAAUUUUCAAGAAGUGAAAUAUGAAGCUUUCAAAAUUCAAAUUAACAAUAAUGCACAACUUUAUACAGUGUCUAAUAGCAAAAUUUGACCAAAACAAUAACAAUAAUGGGCCACAGCUGAGCAUUUCAAAAUGCGGCCCAAUUUAUAACUACAAUAAUGCACACUAUUAUGCUUUCGGCUCAAAUCAACCAAAUUUCAUACUGAACCGACUGAAAACCCUUUUCCCCAUAGAACCAAACCCCGCGACCCGUGAUGGAGGAGAAACGCCGGGAUGCGGUUAACUCCCCGGCGGAACCGGAGCUGGCAUCAACUCGCCGUCGGGGUGGAGCGCUGAAGAGAAAAGUUAAUUCGCUUUCCGGGUCUAGUUCUUCAUCAACUCCGUCGAAACGGGUUACUCGGGAGAAGUCAAACUUGAUCUCCCACUCUCCCGUUAACCAUUACGGUCCGUUAACCAGGGCUCGCCAAGGGGCCCCUAGUGGAAACCUAGCCUUGGGUUCGAGUUCGGGAUCGGGUGGCGCAAAGCUUGAGGAGACGAAUUUGGUGAAACAAAGUGUAAAGGCGGAAGAUUUGGAAGAAUUAAAGGCAAGUGAAGAGUUGGAGGCUUUGGAAGCUAAGAUUGAGGCUGAUUUUGAGGCUAUUAGGUCUCGUGAUAGUAAUGCGCAUGUUGUUCCUAAUCAUUGCGGUGAGUUUUUUCUUUUCCCCUUUUUCUUUUCCUUGUUUGGUUGAUGGGAAAAUGGGCAGGAAAGGGAAUGAAGGGUGAACUAUUUGUUUUACAGCUUUAGUGAUGUGAAUUCUUUCUUGGGAGGUAGUGAAUUGGAGAAAUUAUGUGGAAUUUUUUUUCGUUUUCUGUUGAUUUAGAGUUCAAUUUAGUUUGUAUUGUAGUUUUUUUUGUCUCAAUUGUGGAAAACAAGAAAAAAAAUAUUGGAUGUGUUUUCUUGAAUAGUUAAUUUGAGAGUUUAUUUCUUUAUUUUUUUCUAUAUGCUAUAUGAAUUCCAAGUCUUUUUUAUGGUAUUCACAAUGAAAUGGUACAUAAGUAUUCAUCCAGUUUGUUCUGCUCAUUUCUUAUCAGCCAUGCAUGAGAAUUAGACCUUGCAAUAUUAGACACGAUAUGCAAAACAUAAGUAAAAUAUUACACAGAGCCAAAAAUAAAAAUAAAAAAUCCAUACUACACAAAUACAUGAAUGUCUCAGAAUCCACUUAAACAUGAUUAUGACAUAGGAAAAAACACGAUUAGGUCACAGUACUCAAGCUGCAAUGAAAAUGAUGAUCUUAUUUUCAUUAGCAGAGAGCAAACUAGGGCUAAUAAUUGACUUUAUUGGAAGCAUCUUAUUUUGAAGCUAUAAAGAUUGAAAAAGAAGAAACUGAACUAUUAGAUUCUUUGGUGUUUCCUCAUGUUGGUUUUUGUAUUCAUCUUCUCUUUGUAUUUAUAGGAUGGUUUUCAUGGACAAAAAUUCACCAUCUGGAAGAGAGUAUCUUGCCUUCUUUCUUUAAUGGGAAAUCCCCAAAUCGUACCCCUGAUGCAUACAAGGAGAUUCGCAAUUGGAUUGUGAAGAAAUUUCAUGCAAAUCCAAGCAAGCAGAUUGAGUUGAAAGAUCUGGAAGAUCUUGAAGUCGGUGACUUGGAUGCAAGGCAGGAGGUAUUGGAGUUCCUGGACUACUGGGGUUUGAUUAAUUUUCAUCCAUUCCCUCCAGCUGGUUCUGCUGUGCCUAAUCCCAAUGGGGAUGGGGAUGGAGAUGGGAUGACAGAAAAGGAUUCUUUGCUUGAAAAUUUGUUUCACUUUGAUGAAAUUGAAUCACGCCCACAAGGUGUUACCAAGCCUAACCUUUCAAGCCCAUCUCUACCAUCUGGGCUACUUCCAGAAUCUGCGGUCGCUGAGGACUUGAUGAAUCCGGAGGGGCCAUCUGUUGAGUACCAUUGCAACUCUUGUUCAGCUGAUUGCUCUAGGAAACGCUACCAUUGCCAGAAGCAGGUUAGUUACUGAACACUGACUAAUAAAUAAUUGUAUGAGCCUCAAAUUAUUUAGAUCACUAUGAAGAGAAAAAUAACUGCACUAAUCUUUCCAAGUAUCCUUAUGGUGGUAGCCAAUGUUUCUACAUUUCCUGCAUUGAACUCAUACAUGCUUACUUCUACGAAAUCAAUUUGUAUGACAUCUUCAGCUCAAGCCAAGUGAUAAAUAAAACUGGAAAUCCACGAACUUUCUUUGCUAUUGAUCUUUGUCCAACAAAUAAGAAAUCAGCAUAAAUGGUUUGCGCCACCUGCACGAUCUGAUAUGCACGGCUUUCAAUCUUUGAAUAAUGUGAAUGAUUAAAAUGGAAAGAAUAACUAAUUUAGUAAAUCUGUUUUAUUUAUUGACUUAUUGUUCCGUUCUUUAUGAUCCAAGUAUGUUUGUAUUUGGCAGGCAGAUUUUGACUUAUGUACUGAUUGCUUUAACAAUGGGACAUUCGGUUCUGGCAUGUCUUCAUCGGAUUUUAUUCUCAUGGAACCUGCUGACCCUGGUCUUAGUGGCGGCAAGUGGACAGAUCAGGAAACCCUUCUCCUUCUUGAGGCACUUGAACUUUAUAAAGAAAACUGGAAUGAGAUUGCAGAGCAUGUUGCUACGAAAACAAAAGCACAAUGCAUACUGCAUUUCGUUCAAAUGCCAAUUGAGGAUGUAUUUUUUAAUUGUGAUGAUAAUAACAUAGACACGAAUUCAAAAGAAACUGCUGGCCCAGCUGCCAUGAAUGAUGAAACAACUGUCCCUAAAGAUGUCUCGGAAACAACAGAGAGUAAGACUACUCAAGAAGAUCAGGCCCAGACUAUGCCGAUGGAAACUUCAAAACCUGAAGAUGAAAAAGAAGUCAGGGGUAGUGAGGAACCAUCAGAAACCAAAACUGGAACUGAUGCAAAAGGUGUUAAAGAAACAUUAAAGCCAGAAGAUAUGAAUGUACCAAAAGAUGGACUAGAAGCAACUGAAAAUUGUGCCCUUACAGCAAUAAGGGAGGCAUUUGAAGCUGUCGGUUAUAAUUUAACAUCCGAAAGCAAACUUUCAUUUGCUGAUGUAGGAAAUCCUGUCAUGGCAUUGGUAAGUUGAAUGCGUAAGUAUUUAGUUUAGGUUUUAUUGAUUGAUGUAUAUGAAGGGAAAACUGAGUUCAUUUACAGAUCUAAAUUUAUCCAUUUUGUACAUGGCUUCUGAAAUAGUAUUCUCAUCUUCGACUUGUUUCACCAUUCAUCAUUUACCUCAUCUAUUUGUUGGUGAUAUGGUACAAACAUAGUGUUGCUCCAUUUGCAGGCAGGAUUCUUUGCACAUCUGGUUGGACCCAACAUUGCUGCUGCUUCAUCCCAGAGUUCACUUAAAUCAUUAUCUGGUACUUGUCCGAACAUUCAACUGGCUGCCAGGAACUGCUUUGUUUUGGAAGAUCCACCAGAUGAGAAGGAACCAACAUGUUCUAGGAGGUAUGUUAACCUAUGCCAAGCUUAUAUUUACUUAGCAAUUUGUGAACGUUAUCUGAUGUCAGUUAGAGACACACAGUGUUGCCAAUGAUACGGGUAAUCGGGGUGCUCAGAAUGUGAAACACUCGGAAGACGAAAGCCUCAAGGGGGAUCAGAAAAGUUCAUUGAGCCACCAUGGUGACGAAAACACUGAAGUCUCUCUUCGUGAAGAGAAUGCGACAUCGCCUUCACCCAAUGACCUAACCACGGAUAAAAAAGAGUCAAGCAAUUUUGCCACUAAUGAGGAAGAUAAAAAAGCUAAUUUGAAUGAAUCCAGCAUUAUUAAUCAAUCAAAGGAUCAUCAACCAAGUGUAACAAGGGUAUCAAAUAACUUAACAUCCCAGGUUCUACCAAGUUCUCUAGAGGAGACAGGUGGGAAGGAAACAGCUAAAGAACCUUCUCAGCCUCCAAAAGCAGUGAAGGAAGUAGAUAUGUCUGGUUCUGUUCAACUGAAAAAGAAUGAGCCUUGUGAUGCCGCUGCAUCAAAGCCAGUGGGAGAGCUAUCUGAACCAGCAAAUGCAUCAGAAAAUCUAGAGACAGCUUCCUGCUCUCCAUCCAGAUCAAAGAAUGAGCAAAAAACUGUUAAACCAAUCCCUGAUGGGGAAUCUACGGAGCCUGCAGAUGCAUCAGAUGAUGUUCAACUGGUGUCUGUUUCACAACCAUCUGAAAGGAGUGAACCUCCACAGCCAGUCACAUCGAAUUCAGUAAAUGAAAAUGGAGUAACGACAGGUUUCUCUCUUUUCUUCUAUAAAUAUCUUGUUAGAAAGUGGAAGCCGCAUUAACAGAAUCUAACUCUACUGCAAAAUGCUUAGCAAUAUCUUAUGGGAAUAUGUAGGGAUAGAUAGCGUCUGAUUUAAAAUAUACAAAGAAGGCUAAAAGGAACAGUUGGUUCUAUAAGGUUGAGCGUUUGCUAUCUUUAUUGGUUUUACAUAGAGCAGCUAGGAAAAUUGAAACUUGAUACAUAAUGUUGUUUCUACUAGGUUCUGUAGAGGUAUGUAUUCCAAGAACCACCUGCUGGCAAAAUGCAUAGAUCAAUUUUGGGUGUAUCUUAUUGUUCUUUGCAGACAAGAUCGAAGAAGGUAAAAGCAAGAACCAUGACUCUACAGAGAGAGAAGAUAAUAGUAGCAUUGAUAAAUUAAAGAGAGCUGCAGUUACAGCACUCUCAGCAGCAGCAGUGAAGGCAAAACUUCUAGCAGACCAGGAAGAGGACCAAAUCCGACAACUUACCACAUCAUUAAUAGAAAAGCAGGUAGGUUAGUUGCUAAAUAUAUGCACUCUGUUUUUCCUAUGCACAUCCAACUGGAGCAACGUCUAACGUUUUAGAAGCUUUAACUCAAUCCAGUUACAUAAGAUGGAAGCCAAAUUAUCUUUCUUCAAUGAGAUGGAGGGAGUCGUAAUGAGGGUGAAGGAGCAAUUGGACAGGUCAAGGCAAAGGCUUUACCAUGAGCGAACGCAGAUAAUUGCUGCUCGACUGGGCUUACCAGCUUCCUCCUCUAGAGCAAUGCCGCCACCAAAUGCUGCAAAUAGAGUUGCAACAAACUUUGCAAACUCGGUUGCAAGGCCUCCAAUGAGCAUGAAAGCCCCAAGACCACCAUUGUCGAGACCCAUGGGUUCUAUGACCCCUACCCCUUCCAACCCAUAUGUAUCCAAUACAGUUGCAGGGAGUUCAAUUCGACCUGGUAGCCAAGACAAUCUUUCCUCCGUUGGAACCAAGUAGUCUCUAUUCAUAUUACUUGUGAAUAGAAUUUUUCAAUCCAUUCUUAUACAAGGGUCAUCCAUCUUGAGAUGCAUCUGGUUAGUACCCCCUUUUUUUAUUGUUGCAGUUUCUGUUCUUAACGCUGCCAGUCAUCUUGGGUGCAUUUAAGAACUUGAGAAUAUACUCAAGCUGAACUCAUGGCAUAUUCAUAUCUGAUGUUUUCUGCUAAUUCCAGCCACACCACUGAUUUAUCUCCGGAUACUGCGGCCUAUAUUACAUAAUUGACUGGCAUCACAUCAUCAUAGGAGGAAGGAGUAGAUGGUUAUUGUUCUCCCUUCAAUCCUAAUCUAGUCAACAACAGUCUAUAGCCUAUGUCUAACUUGGAAUUUUCUUGAAUGCUUUUGGGUUUUUGUAAGUCUAGUUUGUAGUUGAUAUUUUGAGACCUCAAAUGAUGAAUUUAGGUACUGCAAAGUUAAACAUCCGUAACCAUACCAAAUUCUUAGGUCAUCUUUAAGGUCAGAUAUAACCAAUGUAUUCUAUAUUUAUGGAUGAACAGAUGUGUUUUUGUUGUUACAAAAUGGCGUAAAUCUCUUGGUUUGAAGCUCCCUUUUCUCACCUGUAAUGGCUUUCUUUAGUGUCAUAUAUCCAACUACCCAAAUUGCAUAAUAUGCCUCUCCAAGAACACCACACAGCAGAGGCAGGAAAGUUAUAUCUGCUGAAAUCAGGCUGCAAAAUAAUUUUAAUUUUCUGAAAAACUGAUAUUUUCUUAUGUUUGAUUGUAUGAAAAAUAUCCUUUGAUAAUUUUUUCUAAAAUAAUUUUUUAAAUGUUUUUUUUUUUGUAAAAUAAAAUCAACAUAAGUAUAUUUGUUUUAGAAAAUUGAUUCUAUAAUAAGAUAAUAUUUUGUAAUAAUUAAUAUAUUAUAUAAAUUUUAGAGAAUGAAUGGUGAUAGUUUAUUAAUAAAUAUUUAUAAAAUGUAAUAUGUUUUUUUAUUAAAAUAUUAAUAUAAAUAUCUUUCAAUAACAUAUUAACGAUUUAAAAUUCAAAAUUGUUGGUAAAAUGUAUUAUUAAAAUAAAAUUUGUAAUAUUAAAUAAUUGAUUAAAAUAUAAAUUAUAUUAAUUAUAUUAUUGAAUAUAAAUAAUUUAAUAUGCAUGUUUAAUAAUAAUUGAAUAUUAUACUAUUUAUAUUAAUAUUUUAGUAUUUUAAAAAUUAAAAAUUAUAUUAAAUAUAUUAAUAAAAGGCAUGAUUCAAGUAAACUAUUAUAUAAAAAUAAAAUUACUUACAAAUAAAUUCUUUGCAAAAAAUGACUUAUGCUUUAAGUCAAUUAUCAAGAAAAAUAGUUUAUUUUCGUUGACUUGUAAAUGAUUUUUCUAUUAAUUAAGUUGUUUUCCAUAAAAACAAAUAUAUGAAAAUAAAGAAAAUAUUUUACGUGAGUGAGUUAUUUUUAAUAAAACAAACGCAUUCAAAUUUUUACAAUUAGAUUAAUGGUUGGAUCCUGUCAAACCACUUAUUCGACUGGUCUAACUAGUUGAUUUGAUUUAAUUAAAUAAAUUAUUAAAAACUCGUUAAAAAUAAAAUAAUAAUAAUUUAGUCGUCAAAUCAUGCUAUAGGUCAUCUUUUUCCAAUGCCUUUUAGAGCUACAGUUGUCCCAAUCAAAUAGAAACUUUUUCCAAUAUUGCUGAGUUAAAGGAGAUGAUUGUGUAAAGCAAGAUGCAUUGUUACAAAUCUCAAUUCUUCAACACAAUCAAUAACAGAUUAACAGCUGAACCAAGCUUUAUAUUCAAGCACAAGGAAAAAUUAUUUUAACUUAACACUAAAUCAAAUGUAUAGCUUAGUACGAGACUCAACCUCUAAGGUAAAAAAAAAAAAAACUCUACCUAUAAUUUUGAAAUUAUUUAAGAGAAUACACAUUUUAGUUUUUUUUAUAUUAUUUAUGUUCGUUUUAUGAUCUAUAUUCGAGGUUUAUGGCUAUAUUUUUUAACAAUAUUGUCUUCAAAAUUAAAACCUGUAUCUUUUCCUUAAAAGUGCAACAUAUCUUUUCAUUAUACCUGACCACUUAUUGCUCUUGUUUUGUUGAAAGUUAUUAAAAAAAUGUGUUUCGUUACUACGAAUCAAAACUUCGUUUUAAGUGGUUAUGUGUAUCUCCUACUAUUAAAAAAGUCUAGGCAUUGUAAUAGUACAAAAUUUUAUUUUUAAUUAUUAAUUAUAAUAGUUUAAUAUUAUUUUCAAUAAUGAAUUAGGUUGCUGAACAGGUUUGGCUCAAAUCUAGUUUAUAUUACCCUUAAAAGUAAAUUAAAUAAUAGUUAAAAUUCAAUAAUGUUGACGUUUAUAAUGAUUUAAAUUAGAUGAUGUCUCUAUUUCAUCUUCCUUGAUAGUGACAACCCUCACCUUCUCCAUUUUAUAACCAAUAUGAAUUACAGAUGUUCAUAUAUAUAUAUAGUUAAACAUACUUAAAUAUAGAUCCUUUUAAAUAUUAUAAUACUAUUUAUAUUGAUGGACUUAAAUCUACGUAAUUUAUUACAAUCAAGUCCCUAAAAUCUGGCAUGGUUCAAACUUAACGAAAGCAAAAAGGGGGCAACAUUAUUGAUGGAAUAAACAAUCACUCGUAAUCCAUAGAAGAAGAUAAAAAGCUAGCAAGAUAAUCAUCUUAAUCGUGAAUUACAGUCACAUUAUACUCAACAAUGGCAUCGCCAGUCUUGAAAUUCACGGAAUAAGUCUUGAGUUGUGCAUACCCUUUCGCCAUCCUGAACUUCCCUUUCCCUCCGACCACCGCAAGCUCACGCUCCGAUUCGGUAAUUGGAUUCCUCGACAAAACACUGAUAGAGCUGCCGUUGAAUUCACCUUUCGUAAACCCGAUGUCCAAGUACGCCAUCAGAGUCAAAACGUCUUUGCCUGUCGACACCCAGAGGCCUUGAGCGUUCCCUAUGACCUCUGAUGUUAUGUCGGGGCCAACGGUGAGUGGAUCAUCGAAAGCUAUCACGCCGCCGAAGCCCGUCGAGGUGGUGGUGUUUGGACUGACUAUGGGGACUGCACUAGGAUUGUUGCCGCUCCUAGUGUCGUGUAAAAAGAAGUGGAGAUAGGUUACUUUUUGGGGAGGUGGAACGUAUGGUCCGGCAUGGGAGUAAUAAUCUUGGCAACGAGCUACUGCCAUGGCGGUGCUGAGACUCAAAAUCCAGGCUAAUAUCAUAUUUCUCUCCAUUGGUAAUGGUCAAUGGGAUUUCACUCUUGUGUAUAUUGUAUUAUGGCACCUAAUUCAUAGGUUCCUAAGUUUAUAUAGAAAGAUAAAAUAAAACAAAACAAAUAUUUAUAUUUAUAUUUUUAUCAUUUUAAUUUUUUAAUUAAAUUUAAUCAUUAAUCUUUUAAAAAAUAAGAUAGUUUUCUUUUAUCAAAAAUACUAAUUAAAACAUUAAUUUUUUAAUCAUGUCAGCAUGAUAACCAACAUAAUAGUUCACGUAUAUUUAUCCUAAUAUGAUACUAUUGUUCUAAUGAAUAAAAAUUUUAAAAUUCAAAACAAAUAUAAAAAAGUUAAAAAAAUUAGCAUGAUGUACGCGUUGAUUACCAUAUGACUGUUAUAUUUAAAUAUUAAACAAUUUAGUAAGUAUUUAUGUUUAAAAAAAAGUAAUUAGAUUUAAUGGUCAAAUUAAACUCGUUUUAAAAGGUUUAGGAUCAAAUUUAAUUAAAAGAGGAUCAAAAUUGAUAAAAGAAUAUAAAUAUUAAAAAGUCUAUAGGCCCUUCCGUUGGGUUAAUUAAGAUUCAGUAAUACUAAUGUAUUUGUGCUAUGUACAAAAAUACAAUUAUAAUAUUAUUGGUGGCAAAAAAAAAAGAUAAUACUAAUGUAUUUUAUAUAAAAUUAAUAUAAAAUAGAUAAGUAAAAUUUAGGAUAAAUUCAUAAAUCUAUCAAUUUUGAAAAUAAAAUAACUUCAAUUUAUGAGAAAUAAGAAUAAUUAACAAAUUAUACUUCUAACUCAAACCAAUCCGUACAAUGCUAAGGCUGGUAGCUUUUGGUUAUAUUGCUUAAAAGCUUUCGCAUUCUUAAUCUGCAUAAAACAACGAAGGAUGAGAAGACUAUCAUAUCCUGCUUGAUGGCUUAAUCCAGCAACACGAGCCACGUUUAAAGUUUUUGCCACCUUUUCUAGUCCACCGUGUAAGUUAAAGAUCUUGAAACUGUACUUGAUGUCAAAAAUCAUACAACCAAAGUAAUAAGUCAAAUGUCGCAUGAAAGACUUGAGAUCAGGCGGUAAUAGAUUUUGAGUCAAAAUCUUCAAAAAAAACCCAAAAUCAUAAGCGCUGUGAAAAGUUACCAAAGUCAAUUCACUGAAACCCAACCCGGAAAUCAGAACCAUCAUGCCAAAAUCUCUUGAACAGAUGCCUUUUUCCUUAUUCCUUGUAAAAUCUAUACCUUGUCGUUUAAGCAACUCAAUAGACUCUUUAUCGUAAUGAUCUUUUUCAAUAUCAAAAUCUUUAAAAUUAAACUCCCAUAUAUAACAAAAAGGAGUUCCGAAAUCUGGCAAAUUACCUUCAGAAUCAGAGAGUGUUAAACUGAGUUGAAUGAUCUUCAAAGCAUCGACAUUAACUUUCAUGAACCUGUAAUUGACUUCGGGAUUUCCUAAUUGAACAAAUCUUUUGUCCGGUUUAAAAAUUGUACCAGGAAAUUCGGUAUCCAUAGAAACAAACGAAUAGUUGUGGAGUGCACUUUGAAUUAACAUAAACUCGUAUUCCAAAUUAUCAGCAAAUACUUCCCUAACAAUCACUGGUUUGUUGACAAAAAUCGACAUUUUUUUUUCUUGACUUAUACUUUAAACUGAAACUAUUGAACUCUAGAUAUACUUUUCGUGAUCUUAAGUCAGUUCUAACUAAGAUAUAUAUAUAAAUAUAAUUUUCAUAAUCCUAAUUCAAUUCUAACUAAUAUAAUUUUCGUAAUCCUAAUUAAGUUCUAAGAUAGUGUAUUAAUAUAAGGAGGGUACUCUGUUAUAUAUAAUUUCUUAAUUUAAUUUUUUUACUAAAUUCGUUUUAGGAAAGGAAAAAGAAAAACUUGUGGAUUUUACUAAUUUGCCCUUGAAAGUUACUGCAAGUUAUAUGUUUUGAUGGGUGAGAUUUAGGUUUAAGGUUUAGUGUUUACAUUUUUAAGUUUAUGUUUUAUUAUUAAUAAUAAUAUAAAAGGUGUCACAAUUAUAUAUUUCAAAAAAUAUAAUUUAAUAUUUAGUUACACAUUUAAAAAUAAUUAUAAUUUAAUUAACCCCCAAGGCGGAAUGAUCAGUAUCGAAAAUAUCCCAUUGGUCGCGAAAACACGCGGACCUUAGGCCGGGUAGGGUCGGUCGGAUCGGGUUGUAUCAAAACGGCGCCGUUUUAGCAUCGGAAAUUAAAAUUCAAAACGAUGCCGUUUUACAACUCCUAUUUAAGUAAAAAAAUUUUAAAAAAUAUCAUUUCAGCCUUCAUUUAAAAAAAAACCGAAACCUUCGUUUUUUUUCUCAAAGCUAUCUCAGGCCGGUCAUAGCUCCGGCGAUCACCGUCGUACCGGCCACCUGUCACCGGCGAGAGCUCCGCCAUACACUGAGCCUUUAGUUUUUAUUUAUUUAUUUGGGCUUGUUAUUAUUAUUAAUUUUUAUUUUAUUUCUUGGUUUAUUUUUUGAUGGGCCGGGCAAAAAUGUCCCAUUUCAGAGUAGAAGGUUAUUGUUCUCCCUUCAAUCCUAAUUUAGUCAAAAACAGUCUAUAGCCUACGUCUAACUUGGAAUUUUCUUGAAUGCUUUUGGGUUUUUGUAAGUUUAGUUUGUAGUUGAUAUUUUGAGACCUCAAAUGAUGAAUUUAGGUACUGCAAAGUUAAACAUCCGUAACCAUACCAAAUUCUUAGGUCAUCUUUAAGGUCAGAUAUAACCAAUGUAUUCUAUAUUUAUGGAUGAACAGAUGUGUUUUUGCUGUUACAAAAUGGCGUAAACCUCUUGGUUUGAAGCUCCCUUUUCUCACCUGUAUUGGCUUCCUUUAGUGUCAUAUAUCCGACUACCCAAAUUGCAUUAUAUGCCUCUCGAGAACACACAGCACAGGCAGGAAAGUUAGAUCAGCUGAAAUCAGGCUGCAAAAUAACUUCUAAAAAUGGGUUAACUUUUAAAUAUUAUAACAAUUAAGUCCCUUAAGUCUGACACGUUUCAAACCUAACGAAAGCAACAGGGGGCCAACAUUAUUGGUGGAAUAAACAAUCACUCCUAAUCCAUAGAAGAAGAAAAAAAAAACUAGCAAGAUAAUCAUCUUAAUAAUGAAUUACAGUCACAUUAUACUCAACAAUGGCGUCGCCAGUCUUGAAAUUUACGGAAUAAGUCUUGAGUUGUGCAUACCCUUUCGCCAUCCUGAACUUCCCUUUCCCUCCGACCACCGCAAGCUCACGCUCCGAUUCGGUAAUUGGAUUCCUCGACAAAACACUGAUAGAGCUGCCGUUGAAUUCACCUUUCGUAAACCCGAUGUCCAAGUACGCCAUCAGAGUCAAAACGUCUUUGCCUGUCGACACCCAGAGGCCUUGAGCGUUCCCUAUGACCUCUGAUGUUAUGUCGGGGCCAACGGUGAGUGGAUCAUCGAAAGCUAUCACGCCGCCGAACCCCGUCGAGGUGGUGAUGUUUGGACUGACUAUGGGGAUUGCACUAGGGUUGUUGCCGCUCAUAGUGUCGUGUAAAAAGAAGUGGAGAUAGGUUACUUUUUGUGGAGGCGGAACAUAUGGUCCGGCAUGGGAGUAAAAAUCUUGGCAACGAGCUACUGCCAUGGCGGUGCUGAGAAUCAAAAUCCAGGCUAAUAUCAUAUUUUUCUCCAUUGGUAAUGGUCAAUGGGAUUUCACUACUGUGAUUAUUGUAUUAUGGCAGCUAAUCGAUAGGUUCAAUUUAUCCUUUUUUUAAUUAAUAUUUUUCAUUAAACUUUAAAAGGAAGUUAAAUAUUUUGUUUAACGAAGUACUACCUAAAAUAUUAAUCUUUUAAUUAUGUUAGCGUCACAAUUAAUAUGAAAAUUUAUGUGUAUUUUAUCUUAUAAAAAAGUAAGUAAAUUCUUUCUAAAAUUUUAAUAGUUAAAUUAAAUUAUUUAUAAAAAAUUUAGGGCUAAAUUUAAGUAUAAAAAAGGAUAAAUUAAUAAAAAAUAUAAAUAUUAAAGAAUAAAUGGAUGAUUAUGCAAUUUAAUUAUAGAGAAGGCAAUCUCUGCCCGAGCUCUCACUUAAUGGAAGGCAUCGUAAUGACAUUGUUAUCGCAAAACGUAAGCAACCAUCUAUGGGCCUUCCCUAGGGUUAAUUAAAAUUCAAUAAUACUAAUGUAUUUGUGCUAUGUACAAAUAUAAAAUUAUAAUCUUAUUGGUGGCCAAAAUAAACGAUAGUACUAAUGUAUUUUAUAUAAAAUUAAUAUAAAGUAGAUAAGUAAAAUUUAGAAUAAAUUCAUAAAUCUAUUAAUUUUGAAAAUAACAUAACUUCAAUGUAUGAGAAACAAGAAUAAUUAACAAAUUAUAUUUCUAACUCAAACUAGUCCGUACAAUGCUAAGGCUGAUAACUUUUGGUUACAUUGCUUAAAAGCUUUCGCAUUCUUAAUCUGCAUAAAACAACGGAGGAUGAGAAGACUAUCAGAUCCUGCUUGAUGGCUUAAUCCAGCAACACGAGCCACAUUUAAAGUUUUUGCCACCUUUUCUAGUCCACCGUGCAAGUUAAAGAUCUUGAAACUGUACUUGAUGUCAAAAAUCAUACAACCAAAGUAAUAAGUCAAAUGUCGCAUGAAAGACUUGAGAUCAGGCGGUAAUAGAUUUUGAGUCAAAAUCUUCAAAAAAAACCCAAAAUCAUAAGCGCUGUGAAAAGUUACCAAAGUCAAUUCACCGAAACCCAACCCGGAAAUCAGAACCAUCAUGCCAAAAUCUCUUGAACAGAUGCCUUUUUCCUUAUUCCUUGUAAAAUCUAUACCUUGUCGUUUAAGCAACUCAAUAGACUCUUUAUCGUAAUGAUCUUUUUCAAUAUCAAAAUCUUUAAAAUUAAACUCCCAUAUAUAACAAAAAGGAGUUCCGAAAUCUGGCAAAUUACCUUCAGAAUCAAAGAGUGUUAAACUGAGUUGAAUGAUCUUCAAAGCAUCGACAUUAACUUUCAUGAACCUGUAAUUGACUUCGGGAUUUCCUAAUUGAACAAAUCUUUUGUCCGGUUUAAAAAUUGUACCAGGAAAUUCGGUAUCCAUAGAAACAAACGAAUAGUUGUGGAGUGCACUUUGAAUUAACAUAAACUCGUAUUCCAAAUUAUCAGCAAAUACUUCCCUAACAAUCACUGGUUUGUUGACAAAAAUCGACAUUUUUUUUUCUUGACUUAUACUUUAAACUGAAACUAUUGAACUCUAGAUAUACUUUUCGUGAUCUUAAGUCAGUUCUAACUAAGAUAUAUAUAUAAAUAUAAUUUUCAUAAUCCUAAUUCAAUUCUAACUAAUAUAAUUUUCGUAAUCCUAAUUAAGUUCUAAGAUAGUGUAUUAAUAUAAGGAGGGUACUCUGUUAUAUAUAAUUUCUUAAUUUAAUUUUUUUACUAAAUUCGUUUUAGGAAAGGAAAAAGAAAAACUUGUGGAUUUUACUAAUUUGCCCUUGAAAGUUACGGCAAGUUUUAUGUUUUGAUGGGUGAGAUUUAGGUUUAAGGUUUAGUGUUUACAUUUUUAAGUUUAUGUUUUAUUAUUAAUAAUAAUAUAAAAGGUGUCACAAUUAUAUAUUUUAAAAAUAUAUAAUUUAAUAUUUAGUUACACAUUUAAAAAUAAUUAUAAUUUAAUUCAUAAUUAUUAAUUAAAAUAAUUGUGUUAAUUUUAAAACAAAGUUCUAUCAGAAUAAAAUUUUAAACAUAAAAUGUAGGAAAAAAAUUGCAAUAAUUAUAAUUAUAAGUUAAAUCACAAUUAUUAAUUAAAAAGAGUUUGACGUAAACAAAAAGUUGCACUAGCUUUAUCGAAGUAGAAUUCUAAUAAUCUUAAUUAUUACUUAAAUUAAUAUUAGGGUUGUACAAGCCCAAUUUCGCCCGGCCCAUACCAACAAAACAAAAAUGGCCCAUUUACAAAAUUUUAACCCAAAUCAAAACAACCAACAGGCCCAACACCAAUUUGCCUAACCCUAGGGCCUUCGUCCACCUGCUCUGCCACCACCAACUCACCUGCUCCACCUCGCCGCACGCCACCAACUCUCUACCAUCGCCCAACUGCCCACCUGCCAACAAGAGAAGAAAGCAGCAACAACAAGCAAGUAAUAGAAAAAUUAUAAAAUGACUAUUUAAAAGCCAUUCGAGCAUUACCAAAAGGGGGGAAUCGGUUGUAAAAAACCGAUCUUUGCAUCUGUAAAAGCUCUCUCUUUCACGUUUUAAAAGAAAUAAAAAAAGCAGAUUCAAAACCCUUUUUCGGUAUAUCUAUUUUCCUUUUCUGUUUUUUAUUUCUUUUCUCUUUAUUUUUUUCGAAGCUAUUUGUAUUUGAUUUUGGCUUCUUUUAUUUUUUUAAACUAUAUAUAUAACGUAUAACAUAUAAAAAAAGGGGCAAAAAAAAACCUUCUUUUGAACACGGUGGCCAGCGCGGCGGCGGCUCUCCUGGCCAGAUCUUUGGCCGGCGUUUGGAAAAUGGGGAGAGGGUUUGAGAGAAUUUUGGUUUUUUUAAGGAAAAGGGAGAAAAUGAAAUUUUAAGAAAAAUGGAUUUAUAUAGGAUAUUAAAACGGCGCCGUUUUGGAGGAGUUCAGAAAGCCUCAAAACGACGUCGUUUUGACAUGGAUCAAACCGACCCAACCCGAACCGCCUAGGAUCCGCGUGUUUCUAGAUAAAAGGGGUUAUUUGUGCUCCUGGUCCUUCCGCUUUUGAGGCUGUUUACGAUCGGGUCCUAUUUUGUUUCUAUUUUUCAAUUUGGCCACAAAAUUUCAUUUUUCUCUCGAUUUUGGUCCUCAAUGAAGUUGCGCGUUUUAGAGGAGAAGGGAAAAUUUCCCUUCCAGCCCCUCUAAGUUAUUCGCGCGCUCAAUAUAACCCCUCCCCUUUGAUUUUAUUUGCGAUUCAGCCUCAAGUUUUUUUAUUUAUUCAAUUUAGUCUAACUCUUUUUAUUAUCUAUUACCAUGUUAUUUUAUAUUUGUAGUUUAUGUACAUACCUAUACAUAUAUUAUUUAUUUCCUCUUGUUUUAUUUUUUUAUUUUUUUUAUAAACGUAAAUAUAUGUUUGAAUUUAUGCAAUUAUAUAUAUAUAUAUGUAUAUACAUUUUUAUGUUUCUUGUAACCAUGCAUAUACAUGUUCUUAUAUAUGAAUAUAUGCAAUGUAUGUUUUACAAUUUAUUUUAUACACAUGCACGUCUAUAUGUAUAUUACUACUUUAUUUCUUUACACGUAUCUAUAUACAUAUACAUAUCUAAAUUUACGUACAUGCAUAUGUAUAAACGCAUUUUUUUUUAUAUUACAUAAAUUUUUUUUAUAUAUACAUAUACAUAUCUUUUAUUUUCAUGAAUACACACAUAUAUCUUUUAUAUUUUUAUAGUUAUACAUUUUCUUUGUCUAUUUCUUUAUUCAUAUUUUCAUUAUUAUUUUGAAUGAAUGCUUCAAUUUUAUUUCCCUAUGUGUAUUGCUAUUUUGUAUGUUAUUUGUUUACCCUCUUAUCUAAUUUAUUUUCAUUGCUAUUACUCAUAUUAUUUAUGCUACAUCAUCGUACUCAUUUUUGUUCGCAUUUUGACACCGUGUUUUAUUUUGUGUUAAGAUUAAUUUUAUUUGAUGUAUAAAUUAUGAUUUUAUUUGAAUAAGCAAAAACUCGUGUUUAGAUUUGCGAAGGUCGUACCCUAACUUACUGGGUUUCGAUUUUCACAAUAAAUCUAAAUACGUGAAAAUUUUUUAAACUCAAGUUUUAAAUGAUCUUGGGAAUUAAGAAAAGAUCGUGUCCUAACUUACUGGGCAUGAUCCCUUUUCUAAACCCGAGAUAAUUAAAUGUCUUUUUAAAUAAGUAAAUUUUUUGGCAUGUAUUCUCGUAUCGGGAAUUCGAUACGUUGUGUCCUAAUGCAUUGGAUAUGACAUGUCGUUUUCUCGAGAUGAGGAUUUUCCUUUUAAAAUUUUUUUCAAAAUAAGGCAAUGUUUUGCGUUUGGAAAUUCGAGAAACGUGCCCUAAGGUGUUGGGUUUCGAUUUAUCGUUUAACCAAAUUGCCAAAUAUCCUCUUGAAUUUUAAUCCAUGCCAUUCGAGUUUUUUUUAAGGAUCAUAUUUUAAAUUUCUUUAAAGUUUUCAGUUUUUCGACACUAAGACAGUAAGUAAUCAACUAGGUACCAAUUUUGGGCGUAUCGAGGGUGCUAAUCCUUCCUCGUGCGUAACCGACUCCCGAACCCAUUUUUCUAAAUUUCGUUGACCAAACCUCCUGUUUUAAUAAAAUCAAAUUAUUUAUUAAAAACAACCAUUUUUCGAGGUGAUCCGAUCACACCUCAUCAAAAAGGAUCGGUGGCGACUCCCAUUUUCGUUUUUAUUUUUUAAAACCCAAGUCGAUCCCGUUUUCAUCCAAAAAAUGGUGUCAACAAGGGUUAAUUAGUUAUUGUUUUGAAUAAUGUUAUUUUAAAUUAAGCGAAACUACGUUACAUAUUGAAUAUGUUAAUAAUGCUUUAAUUAUGAUUUGGAAAUUUUCUAUUCUAAUAUUUGAACUGAUAAUUUUUUUUUUUGAAAUAAAAGAAACACACAUUUGGCAAUAAUGUAACUAAAAAAAUAACAUUAUAAUGGAUCUGAAUUUAACAAAAUAAUUCUAACAGUGUUAACAGUUGGACUUAAGUUUUGAAAUCUAAAAAAUAAAUUCUAAAUUCUAAAUUUAGAUUAUUUAAACUCUAAAAAAUAACAUUGAACCAGUAUUUGCAAACUAUGUUUAUUAGAUACGAGCAUGUGUCUAAUACGAAAAUAGUCAAUUAUUUAAACUCCGAGUGACAAAAUGGGAUUAAAAUAGUAUCAAUUUUCUGCAAAGAAGUAACCCUUUUAUGACCUUCAUUUGCCUUAUACUCUGCUAUCGAAUCCACCAUCGGCAUUGAAUUGCAUUUUUUCGUUUCAUCCGUAAAAUUCUAGUUAAUAAAAUUGCACUCCCCAUGAAAGACCUUACGACAUGGACCUCAAUUGAUAGUUUGUUCAUCAUGUUAGGAUCGCCCCGAUUAAGCAACAAGUAAAAACAUAGCGGAAUAAAUUGAGAAAUCGAACACACAAAUUUAACACGGUAAAACUCCUCCAAAGAGGAUAAAAAAAAUCACGGAUAAAGAGUAUAAAAGAUGGAAAUAAAAACUAAACCCCGAAAACAAAGAACCCUUAAAACGUAAACACAAAAUUCUCUAAAUGUGUUAUGAGUUCUAAUCUCUAAUGGGUGUAUUUUCUAAUAUUGUAAAAGAACCUAUUUAUAAGGCUAAAUUAGUAGCUCAAAUAAACUAUGCUAAUAAAUGCUAAAUAUAUUAUACUAAUAAAUACUAAAUCUUCUAGAAAGAAAAUAUAUUUUGUUUAACUUGACUUGCAAACAAUCUCUUAGAAUUUAAGUCACACAACUCUAACACAUAACAUUUUCACAAUUCAUGUUCCAAGUUCGGUCACUUCCAAUUGGAUCUUUAGUACAAUUAUUGAACUCUAUAACCCCAUAUAGUAUAAGAGUAUCCUUAUUAAAAAGCCUUAUAUUAUCUGUGCUCACAAAAAUGGCUUCUUGGAUCCUUUUAUCAACCCGAUCCCUUCGAAGAAGGGUCCAUGUAUCACCGUUUACUUCAAGAAAUGCAUUAGGAAUUAAUGGGACAUGGUUGAGAGUGAGGUAUUUGAGAAUUGAAGUUGAAUCAUAGUUCUCAAACUCGUCUAUAUUGACAUAGAAAACUCUUAAAUCAAGCCAAGAUAAUGGCUUGUAAGGAGAGUGGGGAUUGACCAUUCAAUGAUGGUUCAUAAACCCUAUCCAUCAAAGAGGUCUUAGAGAUUAUGAAAUUGAAAAGAGAAUCAGACAGCAAAUUCAAGCAUUGGGUUUAUAUAGACAAUAUAUAUAUAUACAUGAUAGGUGUACAGAAUUAUAUUAAAAUAAAGUCAUCAAAAACAAAUUAUGUGUAAGAUAAUUAAGGAAAGAGUGGAGUUUUUGGUGUCUGUUUUUGGAGAAAGGAUCAAAUGAAAACAAUAAUAACUCAAUUCUUGGUCACAAAUACACGAACGAAAACAAAACUUUAAUAAUAGAACUCUAAUAACAUGAGCAACUAUGGAAAAAAAAAAAAACUAGAACACUGCUACAAACAAGACCAUGUUUAACAAAAUCCAAUGCCAAGUAAUACUGCAUUUGACAGUAAUAACAAUCACAACAAAACAUUAAAAAAAAAAAGUCUCAUCUAAAACUCAACAUCUGGAAGACAUCCAAAAAAGUUCAAAUGAAGCUCUUCUUCUCCCUUUCUAUGGACCUAUGCUUGGCAUUUGUCAGUGUCUAUCUUCAAUUCUCUGCAACAUGGCCAUUCUCCGAUUUCUCGGCACUGGAUGUCAUAAGGGAAACAAGAUCAUAAUUAGCAAUGUCAUUUUGCUGAGACACACAAUUGACAACUCAAGCAGAACUCAACAGAGGGAUCUAACAGGCAUGGUAUUUCACGGGGUUGAAACCAAGCAACGUUUAGUUACUUUCUAAUGCUUCGUGAAUAUAAAGUAAAAUAACUACCAAGUUCUCAAACUCUUCCAUAUACAAGGGACUUUUGACACAAGAAGUUCUCGGACUCUUUCGCAAACCGCAUUCUCCAUACUUUGGACUUGGUCAUGUAGGUCAAACAGUAAGAGCAGGCUGCAGGAGAGAUGAAAAAGAUGCAUGGUUAUUGCUCGAGUUAAAUCACUAUGGGGCCUGAACUAACUGUAUCACAUCGGGGGCUUGAACUUUCUUUUUGUCCAAGUUAAUCCCUGAACUUGACAAAUAUAUAUAAACACUUUCUAAUGAAUCAACAUGAGAAAAACAACAAAUAAAGCAAUAUUCUAAAAUUAACCAAGCAAUGAAAAUCCAGUUAAUUGAAGAGACCUUUGGGUUGAUGAUCAGCAUCAGCUGUAGCUUCAACAGGGUCACUCUUCCUCAAGCUCUUGUCAUGGCCAUUACCGAAGCUUGCCUUUGCUCAUCUCUCUUUCUCUGUAACAGCUACUGUCCCUUUAAUCUUCAUAGCUUCAAGCUUUUCAUCAAUCUCCUUCCAGUCUUUCCCCUUUUCCUUCAACACCUCCUCUCUCGGCCUUGCCUCGCCGAAAUAAGGGAAAUCGGAGAGUAAUUAAAGGCAUCCUCAAUUGGCGGAAAGAGAAAGCAAUCUCUGCCCAAGGUCUCACUUAAUUGAAGGCAUUGUAAUGACAUUGUUAUAGCAAAACGUAAGCAGCCAUCUAUAGGCCCCUUCCCAAGAUUUAAUUAAGAUUCAGUAAUACUAAUGUAUUUGUGCUAUGUACAAAAAUAUACAAUUAUAAUAUUAUUGGUGGCCAAAAAAAUGAUUAUAUUAAUGUAUUUUAUAUAAAAAUAAUGUAAAUUUUAGUAUUUGACAAAUCUAUCAAAUUUGAAAAUAAUAUAAUUACAAUAUAUGAGAAAUAAGAAUAGCUAACAAAUUAUACUUCUAACUCAAACCAAUCCGUACAAUGCUAAGGCCGGUAAAUUUUGGUUACAUUGCUUAAAAGCUUUCAUAUUUUUAAUCCGCAUAAAACAAUGGAGGAUGAGAAGGCUAUCAGAUCCUGCUUGAUGGCUUAAUCUAGCAACACGAGCCACAUUUAAAGUUUUUGCCACCUUUUCUAGCCCACCAUGUAAGUUAAAGAUCUUGAAAUUGUACUUAAUGUCAAAAAUCCUACAACCGAAGUAAUAAGUCAUAUGUCGCAUGAAAGACUUGAGAUCAGGCGGCAAUGGAUGUUGAGUCAAAAUCUUCAACAAAAAAAUCAUAAGCGCUGUGAAAAGUUACUCAAGUCAAUUCACCGAAACCCAACCCGGAAAUAAGAAACAUCAUGCCGAAAUCUCUCGAAUAAAUACCUUUUUCCUUAUUCCUCGUCAAAUCUAUACCUUGUCGUUUAAGUAACUCAAUAGACUCUUUAUCGUACCGAUCUUUUUCAAUAUCAAAAUCUCUAAAAUUAAACUCCCAUAUAUAACAAAAAGGAGUUUCGAAAUCUGGCAAAUUACCUUCAGAAUCAGAGAGUGUUAAACCAAGUUGAAUGAUCUUCAAAGCAUCGACAUUAACUUUCAUGAACCUAUAAUUGAUUUUAGGAUUUCCUAGUUGAACGAUAUUUUUGUCUGGUUUGAAAAUCGUACCAGGAAAUUCGGUAUCCAUAGAAACAAAAGGAUAAUUGUUGAGUGCACUUUGAAUUAACAUAAACUCGUAUUCCAAAUUGUCAACAAAUACUUCCCUAACAAUCACUGGUUUGUUGACAAAAAUCGACAUUUUUUCUUUUUCUUUUCUCUAACUUAUGCUUUAAGCUGAAACUAUUGAACUCUAUAUAUAAUUUUCGUGAUCUUAAUUCAGUUCUAACUAGAAUAUAUAUAAAUAUAAUUUUCCUAAUCCUAAUUCAAUUCUAGCUAAUAUAUAUUUAUAAAAUAUAAUUUUCAUAAUCCUAAUUAAGUUAUGCGUUCGGACUAAGAUAUAUUGUGUAUUAAUACAAGGAGGGAACUACGUUAUUUAUAAUUUUCUAAUUUAAAAUUUAUUUUUUAAUAUUAUUAUUUUACUAAAUUUUACAGGUGGACUCUAAUCUUAUUUGUAUCCUUUAAAGAAAUAAAAGAUAAUGGAGAGUGGGUCUUGACCGUUUGGCCCUUCAACGAUGGCUCAUAAACCCUUUCCAUUAAAGAGAAACAAACAGCAAAUCCAAGCAUUUGAAUAGGUUUUAUCGACUUUUAAAAAAUUAAAUUAAAUUUUUAUCAUUUUUAAGAAGACUAAAGUAUAAUUUUAUCAUUAUUAAUUUAAAAUUUUAAAAAAUUUAAAGAACCUAAAUAAAAAAAUUUUCAUUUUAAAAGAGGUCGGGCCUGACACCCCCUCCCCCGGGGCUACAAAAUUAUAUUAAAAACAAAAGGGCUGUGUAAUAUUUAAAUAAAGCCAUUGAAGACAAAUUGUGUGUAAGAUAAUCAAGGAAAGAGUGGUGUUUUUUCGUGUCUGUUUUAACGGAAAUUAUUGUAUGAAACAGUGAUAUUAUUAUUUUUCAAUAGUUUAAUGUCAUGUCAACAAUUUCAUCUUAAAUUUUAAGAUUUUCAUUUCAGGAUAAAUAUAUUGAUACGACAUUAAACUAUUAAAAAAAGAUAUAGAUGACGUGGUAUCCCAAUUACAUACAAUAAUUUCCCCUAUUUUAGCAGUUUUCGUAUAACACAGUAUUAAUCUUGUAUUUGUGACUCUCAAUGACUUGGCCAAAAGUGAUCCAUUGUCUUCUUUAUGUUGCUUUAUAGGACUUUUUGGAGUUCUCUUUGAGGAGUUGAUAGGUUCAUGUUGGAUGAUUUUGUAUUGGUGCUUGUUUGCUGCAGCUGGCCUGAUCAGACACAAGCCUUCAGGAGAGGCCACAACAGACGUGAAACCCAAGAGGAGACGUCGGAAUCUCUAUGGUGUCGAAGGCUGAAUCAUCACCCUUUAGACAUUGAUCAUAAAAAUAAAAUUUUCAAUCAUAAAAUUUAAACUCGAACUGUUUGAAGUAAACUAAAUCCGAGCCUAUAAUGUUGUACAAUAAGAGUUAGUCUUCACACAUACGACAUGAAUAUACCAACACCACACAAGCACACAUUACAUUCAAAGAGAACUACUUAAAUAAAAACUUACCAUUUACUCUCGAAAAAUAAUAUGGAAGCACAAAAACACAAAUAAUGUCUACAUUACCACGUGAAAAGCACAUGCAGCAGCACUCCCUAUUUACAAAACCCACAUGUCGUCACUCUUCUUAAAGAUAGACCCGUUGACAAGAAUAUUAUUUAGUGGGAUAUAUGUAAGGGACCAAUUUCAUCCGGUCCAACAAAAGUCAAACAAAUAAAUAAAAAUAAUAAAAAGUUCAUUUACAAAAAAAAUAAUAGCCCAAAUACAAAAAAAAAUCCUAAAAAUCAAAGCCCAACCCACGACCUAAACUCUUUUUUAGAAAAAAAAAUCCUAGACCCCUACGUGCCGUUGCUCCUAACCACGUCAAUAGAUGCAUCGCCUGAGGAUUGCCUCCCUUGCCAUCAUUUCACCGAAAUGGCAAGGGUGCGACUCCCAUCGUCGUUGACCGCCAUGAGUACCUUCAAAGAAGAAAGAAAAGCACAGAAAUGGAAAGCAGAACAGAAACAAAAAGAAAAGAAAAAAUGAAAUACUGUAAUGGCUGUAAAAGCCAAACUAUUGUAAGAUUCAAACAAGCAAUCAAAUAGAAUACAAAAAAGGCUUAACUUUCAGACGCCAAAAAAACGUCGUUUCAAGCUAGACUUGCCGACCCGAUCCGGAUCCCCUAAGAUCCGCGUGUUUUCACGAAAAGGGUCUAAUUGCGACCCUAGUCCUUCCUCUUUUUAAACACUUUUCAAUACAGUCCUAUUUCUGGUUUUUUCUUUCUUUUUUUAAAUUUAUACCAUUUAAUUUUAGAUUUUUUUAUUUUGGUCCCUCUUGGAAACGGUGCGUUUAAUGGGUUUGGGAAUAAUUUCCCAUUUGAUCACUACUCCUUUUCGCGCGUUCUAUUUUGGUCCUUUAUUCUGCCUUAUUAAUUUAUUUAUUUAUUUUAUUAUGAUUUAUGCUUUUAAUUUCAUUUAAAUUCCAAUGCAAUCCUUUAUUUAUUUAAUUUCACCCUUUUAUGAACUGUUUUUAUUUAUUUAUGUAUUAUUUCUUUACCUUUUUUAAUACUUAAAAUUUAUGUUAUUCAUAUUUCCUUUUUAUUGUGCAUUUUUUGCCCUCAUUAUUAUUAUUUCAUUAUUCACAUUAAUAUUAUGAUAGUAAUCAUGACAUGAUAUUGUUACCACAAAUUGAAGUUUUUACUUUCAUUAUAUUUGUAUUAUUAUUGCUCAUUAGCAUGGCACUUUUAUUUUACCUUUUAUUCGUUUUUCUCUUUAUUCAUUUAUUUUUUUAUUAUUCUAAUAUUAUUUUGCUUUAUUUUCAUUAAUUAUCAUGCCAUCAUGUUAAAAUAGAUUUAUUCAUUUUUACACUAUGCCUAAAUAAAUUAAAUGUAUAUCGUUUUAAAAAGUUACCUUCGUUUUAUUUAAUAUAUAGAAAACACUUAAAACCGAGGCAAUGUUCAUUAUUUUUGGAAUUCGAGGAGUUGUGCUCCUAACUUACGGAGUAUGACAUCUUCCUAAAACCGAAGUAAUCAAAUAUCCUAUUUAAAAUAACGAGAAGCAAGAUUCAGGUAACAAUCAAAUGGCGAUUAUUCUGAUUUUCGAGAAUUAGAGGCAUCGUCUCCUAACUCACGGGGCAUGGUCCUUUUUCUCGAUUAACUCAAAAUAAGGCCUUUUCCAUUGAAUUUAAUUUAGUUAAGUAAUAUCUUAAUCAAAUGAUAUUAUACAAAGAGGGAUCGUGUUUUAAAUUCUCUUCAAAUUUUCAGUUCUCGACACUAAGAUAUCAAGUAAUCAAUUAGGUACCAAUUUUGGGCGUUAUAAGGGUGCUAAUCCUUCCUCAUAUGUAACUGACUCCCGAACCUAUUUCCUAGAUUUUGUAAGACUGAAAAUAAUUUUAAUAAAUCUAACAUUUUAUUAAAAUGAUAAAGUUUUGAGGUGAUCCAAUCACACCUAAUUAAAAAGGAUUGAUGACGACUCUAUUUUCGUUUUUUGAAAAUAAAAGUCGAUUUCACAAAAGGUUUCACAAUAUACAUGCACUAAUUAAUACCUACCAUACACAGAUUUAUUGUCACAAUUUGACAUAAAAUCAAUGACAAUAUGGAACCGAAAUAGGAUAGUAAAACUCAAACAUUUUAUAAAUUUUCGAAUCAAUCCGUUUCGAGUGGAGUAAUUUUUUUCUUUUUGAAAAUGAAUCUGGGAUAAGGUGGAUUUUUUUUAAUAGUGAGUAUGGAGCGGUUAUGGUAAUAACUUGUCUCACCCCGCUCCAUUAUAUGAAAUUACAAAUUUAUCAUUGUAUUUACAAUUAUUAAAAGAGUAAAAAUGUACUAAUGUAUUAUAGAAAAACCCAUAUUUUUAUGUUCAAAUAUGUUUUUAAGAAUUAUGUUUAAAUAAUUAUUUACCUCAAAAAAGCUUGAAAAUAUUAAAGAUAAGUAUAAAAAAUUAGAUUGAAGCGGAGUGAAGAUGGAUGCAUCCAACAUUCAUGAACUAGUAGUGAUUUUUAAAAUUCUACAUCCAUGAUAGAUCGGAGUAGAUGGUGGAGCAAGGCAUGCCAACUAUGGAGUAAAUAUAAGUUUCGCAAAAUAAUCUAUGACUUUUUUUAUCACUAUAAUGAAAUCUCGAACAUGUAUGUUUAUGUUUUCUACAGCUAAAUCAAAAUCAAACCUUGCAAAUUUUGAUACUAGUAAAAAUGAUCACAUAAAUAAUUUAUAAAAAUUAUUAAUAAAUGCGGAAUUAAAAUAAACCAACUUAUUGAUAAUGAAGUUGUUUGUGGUAAUUCUUGUGACUACAUGGCUGAUUAGGUUUCUGUCUUAGUUUCGUGAGUAAUACGUUAAAAUAAUAAAUUUGUAUUACUCAUAUGAUAAUAUAUUUACCGCAUCCAAAUUUAUAAAGUAAGUCUUAGUUUGUAUGUACCCUUUUCCAUCUUGAAUUUCCCUCUCCCUCCAAUCACCGCAAGCUCACGCACCCGUUUCGGCAGUUGGAUUCCUCGAGAAUAUAUUCAUAGAGUAGCCAUUGAGCUCCCCUUUCGCGAACCCAAAGUCCAUGUAGAGUACCAGUGUUAAAACAUCUUGGUCGGUCGACACCCAGAGGCCCCGAGCAUUCCUAACAACCUUAGAUGUUAAUUUGGGACCGACGGUGACUGGGUAUCGGGAUGUCAUUGAAGGCAGUCAUCAUGUUGGCACGGGCUACAACGACUGCACUAGAGUUUCCGCCGCUCAUUGUGCCGUGUAAAAGAAGCGGAGAUUGGUUCUUUUUGUGGAGGUGGAACAUAUGGCUUACUUUGGGAGUAAUAAGUUUAUAGCAAACCUUGAAAUUUAGUUUAAAUUUUAUAGCAAACCUUCCCCAAAUCUAACUUUUUUAAAUAAAAAAAUUUAUUCAUAAAUAUAUAAAUAAAGACAACAUAUAAUAUAAAUGAAUGAUGAAUAUAUAUUAUUCAAUCAAUAAGUGUAGAGUGAAUGGUAAGACAUUAUAUUUUUAAGGAGAGAAUUUGAGUAGGAAAUUGUUGAGAAGAACAAUUACAAACUCUAAAAGAACGAGUAUUUUAUGAAUCAUAAAACAUAUAUAUAUGGAGGAUACAUUGAUUCACAAUAAAAAAGAAUAUAUUCAGUUUUCAGACUUUAAAUAUGUUAUUUUCAAAAUAUGUUCUUUUUAAGAAUAUCUUGAUACCCAUGAUUGUUGAGUUUGGUGUGUAUGUUAACGCCGCCAAGUUUCCUUCUUGCCUUUUGAAUGAAGGUAAUUAUUAUGAUAUGAUUAUUGUACCUCAACAUCUAUAGGUGUCAAGUUUAUUGUGAAAUAUUUGAAAAUCAAACAAUAAUAAUUUUUAAUAAAUAUAUUUGUUACACAAUUUAAUAAAUAUAUAUAUUCUCCCAUAUCAUGACAUGAGUAUGAUACAAUCUAAUAUACUAAUAUUUAAUUGAAAAAAAAUGUUGAUGGAAGCCGUCUCUUUAGGAGAAGUAUUCGAAAUGUUGCCUAUCAAGUAGUCAACGAUCCCCUAACAAUCGAAGGUAUUGUCUCUCGAGAGAUUAUCCCCUGUACUUUAUUGAGAGCCAGCAUGUUGUGAAUAGCUUUCCUAAGAGCUUGGUUAACAGAACCGAGAGUGCUUCAGCCAUACGUUAGCAUACAAUCAUCCACCAACAGAACGUUUACAUCGAAACUAAAUUUAUUAUUAUGUCAAUCAAAUUUAUGUAAAAUUGAUAAUAAUAAUAAUAAUAAUAAUAAAAUAUUAACAUUGUAAUUAAACGAUCUCUAAUUGCCCACUUUCAAAAUUUCCCAUUCCUUUUAGAGGGAUCAAAUUGAUCUGUUAAAAUUGAGAUGGAUCGAAAAAGUCUUUCACUUAAAUAUUAUUAUAAGUUAAAAUAUGUCACAAGUCGAUGUAUUCUUCAAAAUGUUGAUUCUUGUACCUUUAUUUACAUUUAGUCCUUCUAUUUUUCAUGUUUCAGAAAUUCAAAUUCAACUGUUAACACUAUUAAAAUUAUUUUGUUAAAUUUAAGUUCGUUACAUCAUUUUUUAAUUACAUAACUACUAAUAUUUUUUUAUUUCAAAAUAUUACACCAACAAAUUUAACAAACAGAACAAUAAGAUUAAUAAUUAAAAGUAUUCAAAGUACAAAAACCUGUAACAUAUUUUAAUCAUUAUUAAAUAAAUAAAAUCCAUGCAAAUUGAUUUUGCAAUACAAUUUAAAGAAGAGAGAUGUUAACACCAAAACUAAAACCCUAGACAUUGUAUUAAGUAAUCAAUAAACAUAAAUGUAUUAUAUCAUGUCAUGCUUGUAUUAAGUAAUCAAUAAUCACACUUGCAUGUAUCCUCCCCCAAAAAUUUGCCAUAUCACAAUCAUACUUGUAUUAUGUUAUUGCGUCCGUGUUCGCGUGUAUCCGUUUAAUUGGUCACCGAUACAAACAAUUCUUGGUCACAAAUGAAUGAACACAAAACUUUAACAAUAAAAAAUUAAUAAUAAAACUCUAAGAAAAUGAGCAACUAUGAAAAAAAUAACAAAAACACUGCUACAAACAAGACCAUGUUUAACAAAAGCCAAUGCCAACUAAUUCAAGGCCUAUCAAAAUUGUUCAAAUACUGCAUUUGACAGUAAUAACAAUCACAACAAAACAUUAAAAAAACACAAGUCUCAUCUAAAACUCAACAUCUGAAAGACAUCCAAAAAAGUUCAAAUGAAGCUCUUCUUCUCCCUUUCUAUGGACCUAUGCUUCGCAUUUGUCAGUGUCUAUCUUCAAUUCUCUGCAACAUGGCCAUUCUCCGAUUCCUCAGCACUGGAUUUCAUAACGGAAACAAGAUCACAAUUAGCAACGUCUUUUUGCUGAGACACACAAUUAACAACUCAAGCAGAACUCAACAGAGGGAUCUAACACGCAUAGUAUUUCACCAGGUUGAAACCAAGCAACGUUUAGUUAAUUUCUAAUGCUUCGUGAAUAUAAAGUAAAAUAACUACCAAGUUCUCAAACUCUUCCAUACACAGGGGACUUUUGAGACAAGAAGUUCUCGGACUCUUGCGCAAACCACAUUCUCCAUAAUUUGGACUUUGUCAUGUAUGCCAGUGGUCAAACGGUAGGAGCAGGAGAGAUGAAAAGAUGCAUACUUAUUGUUCGAGUUAAAUCACUAUCGGGCCAAAACUUGACAAUUACUACUACAUUUGACAACAACUCCAACAUUGGGGCCUAAACUUUUUUUGUCCAAGUUAGUCCCUGAACUUGGUAAUUAUUCCCAAAUUGAGGCCUAAACUAACUGUUAUCACAUUGGGACUUGAACUUUCCUUUUGUCCAAGUUAGUCCCUGAACUUGGCAAUUGUUCCCAUAUUGAGACCGAAUAAUAUCAGGGCUAACUUGGACCAAAAAUUAGUUUAAGCCCCAAUGUGGAAAUAGUUGCCAAGUUCAGGCCCCAAAAAGUGAUUUAACCCUAUUUAUUCUUUAGCUAAUUAAAGCCUCUAUUCCAUUCCCUAUAAUCCCUAGCCUAAAUGAAUUCAAAUACUGCUAUAUGCAUAAGGAAAUUUGUUCUAUAAUGCAAUUGUGGAAAGCAAAAGAAUUCACAUACACUACUAUUCUGUUUCUAAAGAACCAAGCAUAUAUAUAAACACUUUAUAGUGAAUCAACAUGAGAAAAGCAACAAAUAAAGCAAUAUUCUAAAAUUAACCAAGCAUGAAAAUCCAGUUAAUUGAAGAGACCUUUGGGGUUGAUGAUCAGCAUCAGCUGUAGCUUCAACAGGUUCACUCUUCCUCCAGCUCUUGUCAGCCGGGAUAUGGCCAUUACCGAAGCUUGCCUUUGCCCCUCUCUCUUUCUCUGUAACAGCUACUGCCUCUUUAAUCUUCAUAGCUUCAAGCUUUUCAUCGAUCUCCUUCCAGUCUUUCCCCUUUUCCUUCAACACCUCCUCUCUCGGCCUUGCCUGGCCGAAAGGAUUUGCCCCUUUGGGCUUGGCCACCGUCGAGUCCUUUUUACACUCCUCCAUCACGGGAACCGUACGUGGUUGAAGCACAAGCUUUGGCCUCACCCCACCACCACCAGCACUGUUGGUCUCUUCCUUUUUCUUUCCCCAGUGAUCCAAAUCCCUUGGGGAAUCCCUGGAUUGAAGUGAAUCGAAACUGCUUCUUUUCUCAAAACCCCCACCAAAUCUCCGAGGCGGCGGUGCUCCAUUAGGGCUUUUAUUACUCUUACUAGCUGCCCAGUUAUCUACUUCAUCUGCUUUCGAUUGAGAAUCGAAAAACCCUCCUUCACCUCUCUCUCGCCUCUCAAACCCACCGCGGAAUCCAUUCCCGGUAGGAGCCGAUUUCUUAACCGACGCCCAAUUAUCGAUCUCAUCAGCGCGUGAGGGAGCAAUUUCUCUAUUCGAAUCUCUAUUCGAAACCCUAGAAGAUCCCCAUCUACUAUUACUCGACGAAUCAUCCCCGUUAGAAUUGUACCUGUUCGACCCGUACGAUUUAAAACCGCCGCCGAGCUGGUUACGAUCGAGCUCCUCGGCGGAACGCUGGCGAGGACCGGUCGGUAGAACGAGCAGGUCCUCAUGAGUGCGCCCUGUCGGCUCGCUCGGCUUAGCCGAACCGUGAGUAAAUUCAGCAAGAGAUACGGUUUGGCCCUUCUUUUUCUUGGUUUUGGUGGCCGCGGCGGCGGAUAAAGAAGGGAAAUCGGCGAGCUUUCCGGUCGAAGAAUCUACGCCGCUUUCCUGUUCUUGUUGGAGUUCAGCUUCGUGCUCUUCGGCGUCUAGAGCCCACGCGCCGGCUUUGCCCCAAGGUGACGAGACAGUUGCCGCCAUGAUCUUUUGUUUCUUUUGCCUUUUUAGUGCUUUGGCGCCGUUUCGAAGCUUACGUUUUCAGUUGUGCAGCGAAAGGAGAGGGAAGGGUUUUUUUAUAUUGUGAUAUGAUCGGCCUUCAUCGGACGGUGUAGAAUAAUUCAUAAAUAAAAGAAGUUUUAACUUAAAAAAUAUACUCAACUAAAAGUUGGAUUGUAUUUUAUCUUCUCUAUUAAAAAAAUUAGAAAAUUAAUCCUUAUAUUUUAGACCAAAUAGCAAACUAGUCAUCCACUUUUAAUGUUAAAAACGGGUCAUCGUACUUCAGCAUAACACGGCAUGUGUCACUGUUUGGUUAUACUAUUAAUCACGCUAGUUUUUAACCGUACAAGCAAAUGAAAUUUUUAACAAAAAUGACCAAUUUACUUUUUAAUCUAACAUGCAUAGACUAAUUUACUUAUUUUUAAAUGGAGGGAUAAAAUACAAUCUGACUCCUAACACAAAGACCUCUAUGAUAGUUUUACCAAAACUAUAUUAUAACUUAUAAGAGUCACUAGUAAAAAUUUAUCAAUUUAUUUAUUAUAUCUAAAUUUAUUUUAAUAAAUAUAUAGACAAUAAAUAUAUGAAGUACUUGAUAAAUAAUCAAUUUUUUAUUAAUUUAAUAAAAGAUAAUAAACUAAAUAUAAAUAAAAUGUUUUUUUUAUAUCAUUGAAGAGGAGAACGUGAUUACUUAGGAUACUUGAUAUCGAAUCCGAACUCUUUCGUAUCCACAACAUAAUACUCUUAUCAUUGAGUUAAAAAAUUGUUUACAUAAAAUAUAUUAUUUUAUUUACAAAUUUUAAUAUUUAUCUGAUAAAUGAUAUAAAGGUAGUCUUAUAUCUUUCAAAAAUAGUAUAAUUAAUAACCAUUUAGGUAUUAUCAUUUUACCAAAAAUAAUAUAUAUACAUAUAUGUUUAUCUGUAUUUUGCGAUAAAAGUACUAUGAAACCUUUAUGGUAAGAGGUGGAUUGCAUCAUGUCUAUUUACUUAAAAAAAAUGGGUAAUUAGUCUUUGUAUGUUAGAUUAAAGAGCAAACUGAUCGUUUUUUUUUAAAUUUAAUUUAUUUCUACGGUUAAAAAUUAGUCUAUAUACAUUAGAAUAAGGUACAUGGAACACCACAUGUAACUAUUUGGUUGUUUUAUCAAUCACAUCGGUUUUUAACAAUAGAAAUAGAUGAAAAUUUUAAUCGAAAGGAUCAGUUUACUCUUUGAUCUAACGUACAUGGACUAAUUUAAAUAUUUUUUAAUUAUUUAUUUAACAUCAUUUUAUUGUUGAUAAAAAUAAAUUUUGAAUUAUUUGGAAACAUAUUCAAUUAUAUAUUUAUAAAUGUAUUAGUUUAAUUUAAUGGAUAUAAACAUAAUUUUAGAAAUUUUAAAGAGAAAUUAAAAAUAAUCCUAAAUUUUAAUCAUAUAAUAAUAAUAACAAUGAAAAUGAAAAUUCUGAUUCGGUAAAAAGGUCAUAGCAGUUGGUUCUAAGCCACUCUUUUGAAAAAGCUGCUUAUUUACUAAAGCUGAAUCCAAAGGUCUGAACUUUGCAACGUUAUGGACAACGUAACCAAACAUAACCAAGAUAUUCAUGGGAUUCCAAAAUCCAAAUAGCUUUAAAAAAUAAUAAUAAAAAACAGGUCAAGUUUCGAGUAAGGCUUUUUACUACUGGCCCAACUCGAUUUUGCAAAACCAAAAAGUUAUGUUGUUUUCUUCUUGUUUUCUGCUACUUUGUUGUUGUUUUCUUACUACUUUCUCACUGGCUUCUGUCAUUUCACUAUUAUGUUGUUACUAUUUUGUUAUUAUUGUUUGAAUGUUGUAUAACUCUUAUUUUAUUUUAAUUUUGCUACUAUUUUAAAGACAUUUACUUGUUAAGUUGCACAUAUCUUAGUGUUAUUUAGUGUAAAUAUAUAUAUUUUUAAAAAUUCAAUUUAUUGGAAAAACAUUUAGUUUAAUGUUUUUAGUGAUUUUGAUAUAUUAUAUAUUUUUUUAAAAUCAUAUAAAAAUUUAAUAUGGGUGGGUCAGGCCAAGUUGUUGCACACUUUCGGGUCAGGCUUGGGCAAAAUUUUAAGCUCAUUUUUUGGGCUAAGUCGAGUCUGGGCCUAUCAAACGAACCUAAAUUUUGUCAAGGCUCAACCCAUGGACAAGUAUAUAAAUUUAUUUCAACAUAUAAAAUUUACUUAUUAACAAAUUGUAACACAUCUAACCCGAAUCCAUCGCCGAGGUUACAGAGCAUUACCGGAGUUUAUAAAUCAAACAAACAGAAAAUGCAAACAUUUCAUGGCAUAUAGCAUUCAAGUCAAAAACCAAUCAAAAUCAUACAUAUUAUCCUUUAUACGAGCCCUCAGGUCCCAAAAUACACAUUAGAAACAAAUCGGGACUAAAUUGGAAACUCAAAAAAAAUUUCGAAAAACUUUUAAAUUUUUUCAAAGGUGCGGAGGACACACGCCCAUGAGACCAGGCUGUGUGUCUCACACGGUCAAGAGACACGCCCGUGUCUCAGGCCAUGUGGAUAUUCGAAGUAGGGACACACGGCCGUGUCCUAGUCUGUGUCCAAAAUUAGGUGCUUACUGACUUAGGUCACACGGACAAGCCACACGCUCGUCUGCUAGGUCGUGUGAACAUUCUGUUUUGCUCAAUUUAAUAGAUACAGAGGACACACGAUCAUGUCACCUGGUCGUGUGUCACACACGACUGAGACACACACCCAUGCCUUUGCCCAAGUGGACGAAAUUAGGUCAUUUUUAGGCCACAUUUCUCACCCCAUUUGUCAUCAACCUAACUCAACACUUUUACACAUCAACAGUCUAUAUCAUAGCAUUCAAAUCAAGCUAAAUCCAAGUUUUAUACAUAUAUUAUCAUCACAUGUACUCUAGUAUUCAAACUUAUCAAAUUGACCAAAUUCACAUGUAUGCAUACUUGUACUAAGUAUUAACAAAUCUAUAAGAUUAUCAUCAUUCAACUAUACCAAACACUCACAUCUAACAUGAUAUAGCCUCUUAUAUGCACAUCAAAACAUGUUCAUCACAAGUCAUCCCUAUGGCUAGAUAUAACAAAACAUUAAUAAGCCAACAUUGGCCAAAUUAACUUAUACAUGCCAUUAUAAUCAGAAUCAAAUCAUCCAAAAUUACCGAUAGAACCAAUGGAUAAUGUGAUAUAACUCCGACAAGCUUCCAACCAGUUCGAGCUUCCCAUAAUCUGUAAGGUAAAUAAAAACAAAUACGUAAGCAAUGAAUGCUUAGUAAACUCAUGUAAUCUUUAAUCAUAUUAAUUCAUUUCAAAUAUGAAAUCUAUACAUAUCAAGAAUAAUCCAAUUUUGAUACCACAAUAUUCAUGAAAUUAUAUUCAUCAACUCACAAGGUGAAUAAAUCCACAACAUCACUUAUACAUAUUAUCCCAAGCUUAGUAGGAUUUUAUAUAACUUUAACUCUUCCAAAUUUCUUUAUUUUCAUUUGCAUUUCUUUACUUUCCACACUUAUUCCAUAUGCAUGACACACAAGUCAUAAACAUAUUAUUCAACCAUGGCCAGCAUUUAACCAAAGCCUUUUUCGAAUUAAUCACAUGAUAAGUCAUUUUAUAAGAAAUUGCAUAAUUUAAACCUUACCACUAUUUCAUGAGCACUAGCAUAUUUUCGCUUAAAUACUUACCAAUUCAAUGCAUCAUAUAAAUAAACAUAUUACCAUUCAACCAAUAGCUUGGCACUUACCUAAGCAUCAAGCAACAACACUGGUUAGCGUAAUUGCACAUAUUACAUAUAAAUUCAACAUUGUUAAACUUAUUUUCUCGACAUGUCACAUUUGAGUUUAUUACCCAUCUCAACAUACAUAAUUUCCUUAUAUCAACAAAACAAAGAUAGUCACAUAUUUACAUAUCAUGAUACAUAUCAUUCUCUUGCCGUUUCUUCAUAAAUAUAUAUCAUUCAUUUCAUUAUAAGAAUAUUUCAUGUACCAUCAUUUUCAUGAAUUUCGUGUAUAUUUAUUCUGGUAACAGUUCAUAAUCAUGAAUAUUGAUGCAAUCGGGCCCCAUGAGUUAUCAAAUGGGAAUGAUGUUUCCCUCGAGCUGCCUAAAGGACCUAUUACCAGAGCUAGGGCUAAGAAGUUUAAAGACACAAUUUCAGCUUUGGUUGAUCGGGUUUGGGGUGAAUCCGUGGCCAGUCUACUUGAAAACUCAUGGACCAGCAAGAUGAGCAAACCGUGCACUUUACUUCAAGCUCUUCCAGCUUAAUUUUUAACAAGCUCGUUUUUAGCUUAUUCAUUUUUUUUUGAAAUAAUUAAUUAAAUUAUCUUAGUUGCUGUUAAGUUUAAUUUGAGUCUUAGUUAAAUAUUUCUUGGUUCAGCCGAAUUAAUGUGUGAGAUUUAAGCUAAGUAAAUUUGUUGAAUUUGCUAGGACAAUGUACAUGGACGGCAAAGAAGAGGUGGACAACAUCAUGCAUAAUUUGUGGAACAAAUUAAGGAAGCAUUUGACCAACAUCAUGCAUAAUUCAUGGAAGAAUUUGAAGAAGCAUUUGACCAACAUCAUGCAUAAUUCAUGGAAGAAUUUGAGGAAGCAUUUGGCCAACAUCAUGCAUAAUUCAUGGAAGAAAUUGAGGAAGCAUUUGACCAACAUCAUGCAUAAUUCAUGGAAGAAUUUAAGGAAGCAUUUGGCCAACAUCAUGCAUAAUUUAAGGAACAAAUUGAGGAAGCACCAUGGCCGAAUUUGGCUUCCAAUUUUACCCAUUCGGCUACCCUUUUGUUUUGCCUAUAAAUAUGUGUUAAAUUUCAUUGUAAGGAGAAGAACCUUGAAUUAAUGUUUUUUUACAUUUUGUGAGAUUGUUUACAACUCUCAUUGUUCUCCAAAGACUCGUUUGACUUAUCAAGUAACCCUUGUGGCGUCAACCCAUUCUUCUUAUCCGAACUUAUCACUUUGCAUCCAAAGUGUGGCGUUCAAGUUAUACCGAGGUUCCUAUCAUCUUUGAUAGUGGGUCAAGGUUCCAUUUUAUUCGUUUUCCAUCCAUACAACAUUUAACCUUUCCUAAGUAUUCGUAUAAGUCCCGGGUUAACACACUUAUAUUAUGUUGGUUCAACUUGAAUACUUGGUUUUCAUUCACCUAUCAUCCUCAAUACACUUCAUAACCCCUUUUGAACUAAAUUUGAGCCUUUAUCCCUUCUUUCUUAACCUAUCUUCGACAAACCUUGAUAUUACUCCAAUUCACGAUCGGGUACAUCAAUGACUCGACUCUCAUCACAGAGGCCGGGGCGUAUCAUCUGGUAUCAGAGCUAGCCGAAUCGGAGUAAGAAUCAUCAUCUUUGAUAUUAUGGUUUUGUAAAAAAAAUCAAAAAAAAAAAUUUUUUUGCCUACGAUCUAGGCACGGACGAAAAGAACGUGAAAGAUCCGUAAAAAAAAAGAGUCUGGAAACCCUUCAACAAUUUUUUUUUGAAUCAUAAUCUACACUCCUUUAUACCCCUUUGAGUGAAUUUUCACGUUUUCAAAAAAAAAAUUUAUCCAAUUUAUUAUUUUUUCUUUCUUCUUUUGUAUUCGGUAUUAAAAAAAAAGAGAAAUUCAAAAAAAAAAUCGGAAUUAAAAAAAAAGUGAUUGAAAUUCAUUUUAAGUUUUGUUUGAUAGCCUACCAUUUCCGACAUCAUUGCCCACCAAGCCAACUCAAUUUUGUAAGCCGACGACAAACGGUAUUGAUUCGUCUAUCUAGUUUGCAGAGAACUUCGAGAGGCGAAAAUCGAGUGGUAAAAGGCAAGAGCGAUUGGUGAGACCAUUAGAGAAGAGUAAAAGCCAAAUUGUGUGAAAUUUUCUUUGUGAGGAAUUGGUGAGAAUUUUGUGGUGAGGUAUUUAAUUUUCUGUUAUUAUUAUUAUUAUUUUUAACAUUUCUUCUUUUAGUAUAUAAUCAUGUCUCAAGAUACCGAGCAAAACGUGGUGGGAAGAGAAGGAGUUCCCGAUUUAGGCCAACAAGCCCUCUUAAGAGAAUUUCAACGAAUGCUCCGUAACGAGCUUGAAUCCAUCAAUGAGAGGCUAGAUCGAGUGGAAGGAGGGCCAACACGAGAAGGAACCCCUCAAGGACUGAGAAGGGAGCGGGGGCGAGCAAAACCUUUUGUGGAUGAUCUCUUCGAGCCAAGCGAGGAGGAAGUUGCCAAGCAUUGGAUCAAAACGAAAGACGACGAGGUCAAAAGAAUAGGGGUCCUAGAGAUCGAGGCCAAGUUGAUGGUGAUUUAAAAGGUAUUAAACUAUCCAUUCCUCCCUUUCAUGGGAAAUCUGAUCCGGAAGCCUAUCUAGAAUGGGAGAGAAAAAUAGAGGUGAUCUUCGAGUGUCACAACUACUCGGAGAGCAAAAAGGUGAAAUUGGCGGCAAUCGAGUUCUCCGAUUACGCAAUGGUAUGGUGGGAUCAACUCACAACGAGUCGAAGAAGGAACGGGGAGCGGGCAAUCUCAUCUUGGACCGAAAUGAAAGCCGUAAUGCGUAAGCGAUUUAUACCCUCUUACUAUUAUCGUGAACUUUAUCAAAAAUUGCAGAUUCUUACGCAAGGAAAUCGAAGUGUGGAGGACUACUUCAAAGAAAUGGAAAUUGCCAUGAUUCGAGCAAACGUGGAUGAAGAUCGUGAAGCAACCAUGGCUCGAUUCUUAGCUGGCCUUAAUCGUGACAUAGCUAACGUGGUGGAACUUUAACACUAUGUUGAAGUUGUUGAUAUGGUACAUGUUGCCAUCAAAGUCGAAAAACAAUUGAAGAGAAAAGGAACUAGCCGAACCUUUCCUAGCACUAACAAUUUUCAAAGGUGGAACCAAGGCACGGGUAAGAAAGACUUCUCUAAUCGCACUAAAGAUCACCCUUUAUCUUCUAAGGUGAGCAAACCCGUUGGUGAAACAAGCAAAGGUAAAGAAGUUGUCAUGCCGAAUCGAUCACGAGAAAUAAAGUGUUUCAAGUGUUUAGGGAGGGGCCAUAUUGCAAGUCAAUGCCCUAACCGUACUAACAUGAUAUUGCGGGCUAAAGGAGAGAUCGAAUCAGAGGAAGACGAUGAUGAAAACCCCGAUGAAGCCGCCGAAGAAGAAGACGAACUUGAAUAUGCUGUUGAUGUCGAAAUCCUCGUCAUUAAACGAAGUCUUAGUCUUCAAAGCGUUGAAAACGAACAGCAAAGGGAGAAUAUUUUCCAUACACGUUGCCAUGUCCAAGGCAAAGUGUGCAGCUUGAUCGUUGAUGGCGGGAGUUGUACAAAUGUGGCCAGCACCAUAAUGGUUGAAAAACUCGGCUUGCCAACAACUAAGCACCCUCAACCUUACAAACUUCAAUGGCUUAAUGAUGGAGGGGAGUUGAAGGUAACUAAGCAAGUUUUGGUGCCGUUCACUAUCGGAAAAUAUUCCGACAAAUUUUUAUGCGACGUAGUACCUAUGCAUGCUGGUCAUAUGUUAUUGGGUCGUCCAUGGCAAUUCGACCGUAAAGCUACUCAUGAUGGUUUUACAAACCACUACACUUUCAAGUUUGAAGGAAAGAAUGUCACCUUAGUCCCGAUGACACCGAGGCAGGUUUAUGAAGACCAAUUGAAGUUAAGAGAGUCUUUUGAAAAAUUUCGAGAGAAUGAAAAAGAAAGCGAAAAACACACUGAGAAAAAAAAAGAAAAACUUUUGAAAAGUGUGAGAGAAAAUAAUAAAUCGAUUGAACAAAAAAAUAGAGAAGAAAAAGAGUAAAAGAAAAUGAGUGUUUAUGCGAAAGAGAGUGAUUUUAGAAAGUCUUAUUUGAUGCAGCAAUCGGUUCUUGUACUUAUGUACAAGGAAACUCUUUUGAAUACUAACGAGUUGGAUCCAAAUCUGCCCUCUUCGAUUGUUUCUCUUUUGCAGGAAUUUGAGGACGUGUUUCCGGAAGACAUUCCUAAUGGGUUACCGCCCAUUCGAGGAAUAGAACAUCAAAUUGAUUUCAUUCCCGGAGCCUCCAUUCCCAAUCGACCAGCUUAUCGUACAAAUCCCGAAGAGACCAAAGAAUUGCAAAAACAAGUCAAUGAACUUAUGGAGAAGGGAUAUAUACGAGAAAGUCUUAGUCCUUGCACCGUACCGAUUUUGUUGGUACCAAAAAAGGAUGGAACAUGGCGUAUGUGCGUAGAUUGUCGCGCGGUAAAUAAGAUCACUAUUAAGUAUCGACAUCCGAUACCGCGACUCGAUGAUAUGUUGGAUGAAUUGAGUGGUGCUCGAAUAUUUUCUAAAAUUGAUCUAAAGAGCGGAUACCACCAAAUUCGGAUGCGUGAGGGGGACGAGUGGAAAACCGCUUUUAAGACGAAACAUGGACUCUACGAGUGGUUGGUUAUGCCAUUCGGGCUUACCAAUGCGCCUAGCACUUUCAUGCGGUUGAUGAACCAUGUUCUUCGUUCUUUUAUCGGAAAAUUUUGCGUUGUCUAUUUUGAUGAUAUACUUAUCUAUAGCAAUUCCUUAGAAGAUCAUUUGUUGCAUUUAAAAUCUGUUUUGGAUGUGCUUAGAAAAGAAUCCUUGUUUGCUAAUCUUAAGAAAUGUACUUUUUAUACUAACAAGGUUAUUUUCUUAGGAUUCGUGGUCAGCUCGGAAGGAUUAGAGGUUGAUCAAGAAAAGGUGAAAGCCAUUCAAGAAUGGCCUAGACCCACGAGCAUUAGCCAAGUGAGGAGCUUCCACGGAUUGGCAAGCUUCUAUCGACGAUUUGUUCCAAAUUUUAGCACCUUGGCAGCACCUUUAACUAGUGUGAUCAAGAAGUCUUCUGCCUUCUAUUGGAAUGAGGAACAAGAAAAAUCUUUCAUUGCUCUUAAAUCUUGCUUAACUAAUGCUCCCUUACUUGUGUUACCUGAUUUUGCUAAAAUGUUUGAAGUUGAAUGUGAUGCAUCAGGUGUCGGAAUUGGAGCCGUUCUAAUGCAAGAUGGAAGGCCCGUGGCAUACUUUAGUGAGAAGUUAAAUGGAGCCGUUCUCAACUAUCCGACGUAUGACAAAGAAAUGUAUGCUCUAAUUCGAGCUCUCGAGACUUGGCAGCACUAUAUGCGAUCUCUCCUUUAAAAAAAUGGGUCUAAAAUUUUGCUCAGCCGGGCCCGCCUAUAUUAAAAAAAUGUAUAUAAUUUUUUUAAAAAUAUAAUACAUCAAAAACAUUAAAAUUAAUGUUUCCCAAAAAAAUUAACAUAAAUUUUAAAAAAAAAAUUUAUACUUAAAUAACACUAACAUAAGUACAACUUGACAAAACAAAUGCCUCUAAAAUAGUAACGAAAUUAAUAAUAAAAUAAGAGUUAUAUAAUAUCCAAAUAAUAACAACAAAAUAAUAGCAACAUAAUAGUGAAAUGACAACAAAAUAGUAAAUAAAAAUAAAAAGAAACAUCAAAAAAGCAACAAGAUAACAACAGGAAAACAAUAGCUUUUUUUUUUUUGCAAAUUUGGGUCAAGUCCAGGCCAAAAAAGUCUUAUCCGAGUCCCAACCCAUUUUCUAAACGGGCCUUAUUUUUUAUCCAAGCCCAUUUUUUGAAUAUCCCAACCCAUGGAUAAAUCUAAUUGCAAUUUAAUUUUCUUACUUGUUUAUGUUUUAUUACACGUAAAACCUCUUUUUAUUUACAAAUAGAUAAUUAUGUUUUAUUACAAGUAAAACCUAAUUAACAUGACUUUAGAAACAUAGCUGAAUACUAAGGAAUACAUAUAAAUGAAAUUUUAAGACAUGAAACACAUUCAAGACCAAAGGCAAACAUAAGCAAAUUCCUACUUUUUGUUGUUGUUUUUUAAGUACUCUGUCCACAAUCGGCAAUAACAACCGGCUUCGUAGUCUUUCCACGGCUAGAGCCAACUUUCUCAAUGUCUCUAACUACUUUCAUGCCUUCGACCACUCGUCCGAAAACAACGUGCUUUCCAUCGAGCCACUCGGCUUUAGUGGUGCAGAUGAAGAACUGAGAUUUGUUAGUACCCGGUCCAGCAUUCGCCAUGGAUAGUACGCCGGGUCCAAUAUGUUUCUUGAUGAAGUUCUCGUCGGCGAAGUUGGAUCCGUAUAUAGAUUCACCUCCGGUGCCGUUUCCAGCUGUGAAGUCACCUCCUUGGCAAAUAAAAUUAGGGAUCACACGAUGGAACUUCGAGCCUUUGUAGUGGAGUGGUUUACCGGAACGACCGACGCCUUUCUCGCCGGUACAUAGUGCACGGAAGUUCUCGGCAGUGCGAGGGGUAACAUCGGCAAAAAGCUCCAUCAUGAUCCGACCAGCCGGUUCGCCUCCGAUCGUCACGUCGAAGAAUACUUUAGGAUUGGAAACCAUUGCUGAAUAUUGGAUUUUGUAUUGUUUUGAUAGGUCAGUAGGGUACGUAAAGGGGAGGGACUAUGUUUAUAUAGGAUAAGGGGAGGCUCGAAAGUUGACGGGAUAGAUUCUAAAUCUAAUUCUUUCGGUUUAAAAUGAUCAAAUGCGAGUUAAAAUUGAAUUCCAUUCACAUUUUGUGAUAAAUACGAAUAUAUAUAACAUUUUAAAAUGAUAAAACAAAGGUGGCUGUUUCUGCCAAAUCUAUUGGUUGUCUCUAGCACCAUAUUUAGUAUUUAAAGUGUGUUUCUGUUUGAGACACUUUCUGCUUUUCUCUAUGUAUACUAUGAAAAGUUAUUCUUUGCUUAAAGGAGCUUACAUAGAUGGAAUAUGGUAUAAUAAUUUUUUAUGCAAGAUGUAGGGCAGGUAAAGUGAUGUUCACAUUGUAGGUGGUGUGUACAGCUAUUAACCAUGAAGGUUUUGAAUUUGUAUUUGAAUAGAGUGAGGGUUGUAUUAUAUAUCUCGUGCCUUUACGUUGGUGCUGGAGGAUAUUAUUUAUAAACGAAGGUUGGUUUGGUAUGGGUUUCAAUCAUCUAUUGUUGUAUUCUAUAGAUGUAGGUAGUAGAAUGAUCAACUAGGAACACUUUUGGAGUUGAUAUGAGGGGACUUUGUGAGGUGACUUGUUAUAAUAUUAUCAGUUCGAAGAGAUGAUAGAUAGAUGGGUGUUGAUAGGAACACUUAUCCAUGUAUAUUCUAAGGAUUGUGUGGGAUCAUCUCAUUUGAUGCGGUGUUUAGUGAAGCGAGAUUGGGACUAUGCUUCUAGCAAGGCCGAGCUUCAUCAAAUUUUACCUUCAAGUAUAAGCAUCAGGUGGUUCGAUGAGAGGUGAUAUGGUGAGGGUAUAAUAAUUGCCCCUAAAUGAAAUGCAAGUUAUAAAGUGACCUACCUUGAGUGAAAUAUCUAGUGAAACACUAAAACGACUUUUGAAAUGUCAUGCUUAAUAUCCAAUCAUUGUGCCCUUUCAUUAAUUACUCUAUGCUAGCUUUGAUUUAUAAAACUUUUUAUAUAAUAACAUUUAAGAUAUUUUUUUUCAUAUUAUUGCUUAAGUCAUUUAUGUUUUAAAACAAAAUAAAUAUUUUAGAAAAUAUUUUCAAAUCCAAAGCAAGCUUAAAGAAUGCUGGUUUAAAUUGAUUUUACUCAUAUCUUGUGCUCUUAAGUUAACUGAAAAGCUUUGAAAAUAUUUUAAAGUGUGUUUUUGAAACAAAAAUAACCAUUUUAAUAGCUAAGUGUCGAUACCCCUAGGCUAGUAUCCAUAGGCCUUUCUAGAGGGGUAAGAUAAUACUUGUUCUUGAGGUACUGAUACACACCCAAGUAUCGUAUUUUACGUAAAGUAUCAGCCUUGAAAUGUCAAUAGCCAAAACUUUUUUUCUAGACGGGCAAGGUAUCGAUACCUUGAUACCUGUUAUUGAGGUAUCGAUACCUAACCCAAAAAGUAUCAAUACCUCAUUAUUUAUAAUGACUAUUUUUUUUAGAAGUAUGGAUACCCUCUUCAUAGGUAAUGAUACAUUAGGAUGUAGGGUUGUUUCAACUUGCAUUUUUAAUGCUUCUAACGGCUCUUUUUCAUCCCCUACGACCAUAAAUAGCUAGAAUUCACUUCAUUGACAUAAAGAGAGGUCGAUGAAUGAAGAGAUAUCAUGUAACACCCCUAACCCGUAUCCGUCACCGAAUUAGGGUUACGAGGCAUUACCGAACAAAUUCAACAUUUUUAAAACCAAACUGAUCACAACGUAAAAAUUUAAUUACUUUCGCAUAGCUAUUAUAAUUUACAAUCAAAAUGUAAUUAACAUCGUACUCAAACCUAUACAUGCCAUAAGAUUGAGUUCAAAUCUUUAACAAAAUACCAAAAGAAGUCGAUAGUGUGAUGGACUAUGCUGAUGAUCCCCGAGCUCGUAACGCGUCUCCAAAAUCUAUAAAAGCAAAUGGACGAAAACAAGCAAAGUAAGCUUUUAUAGCUUAGUAAGUCUACAGGAUAACUAAAUGUAUAUAAAUAUAUAAAUAAAGUUACUUUUUAAUCUAUUUCACUGAGAUUUCAAUUAACACGAAUAACUAAUAUUUAUAUGUUAUUGUACUCAGCCCAUUUCAUUUAUAGAUAGAUAUGCAUACCUGUCGAAAGCGAUCAAUUGAAUAUAUAUUUUUAUACCAAACACAUUACAACGAAUGUAUACAACCGCGCAUAUAUAUAUUAUACACAUAUCAUAACCGAAUGUGUAUGAAUACUCAUUUUAAACUUUAAAUCAAUACAAAUCUAAUACAUAUGAACGAAUGCAUUUAUUUUCAUCAAAUACUUAUAAACCAAGGUAUAUAUAUAUCUCGAAUGCAUAUAUAGUUACUAAUCAAAUAUGUGUACCGAAUAUUUAAAAGUAUAUAUUUAUCAAAUGCAUAAUCCCAGAGCAUAUAUAUAUUUCUCAAUUGUAUAAGCCGGAUAUAUAUAUAAUCAUCAAACGCACUUAGCCAAUUGUAUAUAUAUAAAUAUACUUAUCAAUUAAAUAUAUCCAAAAUCAUAUAAUUGUACACCUAAUCACAUACUUAAAACAGAUUCACCGGCAUUUAGCCUGCUAGGCUUUAAGCCUGAUUCAGUACACCGGCACUUAGCCUGCUAGACAUAUAGUCUGAAAUAUUUCACCGGCAUUAAGUCUGCUAGACAUAUAGUCUGAAGUGUUUCACUGGCAAUAAGCCUGCUAAGCGCUAUGCUUGAAAAUCUCAAUUUUCCCAUAUACAGAAUAAUUUCCUCAAAUACUUAUUAACAGCAAACACACAUUCAUUGUAGUCCAUAUUCAAUCACAAAAGAGUUUGCGAAUCAUACAUUCGAUUCAAUUCAAGAAUCUGUACACAAAUAUACAUUUAGAUAUAUUCGAACUCCCAAGUACGUUUUUAACAUUUAUACCUUAAAAUAUAAUCAAGACUUAUUCAUAUAUAUAUAUAGAUGUUCCAACUCCAUAUACUUACUUAUUCGAAAUUAUCUGUACAAUUACAACAUACAUACUUUUAAUCAAACCCAAAUGUUUUUACAUACAUCUAUAUGUUCGAAACUUAUGUAUACAUAUGUAUUAUACAUAUCUUUAAUUUAAGCAAGAAUUUAUACAUGUAUUUACUUACAUAUAUUUGAAUCUUAAGUGCACAUAUAUAUAACUCUCAUACAACCAACCAAAUUCAAGUAUAUGUAUACAUAUAGAUACAUAUAUAAUUAUUUGAAUUUAUAUAUAUAUAACUUUAUUCUAUUCAUACUUUAAAUUAGUUCAAAAAUUUAUAUAAGCAUAUACCUAUAUAUUUGAACGUUGUAUAUACAUAUUUAUACCAUUUAUAAUUUGAAUUUAUUCAAUUAAAUUACUUUUAAUUAUAGCUCAACAACAACAUAAUAGAUAUUCAUGCAUAUAUAUAUAUAUAUAUAUAUAUUGAUUUAAUAACAUUAAAUAGCUAAUAGACUUACCUCGGACGAUGGAAAAUCGAAGUCGGACGAUUAUUCGACUAAUUUGGCUUUUCCCCGAUCUAACUCCGAUUUCUUUAGUUCUCGAUCUUGAAUUAAGCUUGUUAAUGACCGAAUACCUCAAAGCUUUUAAACCCUAUUUGUUUUUCUAAGUUUCGGCAAAGGAAGAAUGAAAAUAAUGGCUUCAAUUGAUUUAUUAUAUCAUAUGUUUAUUUAAUUAUUAGUUUACUAUAUUAACCUUUAAUACAAAAUAUAUAAACCUUAUAAUAUAAGGUCAUUUUUGACCAUUAUCACCCACUCACUACUUUAUGGUCUUAUUGCAUCAUAAAUCCUUCCAUUUAAAAAGACAACAACAAUUAGGUGCUUUUAUAAUUAACCCUUAAAUUUUUAUUUUUCGCGAUUUAAUCCUUUUAUUUAAUCGGACACUCAAACAACAAAAUUAAAACACGAAAAUUUCACACAAUCAAAUGCACACAAAGUAAACACACAAAAUAAUAUUGAAAUAUUUUUAGGACUCGGAUUUGUGGUCCCGAAACCACUAUUCCGAUUAGAGUCAAACCGGGUUGUUACAUAUCAACGCAUUCAAGCAAGCAAAUUUUUAGUUCAUUUCUUUCCUCUUUUCUUGUUUAUUAUUUAUUGAGCUUUAUUGAAAAUCAUUAUACAAGGGUUUAUUUUACUUUUAAGAGCUUAAUUUUGUAAACACUCACUUACUAGAGGUUGAUCAUGUGUUUCCUCAAAUAUUCUCUUUCUAUUAAAAAGCGAACUUUAAGGUUUUUAUGCAGAAAGCAUUAAUGGAUUAGAGGUUCUUGUUUAGCCUUGAAUGCUAGGAGAAGGCUUUUGUCUAAGCCUUGCUAGAUAGAGAGUUUUAAAGGUUAUACUUGUCUUUGAAACGUAUCAAUUCAAGUUAAUGAAUUUGGAAAAUUCUUGUCGGCAAAAGAUAAAGGAGGUAGCCAAUUAAGGCCAAACCAUUGAGUCAAUAUUUUCUAUCCUUUCUCACCUUAGUGAAAACAAGUUAGAUUACCAAUUCACUCCUCCUCUCGGUAGAAUUCGAUUCGUUAAGACUUUACACUCCCUAAACAAGCGUUGAUUUUUUAUUAGGGCUUUUCUAUUUCUUGAUUUCCUACUUAGAUACUGAUAAGUUGGGCUCUUUUGUGAUUUCUGAGCUUGUAUCUUCUUCUUCUUCAAGGAUAACCGCUUAGUAAAGCAAAAAACCCAACCUCUUGGCAUGGAACAAAAUGUUGCUCAACAAUCAGUGGGUGAAGGAGGUGACAAGAACAAAGGCAAAAUGCCUUUCAAGAAAGAAGGUGCACGAGCUUUGUAGGAAAAAUAAAAAACCGGGGUACCUCUAUACACAUUUCUCUCAAGACAAAGGGAGAAUACUCUGCCAAUGCUAAGAAAAGUGACGUCAUGUUAGGCACAUGAAAAAGCCAAGGCACCAGGAGGAAACAUCGCGAUAGAUUCCCUCUUUAAAUCUCCUUACUGGAACAAGAAUGCCUAAUAGUGCUUUGGGAAGUGAUUUAGUGGGAUAAAAGAUAAUCAAAAGUGAAGUCAGCUUUCUCGAUACAAUAAAAUGAAGGCCUUCCUUGAAUAGGAGGCAAUAAAAGGGUCCAUUGAUGAUUACGUUUUUCUAGACAUGGUGGCUCUUCAGAUCUACUUACUGUCUGUACUUGUCACAAACACUACAUCUUAUCAUCGCCAAUUAGAAUGACAUGAGAAGAGCCAACUAGGUGGAAGCAAGACAGCAGUUAAAAUAAGAAGAAGAGCAACUUGUCUUACUAAAAGUUUCAUCCCGUAUCAAGUUCGCAUAUGCAACCAUUUGACACAAUAUCUUAUUCUUGCAAGAGCGAGUAGAAAAGUUUCAAAAAGUUGGCGUAUGACGUUUUUACCCCUAGUCAAUUAUUUAGGGUUUCUUGGUGACAAAUGGUACUGUACUUUUUAGAUUGAAAGAACCAUGGAACCUGUCUUACUAUCCCCACAAUCGAGGACAAGUUGGAGGUUUAUUUUUAUCCUCAAGUGGGUUAUUCCUUCAUCCCUUUAGCUUGUUUCAGGCCGCGAUAGGGAGCCAUUCUGUUUGAGGAUAGAACUAGUGAAGUUUAGCGAGAUAUGGUCCCUACAUGGUUUUUGGCGAUUAUAUUUCGAAGGGCAUAACCUAAAUGGUGCAACUCUAGCAGAAAUAGCAUUGUUUUGUUAUGUGACGAGUUUUGGUGCUUGGUCUUCAUCAUACAAUGCUUGGCCUUGGAAGAGUGGAGAUCCUUUAGCAAAGUUAAUGCUCGAAGAGGAGCGGUAACCUCCAUAUUUCGUUUGCCAAUAUGUGCAUAAACAUUUGAAUGCUAAACUUCCUGUCACUCAGCCCAAAGAAUGAGGGAAACACGUCACUAAAAGCCUUACGAAGACCCUUGAUACAUGUAUAUGUAGGCCUUUCUCUUGUUUGCAACAUUUCGUGCCUUCUAUUAUUCUGACAUCUUUCUUAUUAAUGCUUCCUAUGCCUUAGUGCUGAUGGAACCGUCUUCAUACCAAAUUAUGAGGCUUGUACAACUAUCAGCAAAGGCUAAGCGGUUGAAGCAAAUCAAUUAGAGGCUCUCUGAGGGAUCAAAAGCAAAGAGUUGCUAGUUGGAAGGAGGGAUAAUGCUAAUAGCUAUGCUUAUGUGAAGAAAGCUCACCUGGUUGAAAAUUAGGUUCCAUAUCUAGAGGUCGAGAUAAAAAAUUUGAAAGGCAAUCUCAUGAAGUUGCUAGAAAAAUUGAAAGUAUAGGAAUCUUAGAAGUAUGACUGAAGGUCUAAAUUUUUGAAUACUUAAAGUUAAAAUCUCACCAUACACAAAUAUAUAUAUAAAUAGAAAAAGAUAGAAUAGAAUUCGCAUCUAUUAUAUCAUGUCAAUGACAAUAUAAAAAUAGAACUGAGAUCUAGAUGGAAUAUAUUGGUCAUGGGUUGAGAACGGAAGUUAUAAUUACGAUAUAUGAAUUUUCAAUCUCAUAAAUGUGCAUACAUCAUGUGUGAAUUUUGUCUGAUUCUUUCUAAUCAUUUGUCAUAUAUUUUUACUUGCACUGAUAAUAUUGAAAUCACUUAUACAAUCCUUUUCUCCAAAUAUAGACAAUACUUUUUUUUUUUAACAAUCUGAGGUUUAGGCCUUUCUCAACUCAUGCUUCAAUAUAUUUGAAUUCACUUAUAUUAAUAACAAUACUCAUGCCAAUCCCUAAACCAUAAAUUCAAUCGGUUACACAAAACCUUUUCUUUAUCAGUAUUUAAGAAGAAUAAAAUUAUUCAGCAGUUUUCUUUUUGACUUUUCCUUGUAAUAAAACAAGAAAUAUAGAUUGUAUUGCAAAAACAACAAAAAGGGUUUGUAAUAACUCAAUUAUAUGGUCAAAUAUGAUGAUAAAUAGCGUACAUUAUUUAUGGCAGUCAUGUUCUUAGAGAACAACCUAAGCCAAAUCCAGUAACCAGCAAAAGAAAACACAUAAAAAUGAUAAAUUUCAGACAUGAAUCACCAUUCAUAGACCAGAGUCAACAUUAUUCCAUUUCUUGUUCUUGUUCUUGUUCUUAACAAAGCUGUCCACAAUCUGCAAUAACGACAGGCUUAGCAGUCCUUCCACUGCUAGACCCAACUUUUUCAAUGGCUUUAACCACAUCCAUACCUUCAACAACUUGACCAAACACCACAUGCAUCCCAUCGAGCCACUCGGUCUUAGCGGUACAAAUAAAGAACUGAGAUCCAUUCGUUCCGGGACCGGCGUUCGCCAUGGAUAGUAUGCCGGGUCCGGUGUGCUUCUUGAUGAAGUUCUCGUCGGCGAACUUAGACCCGUAUAUCGAUUCACCUCCGGUUCCGUUUCCGGCUGUGAAAUCACCUCCUUGGCACAUGAAAUCAGGGAUCACGCGGUGGAACUUAGAGCCUUUGUAGUGGAGUGGUUUACCGGAACGACCGACGCCUUUCUCGCCGUUACAGAGUGCCCGGAAGUUCUCGGCGGUACGAGGAGUGACGUCUGCGAAAAGCUCCAUCACGAUCCGGCCGGCCGGUUGACCUCCGAUCGUCAUGUCGAAGAAAACCUUGGGAUUUGAAGCCAUAGUUAAAAAAAAUUGAAAAUUGGCUUAUUUUUUGGAUUUUGUUUUGGUGGGUUAGUGUGAGAUUUAAGCUAAAGAGAGACUGGUUUAUAUAGAGAAGAUGAAUGAGGGUUGACCUGCAAACGGGUCGGGUUGAUUUUUUAAUGGAUCUAAUUCGGGUUGAAUUGUGGUCAUCCAUUUUCUUUUUAGUCCUUCAGUUUUACUUUAAUGUUCAAUUUGGUACUUAUGUAUUUUUUGGUACUUAACUAAGACAAGAAAAAUCAAUUUUAAGUACUUAAUUUGAAUAAACAAAAGCCAAAUUCAAGAAUCAAACUCAUCAGAAAAAUUUAGAUACCAAAUUAAACAUUAAAAUGAAACUCAUGUACCAAAUAAUAUAUUAACUCUUUUGUAGUCAAGCUAAAAAUUUAGGUAGGUUCUUUUUAUAGAAAAAAAUAGGUAAAUCAAUUGAGUCUUAACUCGAUUGGCAUGGUAUUAUUGUCAAUGUAGGAAAACGUAAGUUCGAGUGGGCUAACUUAUUUUUUUUUCAAAAAAAAAAACUAAAUAUAAUUAGAACCUAUUUAUGGGUUGGAGAGGGACUAUUGGUAGUUUUAAAUAUUAUGUCAAAAAGAACAUAUAUGAUCAAAAUCUAUAACGAGAUUAAUAAAAAAAUUGAGUAAAGUUUGAAAAUUAUUAUAUAACUUAAUUUUAUUGGAAAAUUAUUAUAUGAUAUUUAAAUUAUUUUUAAAUAUCAAUUAAAAAUAUAUCAUAAUUAUUUAAUUCAUAUAUAGAAUUAAAAUAUUUUCCUAUUGAUGUACCAAAUAAUUAGGUUAUACUAUUAUCUCUUUAAAAAUGACAAAUUUAAUUAACAUUAAAUAUAAGAUAAAUACCUUAAAAAACUCUCCUACGAAAUAAUUAUAUUUUAUAUUUAAAAAAUUAAAUGAUAAAAAUGUGGGUCAAAAUUGGAUUCGAUUCACAUUAAAUUUGAAAUAAAUUCCAUAUACGAAAAAUAAGAAUAAUUAUUUUUUAGAAAAAAAAAAAAGAAGUAUCAGAUGCGAUACGGCAGAGUUUUGUUGGACCAUUUUUCCACUAUAAAAUAAUUUUAAUAAUAAAGUAAGUUAUAAUUAUUGUUAAAAUGCAUAAAUAAAGUUACAUAAAUGUUGAUUAAGACCGAGAUGCCCCUUCUAUUCUAGCGUUAUACACACGCACGCUAAAUGCGGUCCAUUUUUUUUUUUUUUGAGAUUUUUUUUUUGUUUUUACUCCACGUUGAAUAUUAUAGAAAUUCGAGCCAAAUUUAAAUAAAAUUGAUCAUGACCCACGUGGAGUUAAGCUCAAUCAAAAUCUUAGGUUCAUUUGUUAGGUUUGUGUUCGGCUUAGGCCCGAAAAAUGGGCUUGAAAGAAUUUGCUUAAGUUCAAUCUAAAUAAAAAAUAUUAAUUUUUUAAAAAAAUAUAAUACAUCAAAAAUACUAAAAGUAUUAAAAUAUAUGUUUCUUAAUAAAUUGAUAAUAAAUUAAAAUAUAUAUACACUUAAAUAACACUAAUAUAGGUGCAACUUAACAAGUAAAUGCCUCUAAAAUCAGAGGUGAAGCUAGGGGGUUGACAGGGGCCCGACCCCCCUAAAAUGAAAAAAUAUUAUUUAGGCCCUUCAAAAAAUUUUAAAAUUUUUAAUUAAUAAAGGUAAAAUUACACUUUAGUUCCCCUAAAAUUAUAAAAAUUUAAUUUAAUCCUUUAAAAUUUAUAAAGAUAUAUUAUAGACUAUAAAAAACUAAAAUUUCAUUCGGCCCCCUAAAAAAUUGUUCUGCCUUCGCCUCUGUCUAAAAUAGUGACAAAAUUAACAAUAAACCAAUAAUUAUACAAUAUCCAAACAAUAACAACAAAAUAGUUACAACAUGAUAGGGAAACAAUAACAAAAUAGUAAGAAAAUAAUAGCAAAAUAGUAAAAAACAACAACAAGAAGAAAACAACAAAAACACAACAGUUUUUUUUUAUUUUUACAAAUUCGGGCUAGGUCUAGUCGAGUUCAAGCCAACAAAACAUUACUCGAGACUCAACCCAUUUUCUAAACAAUGCCUUAUUUUUUGUUGCCCAAGCCUAUUUUUUGAGCCUAUAUAUUUAUUCAAACCCUCCCACUUUUUGAGUCGGGCCACAAGUCUAGGACCAAGCUAUUUUGUUUAAUUUUUUUUCUCUAGUAUAAUGAUUUAUUUUACCUUUUAAUUUAAUUUUAGUCCUUUAUUUUAUUUUUUACUUUUUAAUUUUUUUAGCCUUUAAACUUGUAUUAUUUGUUAAAUCACCCAAAAUAGAUGAAAAAUUAACAUCAAUUAAAAUUUUAAGUUUUAAAUAUUUCAAAAAAAAAAUUAGUAAAAUUAUUAAAAAUAUAUAAAACAUCUUUAUUUAAAAAAACUAAUUGCUAACAUGGCAAUCCACGUGUUUGCCACAUUAGCAAAGUUAACAAACGUUAACUUUUCCAUACAUUUUGGGGUGAUUUGACAAAUAAUAAAAAAUGAAGUGCUAAAAUGAUUUUUUUUGUAAAGUUAAAGGGUCAAAUAAGUUAUUAUGUCUUUUUAAAAAAAAUUAAAUAGAGUAAACAACCUUACUUGUUAACUCAAUCCUUAAGGCACUUUCAUUUGGAUCAUAUAAAAAAAAAUUCUUUCAGUUUCAUAACGGUUGUUAGAGAAAAUUUUUAUUUUAGUCACUCAACCAUUAACUUUAUUACAACUUCCGACUUAACCCUUAAUAAUUGAGUGAAUAAAAUAAAAUAAAAAUUCUAAAGGGGAUGACGAAAUCGAAAGGAUUUAUUUAUGAGUGGCUAAAAUGAAAGUGCCUAAUAUAUCUUAAAAUUAUUUUUAACACAUAAUAUUAAUACAUUUUAUUGGAUUAUAGUAGUUUUUUUUUUUUGAAUAAUCUCAUUAUAGGUUCUGAUAAUAUCUGUUCUUUUAGACAUAAUACCAAGAACUACUCAUACUCCUUCCCCAACCCAUAAAUAGGAGGAUAAUGAGCUUGGCUACACUCGAAUUCACUUUCUCUUACAUUGACAAUAAUGCCCAUAUCAAUCGAAUUAAGUCUCAAUCGGUAUUUAUAUUGGCCCUAACAUAAUAUUAUUAUUGCAAUAAAAAUGACAGUUUUAUAAUCAGCAAGUAAAGAGAAAGAUUCAACAAACACGUCCAACUUAAUUAAUUUAAACAUUUACUUAAUUUAUCUCCCCUACGAAGAUAGACCUUUUUUAUUGCAUGCAAUGCUUCAUUAAAUAUUGCAUAUAACACUUCAUUUUACAGUACACCCUACGUACUUCAAGGAUGAUGUGGAGCAAACGGCGGCAACGGCGGCCAUUUUCCGAACUUGGGGUGGUGGAAAUACUUGGGAGGAAGCUUGGGAAGCGGAGGGCACGGCUUCUUCGUAAAUGGAGGAAUCUUCGGAAGAGGAGGAAGUGGCUUGUGAGGAAUAGGAGGGAAGGGUUUCGGUUUGUAAAUAGGAACCGGCGGUGGAAGCGGCUUCUUAUAAACCGGUACCGGAUGAGGCUUAUAAACCGGUGGUUUGUAGACAGGAACCGGCGGUGGAAGCGGCUUCUUGUAGACCGGCACCGGAUGAGGCUUAUAAACCGGUGGUUUGUAGACAGGAACCGGCGGAGGGAGUGGUUUCUUGUAGACCGGCACCGGGUGAGGCUUAUAAACCGGUGGUGGAAGAGGUUUCUUGUAGAUGGGAGGGUGAGGGUAAUGAUGGUGGAAGCUUUUCAAUGGCGGAAGUGGUGGAAGCUUAGGCAAUGGAGGGAAGUUGUGGUGGUGGUGAGGCCAAAAGGAGGCUGAGACACAUGUUAUUGGUGAGAAUUUGAGGUUCUCUUUUAACCCAAACUGGUGUUUCUGGUCGGUGGUGGAUUUGAAAACUAGCUUAGAGGAUUCUAAGCCAUUAAUGGAAGGGCAAGGUUGAGGUGAUGAUACAGUGCGAAGCUGUGCGUAGCAAUGUUCAUUCAAUUUGCCAUCUUUGAACAAGUGUUGUGGAAGAGAGACUUUGAAAUUGCCUUGUUUGUCAAGCUUUCCAGACCCUCUGGUUUUGAAAUGGUCACCAUUUUCUGGCUUGCAAUCUAUGGUUACACGAAGACCUAGAAAGAGAAAACGCCAUUAUCAUAACAUCAUAAAUAUUGCUUCAAAUUAAAGAAAGGGAGAAUACACCAUUAACAUAACAUCAUAAAGUUUAAUUCUCUAAUGUUAACAAAAUGUUAGUGUGAUGGUUCACUGGUAGAUUUAUACACUAAUAAUGAAUCAAAUAAAAACCUCUUUUUACUAUUUUUUAGAGCUUUUGCCUUACUCGUGACUAAAAUUUUUAAAUUUUUGGGGAGAAGUGUAUCUUUAUUUAAGCAGCUUUUUGUUUUAUGUAUAAGGUGUAAUGCAGAUUUAUCCCUAUCAUGAGUGCUUGAGUAUCAACUCUUUAAUUGACCAUCGUCAAUACAAAAGUAUGUACAUAUAAUUGAGUUUGAACUUGGAUAUGUAUGUAUAUCAAUCUUAGUGUAAUAAUAUGUGUGUUGAGGAGAGGUCGCGCUUUGGGCCAAUCUUGGACCCUCAAUGAAGGUAUUGUUCUCUGGAUUUCUAUACUCGGUUUUAACUUUGAGUUUUUGUCUCAUAACUUUGAAGGGAGUCCAAAAGGGUUCGCGAAAUUUGAUGGAGCGCCUACUCCACCAAAGAAAUGUUUAACAUUUGGCCUUAAUGGGUUUUGAACUCAUGCCCUUAUAUGGCAUUAGUGGGUAAGAACUAGAUCUGUUCAUGGGUCGGGUUAUCCGCUUAAGCCUAAAGGCCCAUCAGAAAUUUGAAAGGGUUUGAGUAAAAAAUUAGGCCUGAAAAAUAGAUUUGGACAAAAAAAUAGGCCAAUUUAUAAUAUGGGUCGGGCUCGAGGCUUGAACAUUCAAGGCCUGAGCCUGACCCGACCCAUUUUUAAGUUUAUAAUAUUUUAUAUUAUGUUAUUUUUAUAUAUUAUAUAAUUUAGAACACAUUAAAAAAAAUAAACCUAUACUAAAUAUAUAAUACUACUCUAAUGUAAAUAUUAAAAUAAAGUUCAGAUGACUAUAUAAAAAUUUUCAAUAAAUUAAAAAAAGUAUAAAAUUAUUAAAUAUUAAAAUAAUAUAAUAUAAAUAUUUUUAAAAAAUUUAAAAAAUAAUAUGGGUGGACCUAAAAUAGGCUUGGGUUAGUCUUUUGCAAAUAUGGGCUUGUUUGAGUAAAAUUUUAAGCCUAUAUUCCGGGUCGGACCAGGCUUGGACAAGCAUAAAGUAUGUUAAUAUCAUGCCUAAGCCCGACUCGAACCUAUGAACACCUCUAGUAAGAACAUUACCGUGAACUUUCUUAGGCUCUCCUUAAAAUACAAGUGACAAAACUCAGAUAAUCAAACAUCAACACCCACAAACAAUACUUCUGAGGAUCCGGAACCGACCCAAACAACUAACUCCCCCCAGCAAUAUAGGCCACUACAACAUGCAAGGAAUGGCCUCGAAAUUAAUUGAGCAGCUUAGAUGAAAACAAUACCUGAAAAUGCUUGGGUGGUGUCCAAGUUAUUCUCUUUGCAAUCUGUGCAUUCACCAACCCCGACCACUUCAACUGUUUUACCAUCACCGUUAGCAUUGCAAAAUGUGGUCACAAAUAAUAAUGACCAUACUGUGAACGCCACAAGUGCUCUUCCUCGAAACUCGAGGUUCUCCAUUGUUAUUGCUUCUGAGGUAGUGAUAUGAUAUCAGAGAUUGGAUACCAAAGCCUUAUUAUAUAAUGGUGUUCAAAAGGGAUCAUGGGAUCACCAUUUUCAAUGGCUUACCGACACCACACUUAAAUGCCUCACAUAAGGUUAGGGAACGGGACCCUCACCACCUCUUUGAGAUGACUUUGGUGUAGACACGUAGUUUAAACUUUGGUUUGAUAUGAUCAUCAUAAAAAAAAUUAAUAAUUUAAAUUUGAAAUGAUUUUGUUGAGUAUUUUUAUUGUGUAUUUUCUUAAUGGGUGAAACAGAUAUUUAUUUGAUAUGGUUACUGUUCAUGGAAUUGACGUUCUAGGUAAGCUCCAUGCAUAUCGACACGUAUUCUACUCUAGACUUAACACGUGUUUGUUGGUCCAGGUGCUCGCCAGUUCAUUCAUUUAGCUUUGUACCCUGUGCGAACUGUGCUCGCAAGCCCUCCCCGUGAGCCCCUUAACGACUCCACCUGGUGGGGUCCAAACUCGGGUCGUAGGUCGGUAGCUCGGGUUAUAUUCGAGUUUCAGGUUGGCAAUUGGAUAUCCCACAAUAGAUCUAAUUCGAAAAUUGAGCUUCAAAUUUAAAUGAUUUGAACCUAAAACAACCCGAAAUUGAAAUGGCUCGAACUUAAAACAAGUUAAACUCAAAAUGAUUCAAACCCAGAAUUAAUUUGAAAAAUCGAGAUAACUCAAUCUAGACUGAUUGGUCUAAAACUGAUCCAACCCACUCAAUUUAUAAGUGAAUUCGGUGUAAUGGUUUGAAAAAGAUUGUGAUGUUACCUGAAUGACCCGAACCCAAAAUAACUGGAAAUUAAAAUGGCUCGAACUUAAAAUUGUUCGAAUCUAAAAUUGAUUCAAACCCAAAAUUAACAUGAACUGAAAUAAUUUUAAAAUUUUAAAAUUCGAAUUAACCCGAUCUGAAUUUGCUUUGAUCUAAAACUAAUUCAACCCACUUAAAUUACAAGUGAAUUUAGUGUAAUAGUUUGAAACCAAAACAACUUUAAAUUAAAAUGAUUUGGACCUAAAAUAAUUCGAAUUCAAAGUAAUUUAAACUCAAAAUUAAUCUGAAAAUUGAUACGAUUUAAAUUAAUUUGAUCCAAAACUAACCCGACCCACCUAAUUGACAGAGUGUUUAGUGUAAUGGUUUGAAAAAGAUAGUAAUGUGCCACAACCCCACAACCCCACAACCAUUUGUUGAAUUAAGCUAAUGAUAGUAUCUUUCAUUGAAUGAGCCCUCAACUGCACAACGAACAGCUAAAUUAUGCUUUGUGUUUUCUCAUCUGCAUUUUAAAACCUACUUACUAACUUUCAUAAAUAAUUUUUUCUAUAUUUACACAAUUCUUUGCUGAAUUACAAAAAUGGUCCUUCAAUAUUCAACUUAAUUUGAAUUAUUUAAAUUGUGCAACAUAUGAAUUUCGAAUAAAUCAACCACACAAAUGCCAACCAAUUUAAUUAUUACUCAAAAAAACCACUUGCUUUCUAAGUUGUUCUUAGUCAUCACUAUCAUAAUUAAGCUCAUUUUGUGAGACAACCCUUUGACUAUUUUUCAUCUAAUAAAUAUGGGGUUCAUCCAUGUGGCCAUGAAUUUGCAAGUCCCCCCCCCCUCCCCGCCUUUGAUCCAAACUUGGGCCAAACCCUAAUCCUUGAAUUUUACUUUUAUUAUUGAAAGCACAUGGUGGAGGUGGACCCUUUCUUUGACCAUCAAAGAUAAUCUAGUAACUUUGCCAAAAGAGGUCUCUAGAAAUGAAACCAUUUGUUGUAGAUUGAAGGUAGAUAGGGUAACCUCAGAUAAUAUUAUAAUUCACCCUAAUGGAUUAAAGAAAAUCGUUCUUCUUGAAUUUGAUUUUCAAAGCAUACUCCGAAGUUUAAGUGAGAGUCGGAGAGAGAUAAGAAACAAACUAACUAGUGCCGGUACGUUUAAUAUCGUCUUAUUUUUUUGUGAACCGUCUCAUUUUACUCUAAAACAUAAUGUCAACUAAUAAGGAUGUGACACGUAGCACGUUUACAUUGGACGUCAUACACUUUUAGGGUAAAAUGAAAAGAAAUUGAUAGUUUAGAUAUCACUUUUGAUUAAAAAAAAUUAGGUACUUAACUGAGGAAAACGAUAUAAAUUGAGAGUCAAUUUUGUAAUUAAGCAAAAAGAAAAACAUCUUUCACAUAAAUUAAUGGCAAUGCUGGAUUUAGUUACACUUCUUUUUCACAAAUCGGUUUUCAAGUGAUGUGAUUACCAUGUGAUUAAAAGGAAAAACAAAAUCAAUCAUGGAUUUAAAUGUUGAAAAUGUAGUUAUAGGUCACAUACAAAAAUGUAGGGUCAAACAUUACUUAAAUAUUUUUCAAUUAAGGACAACAUUAUGCACCUUAAUAUUUGGUGAGAUGGAGUUUCCCUAUCAAGCUUGCUAAUUAGUAGGGUAAAGGUGUAUUCAUGUAAUCUUAUAUUUUAACAAAAGUUGUGAAUAUAGACCAAUAAAUCUAUUUAUAAAUUGAGUUGGGUCAAAUUUCGUAAUAAAAUCUUGAUGAAAGUUAUUACUUAUAGGUUUUCAUACCAAGGGCACAAUCAAAUUAAGCUCGUAGGGUCUACCAAUUUCGUUAUUAAGAUCUCAUUAAGAUACCUUUCUCCCUCCUUUCCCCUCCUUUCAUUUGUUUACUUUCUUUUGUUUAUUUAUUGGCUUUGUUUUGAUGUGAAACUGUUGAAUUUAGUAGAUAUAGAUACAGAUUCUUAUAUCGAAGGGUCUUUACCUAUUUUGUUUUGUUUGUUUAUCAUCUUUCGUCCCUAUCAGAGACCCAUAUUUAUUUUUAUUUGGUCCAAUCAGAAAACAUUUUAUCAUUUCUGUAUUCGCAAUUCAAUAUAGAUAGAUAUUCCAUAACAUAUCUAUGUCCCUCUUACUCUCAAUUUUCUCAGGCAAUUUGGUGGAAUACUCGAACGGUCGAUUUUUUUUUUCGUCUUAGCUUCUGUCUUUAUGAUCUGGAUUUCAUUUCUAUGGGUUGCAAUUUUUUUUCUUUAAUGUCAUUUUUAUUCUUAUAUAUAACCAUAACAGGAAUAGGAUAACUAAAAAAAAAUAAAAAUAAAAAUUGAAUUUAUUAUUAUUUCUUUAUUUCUUUAUAGUAUAAUAGCUAGAACUAAUUAUUUAUAUUUAAUAAAUACAACUAAUUAUCCAUUCAUUUCUAUUUCAAAUUCGAAAAUAAUUCAAAUUUUUUAGUUUAAAAAGAGUUCCCAUUCUAAUUAUCUAUACUUAUAACGUAUCAUUUCAUUUAUAUAAUGAUAAUAUAUAUAAAUACAUAAAAAUAUUUGGACUCUAAUUAUAUCUAUGCAGAACUCUAAGCUAAAUAAAAAUAAAUUUAAUCUAUAUUAAAUCUAUUAAAUUGAUCGAUUAAAUAAAUUCUAUAUAAUUUAGAAAAUAAGAAUAGAGUCAGUAAUAUUAGGAAUAAUUAAUAUAGAAUAUACUAAUAGAACCAAGAUAUCAUUUGUUUCUAAAUUUAAAUGGAAUUUGAGAUUUAAUAUUUGUAAUUAAAAUUUAAAAAAAAUUAAAUCAUCCCAUUUUUUACUAAAAAUAUUUGUAAUUCAAUAAUUGACGUGGACAAUAUUUUCUAUUUAAAUUUUAAAUUCAAAAAAUAUAUACUUGAUAGUAAAUAUUAAUAAUGUGAAUGAUUGAAGUGAGACUAGCCACAUAUUUUAAAAUUUAAGUUGAUAUUAAUAUUUAUACAUUUUAAAUAAUUAAUAAUAAUUGGACGGAGGAAGUCUAGUGACUAGUCUUUUGAGUUUUGACUUAUAGAUCUGCCCCUUAAGGGGGUUUUUAAUGUAUGACUAAUAUAAUGCCGAAAAGUUAGGUGAUAAGAAAAAAGAAUUUCUUUUAGCCCAACUUAUUGUCUAAUUCAAUACAAAUAAAUCAAUAUAUUUCAGAUAAAAAUAUUAAUAUAUUUGGAACUUAGAUAAGGCUUAGUGACAUGGAUAAAGCUAGAAAAUUGUUUCAAGAGGAAUUAGAGAUGAAUAGUAAAUUAUUAAAGGGUUAAGAUGUAAUUUUAUCAUUAUAAUAAUAUGUAAUUUUUAUAAAAAAAAAAAUUUGAAGGGAUUAAAUGACAAAGGCCUCUUCGUCCUGCUGGAACUUAAAUUCAGAUUAAUCUAAAAGAGAAUCUAGGCCAGACAUUUGUAUCAGAUGAUAUUCGAAUCUAAACCACCGACUUCAACCUGACCAACUAUGACACAUUAUUCGUACGUCUAUAAAUUGGAAUGGUAAUAAAGUUGAAAAUUAUGUGUUGUGAUUGGACCUAUCUUUGGGGUUGCUUUUUUUGCCUACGUGAGGGAAUCCUUAAUAGAGAAAGCUUCGGGCAGUAUUCGGGUAUAAGGUGGGGAUUGUUUUGGUACUUUUGCUUCGUAGGGUUCACGGUGGAUUUCAGAACAUGAUUUAAUUUGCCUGAUUUGAAUGAUUUUUCUAAAAUAAAAUAAUGACUUUUUGCUGUUUCGGUAUAAGUAUUUUUCUUUUUUUCUUUUUUCUUUUUCUUUUUUUUUUUUUGAGUUGAUUUAGAAUUAGAUGAAAUUGAUUUUGAAUUUAAAUCCAUUUCUAAUUUAAAUUUAAAAAGGUUCAAACUGUUUCGAAUUCAAUUUAAGACUUGCUUUUUCGGAUCAAUUCAAAUCCAUUUGAGUUCAAGUUCAAUAGGUUCUAAUUUGUUGAUUUUUUUUUAUCACUAAAUUGAUUGUGAAAUUUAGGUUCAAAUUCCAAAUUCGAUAAUUGAUCACUAGAAAUGUAAGUUAAAAAAUCAACAUGUUUAAACCUGAAAUCGAUUACAAAAGGAACAUAACAAGGGAAUUUAAUGUAUACUUCCCAAUAGCAGUGAAAACGUGACAGCGGCUGUGACCAAGGUUUCUAACACACCACCACCACACUGAUAAUACUUAAGUUUAACCCAGAAACCAAAAAUCCGAAAUCCGAUGAACAAAGAAACCGAGAAAAAAAAAAGAAGUAAAAUUAGUCCUGCCUCGUAUCACAGUUAGUUUCGCUUCUACAAGCCUCGAUUUAAGCAUCCUCAAGAAAAGAUGUAGUGAAAACCGAAAAAGUUCAAAUGCUACAACAGCAAAGGUAUAUAUGUCUAUUUUCCUGGCCUAAUUCUCAGAACUACCUGCGCCCUCACUUACAAUUUUUCCAAAUGCCUUGGCAAGAGUUACAAUAGCCCGAAUUUAGCGAUCACUUUUCUCAUCUACUUCUUCUUCUUUGAUUUGGAAGCCGACUGAGUGUAAGCAGUUCCCUGAAAAUUAUGACGACCAAAACCAGAAAUUGUCAGUAACACUCCUAUAUAGAUCAUUAUUUGAUGAAGUCCCAUGGUGAACUCAUGAAUAACCUCAAUCAUAUCCAUUGAAUAAACAGAUAACGAGCUCUUGGGGACAAGAGCAGUGAAAAGAAAAUCUAGCUAAAAUAGAAAGAAUGGGAAGUGAUGAUGAUGAUGAUGUGAUGCAUAAGCCAAGACAUAACCUGAAGCCAUUCAUCCAGUGAAGCAUCGGGAGCCCUGGUCCCAACUUCCACCUUUGGAGCCCUCUUAGUUUUCUAGCAAAAUAAAUAAGUCAAAACACAUUAGCUUUAUUCCACAAAAAGAAGCAUAAAACACAUAAAGUAACACUGCAAAUUGAAGCUUUCUUCAAUUUAAGAACAAAAUAUCACGGAUAUUUAACAUUUUCACAGCAAAACAGCUUGCUGAAAACUUGAAAUAGGUCAUGAAUGCUAGAAACCUAGAACAAUGUUGAUUUCCCUACAUGUAUGCAUGGAUGUGCUCUUUUAAUUUCUAUCAGCAAAAGCCUUGUUACAUCGAUCUUAUAAUAACUGGAUACUGCAGUGAAUUAAUAUAACAAUAGCAAGGUAGCACAACUACAAUACCUUGGUGAUACGCUGAAAUUGACCGUGAAGCCACAAACCAAGGAGAACAAGAAGUGCAAUCCCAAGGGUAACAAGGAAAACGGACUCAACACUGAGGAAACCACCAGCCUCAACAACUUCAAUGGUACCAUUAUAGAAUGUACUUUGGUAUGGUUGCUGAUCAAUAUCAUAGAUAAUCGAACCCACAAGAUCAAAAGUUCCAGGCUGCAGCAAAAUUCUGGAUGUGUAAGCUCUACCGCAACUGUACUUCUCACAGAGAAUUUAUAUACGGUACCAAGGCAUAAAUCUCACGGAGUAAUCAUUUACCUGUAAGUACUUGCUAACAGCAAAUACGUAAGGGAAAGUAGCUUGAACUGAAGGGGGUACAGUUGCAUUGUUGAAAGCCUACAUUAACACAGACAUAUUCAGUUCUAGAAUCUACAAGGAAACAUCACAAGGCAGCUUUCAUGCAACAACAUAAGCUGUAAAACUCCAAAAUUACAAGGAGCAUGACCAACUUUGUACCAACAGAGAGCCUUGAGAUCUUUUUCAAAUAAAGAAGCAAAGAUUUGAUAAUGAAGUAGGCAAAAAAAAAAAAAAAAAACAGCGCAGCAUUAUUAUUGCAAAACGACCAGUUAGAGCAUGAAUGCCUUACAUGCUCAAUUUCAUAUCUGAAAAUCAUUGUAAGGUCUACAAUUAAAAGUUAAAGAUACAGCAAAAUCUACACUAGUACCAAACCCUCUGCUAAAGUUUCUUAAACUGAGAUAUAUAACUUCUCAGUGCAAGUUCAACAUCCCUCCACCAUAUUAACAAGCACUGGUUAAAAUAAUUGACUCUACUAUAAGACUAUAACUGUUAUAGCCUAUUAGUGUAGGGAAGCAGUUACAAAUGAAACACAAACUAGUGUCGCAAUGCAUAAAACUCAUAUUAUUGACCAUAUGUUUGACAAUGGAUAUUUAAAACAUCCAAUAAGAUAUCAUAUCAACAUGAGAGCAUGCAUGUUUCAAUGCUCAUGGGGUUAAGCUGGCUUGUCAAGCCUCAAGUAAUGAAGGCUUAAAUAGAGAAUAACUCUUUAGUUAUUAUUAGGUAUCCUAUAGGCAAUGAUCUAGUAGUAUGAAGAUUGGGGCACCUAAUAACUGAAAUUAAAACCCUUUCUGUGCUAGCUUUGCUAGGUUAGAAAGAGAUAAUGUUUCUACUUGGUGGCAAACAACCACUGAAUUGUACUGGUCGCUGGCUUUGUACUGAUGACGGUAUUAUUAAUAAAUGACCAUACAACCGCACUCUUUUUCCACUCUUCAUUUAGAAUAGUGGUUUUUUAGUGGGGCACAUUUUUCAUUAAAAAAUCAAUGAAUGCUAAAUUGUAUUUUAUAAAACAAACUCACUGAAUGAUUAAUUUUAUUUAUCAAAACUAAAGGGCUAGAUACUAAAUUAUAAAAAGCUCUUCAGUUAGGAAAUAAUAGAAAUUAAUCAAAAUGAAAACUGAACUAACUAAUGUAUCAGGAGUAUUUGAAAAUGUUAAACCAGAACAAUAUCAAGAAACUCUAUGAUUACCACUGCUGUAAGAUUUUGAACAAGCAUACGGUGAUCAAAAGGGAGAUGAACACUGGCUUUGAUAGCAAUGACAUUCACAGGUGACUCCCCUGCAAUUUAAAGAAGUAAGCUAUGCAUAAGAGUGAAGGAAACCUCAAAUGGCUAACAGAAAAGACUAAGCAUUUAAGCAUAGUCAACUACGGAAAGAUAAACUGUGUGUUGCUAUCUCAACACAGUAAAAACAAACAUCAUUGUAAAAUAUAUAUCAGUAAGGUAGUGAAGGCAAAUUAUUACCAAUAUUUUCCAUCCCAACAAGGAGCUCAGUCUGUUCUCCAGCCAGAACCACUGUCCAAGAUUAGCCAAAAAGACAAUACACAUCACUCUCAAAAUCAUAAAACAUUGAAAUCAGAGAUGCGGCACCAAAAAGUUCUUACAUUUGGCGCUAUUUUUGGGGAAAACGCAAACAGUUUUAACUUCAGGAGCUGAACUGUAAUUAGGAUCACCAAAAUCCUGAACAUCCUCCCCAACAAUACCGAGAUCACCUCCUUCAACAGCUUCUGCAACAUCUGCCUCUGCUUCUGAUUGACACCUAGCAACUAUCACAGAAAAGAAAACUCAUGUGAAGCCAUAAUUUUAAAACAAAAUGAAAAUUUAUUUAGUAAUUUACCAAAAAAAAUAAAAAAGUAAACAAAAAUUAAUACAACAAACAGAUCCGACAUCCGGAAUAACUGCUUCAAUAAUGUUAUUGAAAAGGACACCAAACUCCAAAGUACUUGCCAAGGCCCUAGUACUCUUUCCUUUCAUUUUCCAAGAGCAAACCUAAACUGUAUUUCUAAAACAGCCACUAAAAUGCCAGUAAGAACAGAUAUCAAGAAGAUACCUAAGCUUCUUUCAAAAAAAUUCAAUCGAACUUUCAUAAUCACAGCCAUGCAACGCAACAAUGAAUUUAAACACAAAGAAAUCACUUCAAAAUCCCACUACCAAAUCAUAAAUCUAGAAAGAAAAAAAAAAACAAACCAAUCUCACAUGGAUGUUAAAAAAAAGCGAAAGAAAUGAUACUAAAGGAAAACAAAUCGAAUUGCUUCUCAUUUAACCAGAUCAAAGCAAUCGCAGUAAGCAACUAAGCAUGAAAUCCAAAAAGCAACAUAGAAACUCCACAAAAUGAAACGAAUCGGUAAGCAUAAAUACCUAAUUACAGAUCUUAAAUAUAAAAAAGCAAGUAAAAACAGAUCAAGAAAAAAAAAUUUACAAACCUUGAAGGAAAGGAGAUGCGAGGAAGAGGAGAGCAAAGAAGAAAACGCUGAAAAUUUUCAUCGCCAUUUCAGAGAGUUUUUUUUUUUUUUCCGUCAAAUGAGAAAUAAGAAAAAUAAAUUAAUCGGUGUUAGAAAUGACAAAUAGAUGGAGAAGGGACGGCGGGUUUUAAUCCAACGGCUAUAAAUGACAGAGAGCUCGGCCGAACGAACAUUCUCCGUUGGAUCUUUGGUCAAUUGUGUGCUUUUAAAUAAUAUACAACUACUUCUCCACUACCCUUUUGUUCAUUUGCGCUUGCAGAAAAAUCAAAUAUAGCACGGCGCCGUUUUGGUCCUGACUUAUAUUUUCUUUUAUAAUUUAUUUUAUUUUUAUUAUCGAUAAAAUUGAAAUUAAAAUAUCUUGAUAUUUUAGGUUGAAAUCUCAUAAUUUAUGAAUUUAUUUUACGUUUCAAUUAUUUUUAUAAAUUUUAAAUGAAAUAUAAAAUGAAUUUUUAAAUCAUUUUUUAACUAAGUUGAUGUUAAGUUAAUUGCAUUUUAAAUUAGUAAAAAUUAUUAUUACUAAAUCAUUGCGGGUAAAAGAAUUUGUUUAGCAAAUGUAUUUAUAAAAAUUUUAUAUUAAAUGCAAAAGAAGGUUUAGUUAAAAUGGUAAUAGAUUUGAUUAUGGAUUGAAUUGGAUUCGGAUCAGAUCGAUGUAAAAUUUUAGACUCGAGUUCAGAUUGAUUCAAAAAAUGGGUCUAAAUUUUUUUUUCAAAUCCAGUCUAGAUAAAAAAUACUAAACUCGAGUUCGAUUCGACCCACCCGUAUUAAAAAUUUUAUAUUAUUUUUAUAUAAAAAUAAAUUUUAAAAAAUAAUACAUCAAUACUUUAAAAUUAUUAAAAUAAAUGUUUUCCAACAAAUGUAUUAUAGUUGUAACUUAACAAACAAAUAUAUCUAAAGUAGUAGCAAAUUUAAUACUAAAACAAGAGUUAUACAAUAUCCAAAUAAUAACAAUAAAAUAGUACCAAUAUAAUAGCAAAAUAGCAACAAAACAAGCAGUAGAAAAAAUUUAGCUAGAUUUAGAUCGACUCGGGCAAAAAAAAUCAUACUCGAGGCUCGACCAAUUUAGAAGAUGGGCCUUAUUUUUUGUCCAAGCUUAUUUUUCGAGCCUAUAUUUUUCUUAAACCCUCUCACUUUUUGAAUGGACCUUCAAGCGUAGACAGGUGACCUGGCUCAUGAUCAGAUCUAAAUGGUAACGUUUGGGUGCAUAUGAUCAUCUUGACAAACUUUGUCUAGGAUUUAUCCAAAGAUCUACUUCUGACACGAGGAGAGUGAAACUUGUAAAUUGGGAUACUAUUUGCUUGCCGUUGGAUUGAAAGCAAUGCUUGACAAGAAUUUGGUGUUGCUUGUGAAACUUGGAUGGAGGUUAGUUACAAAAGUUGAAAGUUUAGUGGCGCUAGUUUAUAAGAUCUAGUUUAGAAAUGCUUCUCAAAAAUACUUUUGAGACAAAAGCAUUCCCAACAAGGUAUUUUUUUAGAGAAAAAUACCUUCUCCCAAAUAAAAAAUUGGCCAAAAAUUGCUUAUGCAAUUGCUCUACAACACUAUACUCACUGUGUUUUAGAAAUUUCAAGCAUUCAGUGGCUUCUUUUUCCUUUAUUGGCUCAUUAACCAAUGGCCUAGAUUCAACUAUCUUCUCUUCUUUUUGCUCUGCCUCUAAAACCUUCCCUUUCACCGAUUCUGCUUAAGCUUUUAUCAAAUCGCAGUGCUCCUCACUAUACGUAUAAGGACCCGUCUCUCGGCUUUCUUUUACAAUACUAACCAAAGCUUCUUUCCCCGAGACUGUUACAUUGCACUCAUAAUUCCAAGGGACCUUUUUACUAUCCUUAUACAAAAAAUUUAUUGGCUUCCGGAUUACAAUCUUCAGUGUCAUAUGUGCCCUAACCUUAUCAACCUUAGGGCGCGAGAUAAUAAUUACAGGAUGAUUAACCUUCGGAAUCUUUGAUGUUGACUUUGAUGCACAUAUACUUCAUUUUUUCUCCACCUCUUCGAAAAACUCCACCUCUCUAUUAUCCAUCAUGCUCUGGACCAGAGCUUUGAAUUCUCCACAUCUCUGAAUUUCGUGUCCCACCUCAUGAUGGAACUCACAAUAAUUUAAGGUCUCACAACCUCCUUCUGAACUCGAAACAAUUAACCCUCUUCUCACUAUUUCUUUUCAAACCCACAUCAAAGGGAUUUUUACUUCAGCAACACUCCCAUUGACCAUUUUCCCUUCAUUUUCACUCAUCAUGUUUACCCCACUAUCAGUGUGCUUGGGUAACGGAUUCCCUGUGCCAAAUGAAUCAUCUACCUUGACAACGCCCAUCGUAAUGAGCCUUUCAACAAGCUUUUUAAAAGCAGUACAAUGUUCUAUGGAAUGCCCCGUAACUCCUGCAUGGUAAUCGCAUUGUGCAUUCGCAUCAUACCAUUCAGGAUACGAAAGCUGUAAAGGGGUCAAGUAAAAUGGGGCAACAACAUGCGCGUUGAAUAAAUUCUGAUACAACUCCUUAUAUGACAUAGGAAUGGGUGUGAACUGGGGCCUCUCAGUACUCGGCCUCCCACCAGAUUCCUGUUUUGAUGAACCCUGCUGAUUUGCCACUACUUUUCUGCGUUGAUUCACAGUAACCGAUUUGUUGUAUGCACUUACAUUGUUCACCUCACCUUCUUUUUUAUUUGAAGCUUGUCUUUUGUUGUUCUCUCCGACAUCAAUCUUUCCGCUCCUUAUAGCACUUUCAAUCAUCUCACUACACAUGACUAUAUCAGAAAAGCUUUUUGUAGCACUUCCUAACAUAUGCGUGAUGAAUGGGGCUUUCAGCGCAUUUAUGAAAAGCAUCGUCAUUUCUCUUUCAAGGAGCAGUGGUUGGACCUGCACUGCCACCUCCCUCCACCUCUGAGCGUACUGUCUAAAACCUUCAUUCAACUUUUUCUCCAUGUUCUGCAAUGUAAUCCUAUCAGGAACCAUUUCCGCCAUAUGACCGUACUGCUUUAUAAAAGCCUGUGCUAAAUCCCUCAAAGAGCUAAUCUUAGCACGACUUAAUUGAUUAUACCAUUUAAACGCUGCCCCCAUGAGGCUAUCUUGAAAACAGUGUAUCAAUAACUGUUCACUAUUGACAUACCCGGUCAUUCGUCCACAAAACAUGGUAAUGUGAGCCUCAGGGCAAGUGGUCCCAUUAUACUUCUCGAAUUCUGGUAUUUUAAACUUGUAAGGGAGCACCAAAACCGGUACCAAACUUAAAUCCUUAGCAUCAAUCCCAUGACAUAUCUCAGUAGUUUCUAAUGCUUUGAAUCUCUUUUCGAUCCACUUCUAUUUUUCCUCUAAUUGCUUUAGUAGUUCUUCUUUUGUUUUUUCUUUUUCAACCGCCUCAUCAAAAUCAAGAACAACAGGAGUGACAAGAUUAUUCUCAGGGCUAGAGCCUGAUCUAGCUUGGUAAUUCAUUGACCUUGAAAUAUCGGCCUGAAACUGUUGAGGCCUAAUCGUAACAGAAGAUUUACGCGGGUACAUUUUCACUUGGGGCUGCACAUGUAGGGGAAUGAAGCUUGGAGGAUACAGGGGUCCGUCAUCACCUUCUUCUUCGACGUUAACUAUAGGGCUCUUUCCUUUAUCUUUUCCUUCAGUCAACAAUUGCGUUAACUUGGUCAUCAUGCUCCCUUGAGAUUCCAUCAUUUUAUCCAUCAUUUUCUGCUGAAUCUUCUCGAUCUGCAUCUGCUGCUGAAGCUGAUCCUGCAUUUCUUUUUGGAACUGCUCGAGUUUUUCCAAUCUUUAGUCCUUAGUUUUUGAUUUCGCUCUUGUACCGUAACGGUGUUGGAUUGGCUAGUUGGUUUCCAGGUUAACUGAGGCAUGAUUUUGAUUAAUCAGAACCUUUUAAUAGUUUUUAAUGCACAUCAUGCGAUGUAUAAAACUGAAUGCAAAACGCGUUAAUUAUAAAUUCAAUUACUUUCAAGAAACUUUAUUAGAAAAUAAAUCUCUUUACAUAGAAUGGGCGACAAAUAAGGCUUUGCCCUAAUACUUAAGACCUUAAUCUUUUUAAGUAACGAGGCCAACUCUUGUCCUCAGUCUGACUCCAAUUCAUACUUCACGCUCAACGCAUCAGCCUGAACUGUCAAAGCUUGUAAGUAAUCUGCUACCUCUCGAAUCUGAACCACAGCUUCUCCCAUAACAUGAUUCCUGUCUCUAACUUGAUUUUGGAAAUACUGAAGUUGCUCAUUCUGACGACCUUCUUUUGCUUCUAGAUGCUCAAUUCGAACCUCACAAUUUCGCAAUGCUGCUUCUAACCCUUCUAUUUUGCUCUUCAUCUUUUCAAUCUUGCUUAGACUUGCCUUUACCUCCACUACAGAGUUUCGACUUCUAUGUUGACGAAGAGACCUUUCUAACUCAACCACCCUGUCCUUUAACUCGCCAUUUUCCUUUUGGCUCUCUGACAAGCACUUUUCUAAUGCUUCAUUCCGUGCUUGAACCUCUUGAAAUUUUCUUUCCCACCAGUCUGACUUGUUUUUUUCUUCACGAAUCUCUUCACUCCACUGCUCUGAAGUUUUUCCAAGCCCGGCAGUUCUCAUUGACAGACGCAACUUCUUGUAAUCUGUCUUCAAGCUAUCUAGCUCUUCCUCGGCCUUAUUCUUCCCCUUCCUUAAUUUAUCAGCCUCGAGCUUCUGAACAUCCACAUCCAAUCUCAAAUUCAUCCUUUCUUCCUCCAUUUACUCUAUUUUCUUCUCUAAUUCUACAUUUCUUCUUUCGAAAUCCUGCUUUCUGAUUUCCAGCUCAAUAGGGACGACACGCAAAUGCUCCUCCAUCGACUGAUUAUUUUCUGAAUUUGGCUCAAAAAUAUUAUCGUUAAUCCUCUUAGCCCACCACUCGUUAUACUCGGGAGUUGUCAUGGGACCCACAGCUAAUCCCUUCAUUCGGCGAGUCUGAUUCCAUGCACUGACCAUCUCACAAACUCUCCUUUUGUAACCAUCGCCCCUAUACGAAAAUUCACACUCAGCCAGUCCCUGAGUUGCAAGCACAAACUACCUAGACCUGUAUUGUCUGAGCAUUAGCAAUAGGGCAUAACCAAUAGCUCCCCAAAUUCCAAUCAAAGGAACCCAGUCAAAAUCCCCACACCGAUAUAGGAUCUCAUCUUAAAGCAACCACGAAGCUCUCCACUCGAUAUCCUCUUCUUACAAAUUCUGAAAAAUUACCAUCCAUUUCUCUUCGAAAAUGUCAUCCCUCAUUGGUGUAGCCACUAUCUCUUUCAAUAGUGAAUAACUUUCGAAAAAAAACUCGAUAUGAAACUUUAUCAACCUUCUAAAAGUGACUGUAGAACCAUGCAAGUAGGAGCUGCGCACAUCUAAUGAAUCUACCCUCUCCCGCUCUCUGGUAUGCACUCAGUGACUUGAAGGUUUCUGCUAAAAUUGUCGGGACUGGUGUAACUCUCUUUUCAAGCCGAUCAAAUAAGUCAGUGACCGCCUCAUCAACAUGUCCCAAAGUCUUAGGGAACACAACCAAACCAUAUAUACUUAGAGCAAAAACAUCUAUCUUCUUCAUCGCAUCUGGGUGCGCUAGAAUGAGAUCCUUCAAAUUUUUCCAGGGAAUACACUUGCUAUCUCCCUUUUGCUUGAUCCGAGCUGUAACCCACUACUCACUCAUCCCCGUUAUAUUCAUCAACCUCUUCAAAAAGGUCAGUGUAUUUACAGCUUUCGAGUAGACCUUGUCCACCAGAAUCUUCGAACACCGAAGCAAAGCCAUGUAUUCUUCAAUUGUAGGCACUAAAUCAACAUUCCCAAAUGUGAAGCAACUGUAGACCGGGUUCCAAAACUGGGCAAAAGCUUGAAACAGACGCUUAUCUACCUUCAUAUUAAGUAAAUAAGGUAAAUCCCCAUAAUUUGAAAAGAAUAACUGUCUAACCUCGUUAUUCCAUUGAUCCCAAAUCUCCUUCAACUCCUGCAAGUUGUUUUGGGUUACGCUAACAUGGGUGAAGUCCCAUAAUUCUAAUACGUAUCCUUCGACCAAACUAUUACCUUUUUCGCGCUGCGUCAUCUCAGCCCAAGUUCGGACAGCCGCAUUAUCCUCCACUCUAUCAAGAAACCCUUUUUCCAUAAUAAGCUUUCUAUCUAGCAACCGAAUACGAACCAACGCCUUUCUAUAAUGAGAUGCCAUGUAAUUGAAAUGCCAUGCAAUCAAAGUAAAACACAAAAAGUCAGUAUCAAUUAAAUACAAUACAACCAAUAAAUAGUAAACUCCUAAUUAGGUAUCUACUAAGGUUUAAGAGUAAUUCUAUCUAGGAUGAGUUCCUAAGUUUCACUAUAUGAGGUUUGGCUUCUAGAGCAAAGGUACCCGAACCAGCAGAUUCCUCGAUCCUCACCCAUUAUAGGCUCAUAUAGACCAAGUUCAGUUCAGGGAAAUACAUUUCUCUAUGGCUGCACGAAGAUGAAAAUCUCACGAAGACAUAGGUACGGAUGUAUCCCGAAAGUGAUCCACUAUCAUGCACGGAGGUGAAAACCUCACGAAGGAGUAGUUUCUCACUCCCACUUAGAGGGGUAAAGUCGUCCAUAUAAUGCAAAAUGCAAACACACCAACAAACUUAGACCAAUUAAACAAACAUAUCAUGAUAAAAACCAAUGAAUGCAAAAUAGGAAAUCGUGAUUUAAAACAAAUUUGAAACCUUUCCGACAAAAAGACAAAACUAAUCAAUUUAUGGCUCGACUCGCGAAAGUCCCCAGUGGAGUCGCCAAGUUGUCGAAACCAUUUUUGAAAACAAAAAUAAAGUUGUCGACUUUAAAAACAAAGAUUGGAGUCGCCACCGAUCCUUGAUUGAGGUGUGAUCAGCUCACAUUGAAAACGGUUUUGGUCUACGAAAUUUGAGAAAACAGGUUCGGGAGUCAGUUACGCACGAGGAAAGGUUAGCACCAUCGUAACGCCCAAAAUCGGUACCAAAUUGAUUGUUUAAUGUCUUAGUGUCAAGGAUUAAAAAGAUUUUUUUUAAACUCAAAUGAUGAAUUCUGAAAAGGAUAAUCAAAUGUUUAAGUCAAACAAAGAAAUCGAGACCCAAUGCGUUAGGAUACAAUUUCUCAAAAUCCCCAAACUUUGAAUACCACUUUUAUUUUAGGGAAAAUCAUCAUCUCGAGAAAACAAUACGUCAUACCCAAUGCGUUAGGACAUAACAUGUUGAAUUUCCGAAAAUGAUUUUUGUUUAUGCAUUUUGAAAAAAUAUUCUCGAUUAUUUAGGAUUAAUAAAAAAAAUCGGAACCCAAUACGUUAGGGCUCAAUUUCCUCGAAAAUCUCGAAUAUCAAAUAUUGCAAUAUUUUAAAAGCCUUUAAAUCAAAAGAAAAUAAUUUUAAUGUUUUGACAAAACCAAAAUAUAUUUUCUAAAAGGUAUGUUUUAAAAAAGUUAUUGUACAAUAUGAAAUAAACACUUGAAUUUAAAUUACAUGUGUAUAUGUUUACAAAAUAUGUAUAUAUAUGUAUGAUAUAUAAGUGAAUUUUGCAAAUAUGUGUAUGGAUAUGAAAUAAAAAAAAUGCAUAAGUAUUAUAAAAUGUUGAUGCAUAUAUACAUAUAUGAAUACCAAAAAGUCAUGAAAAUAAAAUAAUAAAAUACAUAUAAAAUAUAUUUGUGCAUUUAAAAAAAAUGUAUAAGUAUAACAUAUUGGUAAAUAUAAAAAAAUAGAAAAUAUAUUUAUAAUAAGUUUUGAAUAGAGUAUAAAUAUAUAUGUACAUAUUAUAAAAAAUGUAUAAACAUUUAUAAAUUACAAAAUAUGGAAAACGUAUAAAUAUUAUGAAAUAUAAAUGUAUAUAUAUACAUAUAUAUAUGUAUAAAAACUAUGAAAAUAAAAUAAUAAUAAAAUAUGUACAUAAUAUAUAUAUUUUAAAAAAUGUCUAAAAUAUAUAAAUAUAUGUAUUAACGUGCAUAUGCGCACAUAUAUGUAAGAUAAUAAUCAUAUAAUAGAACAAUAAUAAUAACAAUAGAAAUAAUAAUAACAAUAUUAAUAACAUAAACUAAAAAACCUAAAAUGAAAAAAUUAAGGAUUAAAUUGAAAAUCAACAGAAUUUGAAAGCUAAAUUCAAAAAUAGAAAACGAGAAAGGGAGCAAACUAAAACACUCGCAACAGGAGGAGGACCGAAAAAUCAAUUUACCCAAACCUCCCAAAACGCUGCGCAGCGUUGGACCAAUUUGAAACAGAAAUAAAAUAUUUUGCAAAAUUUAAAGAAAUAAAAAAAAACAAUUUAAAAGCAUUGUAAAAAAAGGGGGACCAAAUACGCAAAUGGCCCAUUUUGAAGAAAUUUGCGGAUCCUCUCCCGGCCGGAUCGGGUUGUGCACAGGUAUAGGCUAUACGACGCCGUUUUGGGGCCAUUGAAACAGGCCCUAAACGACGGCGUUUAAUGCCCUAUAAAAGUCAAUUUUAAAACCCUAAAAAUCACUUCCUCUUUGCCAUUCCCAAAAUGCGCCUCUGCCCUCUGCCGUUUCAAACUUCUCCCCCUUGCUCUGAUGGCGACGAAACGAAGGGAGCCUUCAACGACACCACGCCGGUAAGUUUCUCCUCUACUCCAUUUCCUUAUUUUGUUUUUGGUUUAAGACAACAAGGUAAAAAAAUAAAAAAAAAAAAUCAGUAAAAAGAAAAACAACAGGAAAAGAACAAUCACCUUCAAAAUUUUGCCUUUUUGAUUCCUUAUUUCGUAUUUUUCUUUAAUGUUUUCAUACAAUAUUUUUGCUAACCCCUUUUACAGAAAUCGAUUGGCCUUUUAUAGCCAAAAUCCUUUUACAACUUGCUAUAUUUUUCCUCUUUCCUUGCUUGUUGCUCGUGGUUCUUUUCGCUGCAGAUAUGUACGUGUGUGGGGGUUACUGCGACGUGGGGCGUGCACGGCGCUGGAGGUUGCUGCGACGUGGGGUGGCUGCUUCUAACUGCUGCUUAGGGUUAGGCUAGGGUUAGAUUUGGGUUUGGGGUAGUGACUUGGGCCUUAUUGGGCCAAAUGUAAUUGGGUCAGAUUAGUUAAUUUGGGCCCCGGGCAACAAUUGGGUAUUACACAUGUAUUUGUGGCUUAUGAUAUGAGAGAGACAUUCUAGGAUCGUGUAGAUAUUACAUAUGUUCCCCUUGGGUGAAAGUACUAGAGGUGCUCAUGGGCCGGGUGGCCCGGCCCAGCCUGACGGCCCGCCCAAAAUAUGGGAGGGUUUGGGUAAAAAUAUAGGCCCGAAAUAUGGGCUUGGGCAAAAAAACGAGGCUCGUUUAGAAAAUGGGCCGGGCCUCGGGCACCACUUUUUUGGCCCGGGCCCGGCCUUUAAUUUUAAAAUAUUUUUUACAUAUUUUUUAAAUUUUUUAAUUUUAAAAUAUUUUUAAAAAACUUUUUUAAUUUUUUUAAUUUUAAAAUAUUUUUAAAAUACUUUUUUAAUUUUUUUUUAAUUUUAAAAUAUUUUUAAAAUACUUUUUUAAUUUUUUAAAAAUUUUAAAAUAAAAAUAGGCCAGGCCGGGUCGGGCCCGAGCUUAUGAUUUUUUUCCCGGGCCAGGCCUGGGCAAAAUCUUAGGCCCAUAUUUCGGGCCGGGCCGGGCCCGGGCCUAGGACUCGGGUCGAAAUUUGUUUAGGAACCCGGCCCGGCCCGGCGCAUGAGCACCUCUAGAAAGUACUAGAAGCUCUUAUAUUAGGAGUUAGAUUUCAUUUUGCGCUUUUUACUAAAAAAUGAGCAAAUUAGUCCUUGUAUAUUGAAUCAAAGAGCAAACUAGUCAUUCUGUUAAAAAUUCCAUCCAUUUCUACUGUUAAAAAUUCAUCCAUGUACGUCAACAUGAGGUAUACGUGACACAUUACAUGUAACUGUCUGAUUAAUUUGUCAGCUACAUUAGUUUUUAACAGGAAAAAUGGAUGAAAUUUUAAUAGAAAUGACCAGUUUGCUCUUUAAUUAAACAUACAGAGACUAAUUUGCCCAUUUUUUGAGUAAAGUGGGUAAAAUGUAAUCUAACUCCUAAUACAGGAAUCUCCAUGAUGCUUUUAUUGUUCCCUUGCUAUGAUCUUAGUACAGGGGACGGUCUAUAAGAAGAUAGUACUAGAACACAUGAAAAAACUUGUAAGAGCAUACUAUAUCUCUUUUUGGCUGGGUCUGUUAAUGGAAGCAACUGUGCUGAGCUUGCAAAGUAGGAAGAUAUCGACGGGUUUCUCGUAGGUGGUGCUUCCUUGAAGGUAUUAUUCACUCUGUUCCAUUAUUAAUAAAAUGUACCGAAAUAUUAUUCGGUUAUGGCAUUGCUAACGAUUGGAUUCAAAAUAUUUGUUGAUGCAGGGGCCGGGGUUUGCUACAAUUGUCAACUCCGUAACAUCCAAAAAGGUGGCUGCCUAAAUAUAUAUUAAGCUGAUUAAAAGUAAGAAAUAAAGGACCUAAAUUAGAGGUGUCCAUGGACGGCCCGCCUGAAAUAUGAGAGGGUUCGGGUAAAAAUAUAGGUCCGAAAUAUGGACUUGGGCAAAAAAUGAAGCCAGUUUAGAAAACAGGCCGGGCCCCGAAAAUAUAUUAAAUAUAUAUUUUUAUUUUUAAAAUAUAAUAGUUUUAGUUUUAUUUUAAGUUUCAUUUACUUUGACAGAGUCACCCAAAAUCCCUAACCCUAUUGUGCUAUAUGCUGUGCCUUCCUCCCCUUUUUUUCCUAUUUCCAAAAUCAAGUUGUCUGCCCGUCUCCAGUACCGAUCCACCUCCACCGUCAAGACCUCCACCGAUCCACCUUCAGUCCUCCACCCAAUUCCAGAAUCAAGCAUUUAAGGGUUUGUUUAUUCCCGAAUCGCCAAGUAGAAGCAAGCAUACAAGAACGAGGAGUUUGGUACAGGUAUGGGUUUGCUCAUCUUCUUCGGUUUCCUCAUUUUCAUUCUCUUUAACAUACUUCAUUUCUUCUGAUUAUUCUUCUUCAGGUUACUCUUUUCUUUCUUUUAUCAAUUACCCUUCUUUUUCGCCAAUUCAAUUCAACAAAAAAUUGUAUUGUACUUCUUUUCGUGAUCUUUUUGCCUGCACAUUCAAUUAACCGCAACUCUUUUACUCUUUCAAAAUCUGAGACAUUGAUUUUUUUUCUAGAGAUUGUGUUCUUAGGUAUUUUGAAUCAAUGGUUACGAUUAUGUUAUCUUCCUUGUUAAUGACACUUUGGGAAGGAAAUUAUUUCUAACAUUGUUUUUGUUUGCUGCGUACACUUUAUAUUUAAACAAAUAUACGCAAUAGGGGAAUGUGGUGAUUAUAAUUUUACUCCUGGGGAUAAGUUAGAUUCAAUUGAUUCAAAUAUGGUUAAUCGAAUUAUAUUAAUGUUGUUGUUGAUGAAUCCUUGUGAUUGCAUGAUCAAAUACACGUUUAUUUUACUCAUACAAAACUCUUAGAAUUUGGUUCUUAUAGAAGACUGGAGUUGUUAAUGGUCUUGGAGCUCCCAUUUUGUUUUAAGUUAAAUUGUAUUUUGGACUGGUAUGAUUUUGUCAGUUUGAAAAACCCUUGGUAGUUCAAUCUUUGAACACACACACACACACACACACACACACACACACACAUAUAUAUAUAUAUAAGCCUCCUUUCAAUAAUUUAUUUGCUUUUAUAAGAACCAAAUGACUAAUCUUCUCUGAGACUACAUGUAUAGGCUUGAGGAGGGUCUUAUUUUGUUUUAUGUUUAUAAUAUUGGGAGAGGGUUAGGGGAAGACAGGGUUUGAAAUGAUGUCAUUUAAGUGCUUUGUUUUCUGCUUGUUUGUAUAUUUUAUAUGGUUGACUAAUUCACAUUCAAAGUUUAAAUUUCCUUCGUCAAGUCCCUUGGGGCAUCCUUUUGCUGAAUGUUAACCAAUGUUGACUAUUCUAGAACUAUACCACAUCGACAUAUAAGAAUGUUAAAUUAGAUAAAGCAGGUUUUGAGAAAUUAAUUAUAGAUUGAAUUCACGUUAGAGGUUAGCUUUUUGGCCUCUUGAAUUGCGAAUUGGGUUUAGUUUAUUCCUUUAAAUAGGGUAACAUAUGCAGAUAACAUGUGCCAAUACUCUGCACGUAUUUUGUGUACAAUAUUCUGGUUGAAAUUAAAAAUGGUUACAUUCACAGAUCAUGCCCCAGCUUUUGGGUUUAAUUCCAUUAUGAAUAUUUUUCCAUUAUGAGGGUCUUAUUUUCUGUCUGUUUGUUUCUAGUUAAUCUAAGUUUAUAAAAGUGUAUAAUAAAAGUGUUGUUGAAAUAUAUAUAUUCCCUUCCAUUUUCUGUCUGUUGGUUUCUGGUUAAUCCGGGUAACUUCAUUGCCUUCUUCUUCUUCUUCUUCUUUUAUGAAAUGAAAUUUGUCAAUUAGCUUUCUGUUAAUCUAUGAUUCAAUCAAAUAAUUAAGUGGUAAAUGUUUGUUUAUAUGUUUAUAUCUGGAAAUAAAGUUCUCAGAAUUUUGAAAUUGCAUGGGAUUCGAGUUUAAUGAAUUUAUUAUAAUGUUUACUAAGAUCACAAGCUUAGUUUCUUCAUUUAAUCUCAUCUUCUUCUUUUUUUUUUGCUUUGUUUUAUUGCAGAAACAAUCGACAUUGAAAUCGAUUUGGCUUACCUUAGUUUCCUUUCCUAUAAGCUUUCAUUUACAUUUUCUUUUUACAAUUUAAUUUAAUUUGAUUUUCCUUUAUUUUACUUUGUACAACAUUUUGCAGAUUAGCAGAUUUUCCCGUAAGCUAAACUUGCUUAUCUACUAGUAGGAAAAUAAUGGGAUUGAGAAAUAGAGAUGCUUCUAUUUAAGAUUUUGGAUUGGAUUUAUGCAGUUUGAAUUUCAUUAAUUUCUUUUUUGGUACAUAUGUAAUUUAGCUUAUAGAAUAAGUAUGAAUAUCUCAAUUGUUUUCUAGUUUAGGUUUAUAUUAUAUAUUUAAUAAUUUGCCUAUUGUUUAUAUAUAAAUUUGAAAUCUAAUAAAUGUUUUUGUUCCAUUCAAUUCUUAUUCAUUUUUUGUUUGCAUUUUAAUAUUGUUUGCAUUUUCCUCUACAUAACGGUAACGGACUUUCAAAGUUAAACUAUUUUAUCUAGUUUUCAUUUGUAGACCAUGAUAUCUUUUUAAAAUUAUUUCAAAAUUUUUUUAUACAAGGUAAUUUUAAAGAUAAUUGAUUGUAGCUUAAAAUUAUUUCCAAAGUUAGUAUGAAUUUUAUUAAAAAAAUAUUUAAUAACAAAUUAUAUAUUUGUAAUUUUUAAAAGAUUAAAUUAAUUUUUUAUAAAAGUAAGCAUUUAAAGAGUUCAAAGUAUGCAUCUAAGCUACAAUUUUUAACCUAUUUGUAUAUUUAAUAAAAUAUAAACCUAUUUGUAUCAAAGUAUGCAUAUAAGCUACAAUUUAAACAGCAAGUAUGCAUUUUGUUUUAACCUAUUUGUAUAUUUAAUAAAAUAUUUGUAUAUAUAUUCAGUAACCGAGUUAUAAAUAAGUUAUUUUUGGAUUCCAGGACUUCAAUUUUUAUGACUAUGGCUAGUUCGAACACUCCUAUACCUGUGGACGAUGGGUUUAAUGAGUACGAAAGUGCUGUCAAAUGUCAAAAGUCUACCACUUCAAAGGUGUGGGAUGAAAUGACAAAGUUUGAAUGCGAGAACAAAAAUGAAUUGAAGGCACAAUAUAAUCACUGUAAGACUAUCUUCUUUGCUAAGUCUUCUAGUGGAACCUUUCAUUUAAGACGUCAUCUAAAUAGCUGUUUGAAAAAAGUUAGGACAUCACUCCAUACACCAUAGCCACUCAACCAUCACUAGAAGGUGUUCCAUCUAUAAAAAACUACAAGUUUGAUGCUGAUGAGUGUCGUCAAACUAUUUCUACUUUUCUUGUGUGUGGCAAGCAUUCAUUUAGGACAGUUGAAGAACCGGGAUUUAGAUACAUGAUGAGAAUUGCUAGUCCUAAUUUUAAGAAUAUAAGUAGACAAACAGCUACUAGGGAUGUCCUAAAGUAUUAUGCAAAAGAUAGAGAUCAUGUGGCUAAAGCACCUGGUUUAAUUUGUUUAACUUCUGAUAAUUGGAAUUCGGAGCAUACUAAUGAUGAAUAAAUUUGCAUUACUGCUCAUUGGGUUGACAAAGAUUGGAAGCUACAAAAAAGAAUCAUAAGGUUUAGAGCUUUAUUUCCUCCGUAUGAUGGUUUGAAUAUAGCGGAUGAACUUGUUUUAUGUUUAUCUCAAUGGGGUAUAGAUAAGAAAAUUUUAGCAUCAGUUUGGAUAAUGCUUCUUAUAAUGAUGUUAUGGUUUCUUGUCUUAAAAAUCGUUUUCGUGCAAACCGAGCUAUUUUGUGUGAUGGUGCUUUUUUUCAAGUUAGAUGUUGUGCACAUAUAUUGAAUCUUAUAGUUAAAGCUGGUUUAGAACUUGCCGAUGAUGUUGUUUGUAAGAUUCGAAAUGGGAUUAGGUACAUAAAAAAGGCAAGAAUUCGUAGGAAAAGAUUUUAUGAUGUGGCCGACAAAAGUUUUCAUUUGAAUGUGACCAAAAAGUUGCGUCAAGAUGUGUGUGUGAGAUGGAAUUCUACUUAUUUGAUGCUUGAAUCUUCUCUUUACUAUAAAGAUGUGCUAGAUUAUUGGGGCCAACGGGAUAAAGAUUAUCAAAUGUUUGCACUUUCUAGCGAGGAGUGGAGCAAUGUUGCAAUUCUUUGCAAAUUUUUGAAAGUAUUUUAUGAUGUGACAUGUGUUUUUUCUGGUUCUAAUUAUCCAACGGCUAAUCUUUAUUUUAGAGGGGUUUGGAAGGUUCACAAGCUCUUGGUUGAUACAGUUAAAGGCCCUUAUUCGUUUUUAACUCCAAUGGUUAAGCAAAUGCAAGAGAAAUUUAAUAAGUAUUGGGCUGAGUAUUCGUUGAUGUUGUUAUGUGCUGCAAUUUUAGAUCCUCGUUACAAGUUGAAUUAUGUGCAGUAUUGCUUUAAAGCAAUCUAUGGUAUUCAUGCUUCAGAUUUUGUUGAGACCAUUCUUAGCAAUCUUAGACUCUUGUUUGAUGAGUAUGUUAAGAAAUCCAAAUCCAUGUCUUCCUCUUUGGCUGGGAGUUCUAAUGUUUCGAAUAAAAAUCAUGUUGAUUCUGGUUUGGAUGAACACAAUGAUAAUAGUUGUGACAGCCUGAUUUUGACCCUAAUCGGAACAGUGGUUUCGGGACCACAAAUCCGAGUCUGAAAAAUAUUUUAAUAUUAUUUUUUUGUUAAUUAUGUGUGAAUUUACAUAUGUGAAAGUUUUGUGAAUUUAUUUUAUUGUUUGUCUGCUAAAUUUGAAAAAAUGGCUUAAUCGCGUAAAAUAAAAAUUUAAUAGUUAAAUAUGAAAGUGCCUAAUUGUUGUUGUCUUUAUAAUUUGGAGGUUCUAUGAUGCAAUUAGCCCACUAUAUAAGUUAGUGGAUGAAAAUGGUCAAGAAUGACCUUAUAUUAUAUGUUAUAUAUUAACUUAUAAAGGUUAAAUUAGUAAAUAAAAUAUUAUAAUGUAUUUAUAAUAAAACAAAACAUAAAUUAAAAGCAUUAUCAUGUUCAUCUUGCCGAAAGUUGCUAAAGAAAAAGAAAAGAAAAGAGCUUUGAAGCAUUCGGCCAUUACUAAGCUCAAUCAAGGUAUAUUUCGGUUUCGAUUUUUGAUGAUUUUUAUGUUUUUGAGAUCGUUGCUUCGAGUACUACAAAGCCCAUGCUUGAAUUUUUGAAUUAGUUGUGUAUUUUGUGAUAUGCCAUUGAAGAGAGCUUGUUGUUUUUGUUGUUAGAUGAUGGAAAAUAAAUAUAUGUUGUUAGAUUUUCAUGUUUUAAUUAGUAAUUUUUGAUAAAAAAUGUGUAUUAAGGACUAAAUUAAGAAAAGUGUAAAUUGAGGGGUCAAAAUGUGAAAUAAAUGAAAUGUGUAGACUUAGAUGGACUAUAGGAAUAUUCGGCCCUGGCAUGAUAAAUGCAAAUUUUGUGUAUUUUGUGUUUUAUGCAAUAGGGACUAAAUUGUAAAAAGUGUAAAAUGUCAGGGGCAAAAUGGUAAUUUUCCCAUUUAUGUGUUUUUGGAUUAAAUUAAAUGGAAUUAUGUUUAAAUAAGUUUAAUUUCAAUAUGUUUAGAUCAUGAACCAAAGAAAAUGGAUUUGGAUCGAGGAAAAACAAAAAUAAUCGAAUAGUCGUCUAUUCCGUCCGUCGAUAUCCGAUGUAAGUUUAUAAGCAAAUAGAUGUUAUAAUUUUUAAUUAAAUGUGAAUUAUAUGUGCUGAAAUGAAUAUGUUAAUAAAUAUAUGUAUUAGCCGAAUGUGUAUAAGCUUGGCAGUUAUGUUUAUGAAUUUGUUUCGACUGAGUUACGACGUCCGAAAGCCCCGUAUGAGCCUUAGGAAUAGUUAGGAUACAUAUGUCAUGACAUAGGAUUUCGAUAUGUAUUUUCGUGUAAGAUCACGUCUGGGACGUUGGCAUCGAAUUGUUUAUACGUAUAAGACCAUGUCUGGGAUAUUGGCAUCGUAUUUGAUUUGUGUAAGACCCUGUCUAGGACAGUGGCAUCGAUAUGUGAUUAUAUGUAAGACCACGUCUGGGACGUUGGCAUUGUACGAGCCUUCCGACUAUCCGAGUAUCCUUUUUAAUUCCGAAUGGUUCAACGGGUAAAGAUAAGUUGUGUACGAAUGUUUAAAUCAGGCUAAGUGACCAGGUAUGUGAUAAUUGAUUAUCUAUUUGAAAAUAAGGUAAGUUGUAUACUUGAAUUGAUGAUAUGAAGUUAUGUGAAAUAUGAAUUAUGUGGUUGUAUAUUUGAAUAUAUAUGUAUUCGGCCUUUGAUGUAUAUGUGUAUUGAGGAAAAUGAUGAUUAGUUAUAUUAUCAAUUAAUUAUUUGGUAAAGAGGGAAGUUAUUACAAAUUAUAUAAGUUUUGAUAUAUAAUUUGAUAAAUUGAAUUAUAUGUGAAAUUAUAAUGGUUUAUUACUAAUUGUCUAGCUUAAUUUACGUAAAUGAUUAAAUGUUUAUUUGCUUAUGACUUACUAAGCUUUGAUAGCUUACUGUGUGUAAUCGCUUUCUGUUUUAUAGAUUUGGAAGUUGGUUAUGAGCUCGGCGAUCGUCAGAGAAGUCUAUCACACUAUCGAGUACUGUUUUCGGUAUUUUACUAAGUUUGAAAUUGAACUUAUGGCAUGUAUAGUCUAGUUAAUAUGUUUGAUUUCGGGUAUGUUAAUAUGAGCCAUGCGAAAAUGGCUUAUUUAUUUUGUGCUUUUGAACAAGUGUUAGAUAUGUUGAUUUUGGUAUCUCGGCUAUGGCAUAUUUAUUUAUGUGAAUUAUGUUUGAUAUGUUUUGUUAAGAAUGUGGUAAAUAAUUCGGCAUAGGUGAGCUUAGAUGAAGCAUAUAAGUGAAGUGAGUUUGGUAUAUAUAUGUUAUGGUGUUUUAGUCACGUGCUUCGGCAAUGAGGUAAAUGAUAUUCAAGCUUAAUUAAUCUUGGUUAUGUGUUAUAUAUAUAUAUGAUAUGUGUGAUAUGUUUAGUUUUGGUAUUGGUGUUUCGACUAUGGUUUAUUUAUAAGUAAAUAUAUGUGAAUCUUGUUUGAUAUGCUUUGUUAAGGUAUUGUUAUGUAAUUUAGUAACUAAGAGAACUCGGUUAUGGCAUAUAGGUGAAAUGCUAAGUAAAUCAUAGAUGAAAUGAUAGUUAAAUUUGGUUUGUAAUAGUAUAUUUACAUUAAUAAAUUGAUUUGAAAGAAACUAGUAAUGUGCAUGUGUAUGUACGGUUAUAAGGUAUGGAAGAACAUGUGUAUAUUUGGUCAUGAUCUAGACCUAUUUUGGAAGUGUGUUUUAUGCUAUAAAUUGGUGUAUGGAUAUAGGUUUGGAAAAUGUGAAGUGAUAUGUAUGAUUUUAUUAUUUGAAUCGAUAUGGUUUGAUUAGGAAAUGGCAUAUUUUGACUUAUGAUUUAAUGGCUAAAUCUUGUACAAUUUAUUAGGUUAUUUAUGGAUGCCAAUUUGUUAUGAAAUAAAUUAGGAACGUGGAGUAUUUAAUAAAGUUACGAUUUGCUCAUGCAAGUGGACUUAAUAUUCGAUUUUGUAUUUGUAAAAUGAUAUGAAUUGUAUGGAUUUUUGGAUAUGGCUAAAAUGGUGUAUUCAUAUGCGCAAACUUGUAAUAGAUAAAUAUGCAUGUUUUUGGUCUUUUAAAUGAUAUAUAUAAAUGAUUUUUAAAGUAGGCUUAAAAUUUAUGAAUAAGAUACAUACAAAUUCGGGUAAUGAUAGUUAAGUGAGUAAUACAAGUUUGAAUUUAACUUUUAUAAAUUUAUUGAAUUAGUCGAUUAAAGGAUAAGUUGAUUUGUAUUGAGUGUGUAUAGUUUAUGAUUGAAUGAUUUCAUUGAAAUGGGCAUAUGUGUAUAAUAUAACGACAUUAAAGGUAUGUAAGGCUAAAAUAUAAUGUUACUAAUGUUGCAUUUGUGAUUAGACAUUAAGUUGUAUACAUAUUGGUUUCAUUAUGUACAUAUGCAGAAGUUAUGAAAUGCAAAGUGUGAUAUUUAGAUAAUGAAAUUAUGUACGUACAUAUUCCCUGUAUAUGAAAAGUGAGGAUAUAUGCUUGAAUAUGAUUUAAUUAUGAAAAUGUCGUUAAUACGAUGGAUUUAGGGAAAUCGAAUAUUGAAAAUAUUAUAUACUUGAACAUGACUCUGAUAUAUACAAGUUUGGUUCGAAUUUGUUAAUUAUAGAAUAUGUUCGAUUGAGCUUUGAUGUAUGUUUAAAUUGAAUUAAUUUGAAUUUUAUAAUGUGUUUAUUUCUAAUACAUGCUUAGUAAGGUAUGAUUGAUUUGAAUUGUAAUUAUCAUAUAUAUUUGAAUUUAAAAUACUUGAAUUAAGGACAUUCAAGUUUGAUAAUGUUAUAAAUGUAUCGUUAUUCUUUGGUGUAUGAAAGGUGAUAAAUGACUGUGCUAAAUUGUGUCUUGUAUGGUAAUGCCUCGAAACCCUAAUCUGGCAACGGAUACGGGUUAGGGGUGUUACAAUAGUGCUGAUUUUAGGGGAUAUUUUGAUGAGAGAUGAUUAUAAACGGUAUUUAAAUGAAUCUAGCACUAGGAGUGAAAAGUCACAGUUGGACAUUUAUUUGGAAGAACCGGAGCUUGAGUUGAAUAGUCAAAUAGAUGUUUUAGAUUAUUGGAGCAAAAGUUCAGUUCGAUACAAUGAGCUUUCAUUAUUGGCUCGUGAUAUUUUGGCAAUUCCAAUAUCGACUGUAGCUUCCGAAUCGGCUUUUAGCAUGGGUAAGAAAGUUAUCACACCUGUCAGGAGUUCACUUAAGCCAAAAACGGUUCAAGCCGUUGUUUGCUUGGAUGAUUGGAUGAGAGAUAAGGGAUUUUCAGCAGGUAAUUAUUAUUCUCGUUUUAUUGUUGUAAUUUUAUAUUAUUUUUUCAUCAAUUUGAUUAUCUAAUUAUUUAUUCUUAUUUCAUGUUAGAAAUUGGUUGCAAAAAGGACGAUGACGACGAGGUUUCUUCAGUUGCUUUUUAAGAUACUUUUUUUUUUCUAAAUGUUUAAAUUUUAAUUUAGCUAACAAUUUAUAUUUCGUUAUAAAAUUAAAUAUGUUGAUGGAUUAAUGUAUGAAUACUAUGGUUUGUUGUUUAUUGCUAUAAAAUUAAGUAUGUUUAAAUAUUUUGUUAUAAAAUUUAGGUGACAGGAUAGAAUUGGAAGUGAUAACAUUGGACUUAUAGCAAUGAACUGCCUAUGGGAGAUUUGAGAGUAUUGUUAUUAAUAUUACAAAGGUUUGUUCAAGACUCUCCUACCAAAUUUUGAUUUCUAUAGUUCUUUAUUUGUCCAACUAAUUUAUGUAUAAGAAAUAGAACAGAUUUGCUUAUUGGCCAGGAAAUAUCAAAUUAGAAAUAGAAAUGGAAUAAAUAAAUCCAUGUAUUGUAUGGCUUUAAUAAUACAUAACUCCAGUAAAAAGAAAGAGACCCACUCAGCUUACUAACAUUGUGGGCUCUUGUAAAGGGACUUGGAAGACAUUUUUGACUUGUCGGUCUCUAAAACCACACAUUAUUGGUAAUUGGUAAAUCCUGCACAUGUAAUAUUGGUUGGUUUUAAGAUAAAAAAAUGUAAACUUAUUUGUUUACAAAAAUACUUUUUAACAGCACUGACAAAUACGAACUGUAAAUAAAAAGGAAUAAAAAGAAAUCUGUUACAAAAUAAUAAUAAAACAACAUCAGGUUUGUUUUACUAAUCAAAUGUUAGAUUUUGUUACAACAAUUAAUACAAUUAAUAAUUUGAUAAUUUUACUAAUCAAAUGUUAGAUUUUGUUACAACAAUUAAUACAAUUAACAAUUAAUAAUUUGAUAAUUUUACUAACAAUUAGUUUUAAUUUUAUUAAAAAUAUAAUUUUAAUUUUAAUUAAAAACGGGCUAGGUCGGGCCGAGCUUGGGCUCCAUUUUUUUUCUCAGGCUGGGCCGGGCUCGGGCUUGGGAAGCGGGCUAAAAUUUUUUCUUGGGCCUGGCCCAAACCCAGCCCGGCCCGACCCAUGGACACCUUUAGGUAUUGUCGGUUGAACUGCUGGGCCGGGUGACUGUGUCGGUGUUGUUGUUGUUGUUGGGCCUGAUGAAGUUAUGGGCGCUGAUGAUGGGCCAGGUAAAUUUUUGAGCCUCGUUGAUGGGCCUACGUCGUCAUCCCUUCUUCUUGGAUUUAAAGAGCCACGUUGUUCCCUUUGGACACACAAUUGUCGCUGCCUCUCCUUUGGCGAGAGUAAAUACGGCUUGCCAUGGUUCCUAAACCAUGGCAUGUAUUCCGGCACGCACGCUAACUCUGGAACGAUGAUCAGUUCCCAAGUAGAUAUAUAGUCAUACCGAUCUUCUCACAUCUGGAUGUAGUGUGACCAGAAUCUCGGCCAAUUCGUAUGUAAUUGUCGUAGGUUAAUUUUGUGAUGAUAAUCCAACACCUCAGCUGACAUGGGAAUCGGUUAUCGGAAUCCAAAUUGCCGUAAUACUCUGUCUGAUUGGUGCAUCUCCACUGUCGCAAAGUUGACCAAUGGGACUUUCACAUGCCAACUAUUUGGAUUUUGCAAGUACUCAUCCGGAAUUACUGCCCGAAUUGCCGGAUCCUCGUAUGGUGUCCAUUCAAACUAUAUGACCAUGAUGGAAAUAUUAGUUAUGUACUAAAUACUAAAUACCAAUCGACUAUCUCAUUAUGGAAAUGUAUAUUUUAUUUAAUACUUACUUGUGCUUCUGACUGUUGGUCCAAUAGAAGCCGUAUAUCUUCAAGAGAGGUAGGUAAUCGAGCAUAACUUGCCGGAUGGUUCCACCUAAUUAAAUAAAUUUUUAGCAUUCGAUUAUAUUUUAAAUCUACGUAAUAAUUGUAAAAUCUAAUAUAAAAUUUACCCCGUUAUAAGUGGGAAUGUAUACGGGUGGUCCACUUGAGGACGUAAAAAUGGAAAACGAAACUGUGCUCAUGACUGCAGUAGUGACAAGUAACCUCCGAUUUUCGCUUUAUUCGGUCGCGUCGCCCCGCACAUCUCUCGGUACAAUUUUGCCAACACGGCAGACCCCCAGCUAAAUUCACCAACUGCUCGAAAAUCAACGAGUUUCAGCAGCCAUCUUAGAUGCACGAAGUUCCGUGACAAGUCCGGCAUCAGAUAUCCUCCAAUUAUCUGAAGAAUGUAUGUAUGAGCAUAUCUGAUUCUUUCUAUUUCAGUAGAAUCAUCAUCCGGAUCCGGGAAUGUGUCUCGUAACCAGCCCAUCUCGAUUCGACCUCUGCUAAUAUUCUCCGAAAUAGCGCCCAACAGCUCGUAGCAUACCGCUCCCCAAUCACCAGAUUGAAUAGACUCGGUGACUGCAUACCCGUUUAUUGGCAACCCCAAUUGCAAAUUGAUAUCUUCCAAAGUGAUAGUGCACUGUCUACAUAGAAGAUGGAAUAUGAGCGUCUCGGGUCUCCACCUCUCAAUCAAUGCACUGAUGAGUUUCGGGUCUAACUUGCAUCCCCGACCUACCGUCGCCACAUGCCAAAAACUCGCCUCCCGCAGGUAAUUCUCUACCAACGGUGAUGGAGGACCAUGCAUAUUGCGGAUAUAACAUUGCAAUAUCCAAUCUACAUACUUUUAUAAAAAUAAUAAAAUAAUAAUUAUUUAAAAUUACAUAAAUAAAAAAUCCUAAAUAAUAUUUAAAAAUUAAAUUUAACACUUACCAUUUUCAUUUGUUCCACGGAUAUAUGCUUGUCAUCAAGACGAAUCAAUUCCCCGGCCAUUGCUAAAUUGGUAAAAAAUUUUACGAUUUAAAAAAAGAAUUCAAAAAAAAUAAAUUUUAAAACUAUUUUAAAAAUAAUUAAAAAUUUGAAGCUAUUUUAAAUAGGAAUUUAAGAGGAAUUUGAGAGAAUACUAGAGAGAAAUUGAGAGAAAGGAUUUAGUUGUGAAAUUGGGGGGAUUUUUAUAGUUUUUUUUUUACUGUUGGGGUGUCACCAACGGUCAAACAAGUAGCUGUUGCUAUUGUUCACACGCAGGCAAAACGCGUCCCCAGGGGAGCGCUUACGUGGCAGCAAAACGCGCUAUUGAGGAAGCGAUUUAUGUCCACGUAAGCAAAGCGCGCCCUCAAGGACGCGUUUUUCUGUCACGUCUCCUGACAUCGCGCUGAUGUGGACGCGCUUUCGGGGAAAAUGGGCUAUUCCGAUAAAUAAUAAAAUACCGAGCCCAUUUCUUUAAAUUUAAAAAAAAGAAACUUUUUCUUGUAUUUUGCCCUAUUCUUUCAUUAGUUUUUUUAGUAAUAACUAUUGGUUACUUACAGUACCCCAACAAAAGCUAAGUAUGAUACAAAUAGAUGGAUUUCUUCUCCAGCGAGGUAAUAUCUCAUCUUGAAAUCAACUCUAAAACAUAAAUUAACAUUAAAAAGUUUUAACACUUAUAUCCACACUAAACAUUUGAACAUAAUACAAAAUAUGCUGCGUAUUUAUUCCCAAUAUUUUAGUUAAAUCAGAUGUGUAUAAGGUAAACACGGUAAAAUACUCAAUUAUCUAUUGUUAUUGUUAUUAUUAUUAUACCAAUUAUUAGACCUAAGGGAAUGAAGUUCUGGGGUAAGUAAUAAGAUGGAUUAAACCUGCAAAACUUCCAGCUGAAAAUUGAAGUUUCAAACUUUCAAUACAUCAACUUACGCUUGCCUACUGAAUCAGAUGUUAAACAGAAUCGUGAUAUGGCGAAAGAAACAAGAAGGAAAAAAAAAAAAAAACCUAAACGGGGUAUCCAUCAAAUCUUGCCAUUUUGAACGUUGAUAUUGUUCUUAGGUACAGGUUACAGUCUGGAGCAGG
rnacentral:lncRNA from 1 species